UUGGUCCUUGAGAUUCAAAAUCAAUAGAAGUGGUCCAUGAGAUAGCCCACCAUCAAUCAUUUUGGUCAUUCGGUGAAAAAUUGUGUUAAAUAAGAAUUAAAAUGACAAAAUUACCCUCAGUGUAAUAAACAAUAGGCCAACAUGAUUUGACAAAAAUUGAGGGUAUUUUUAACAUUUUAUCCUUAUUUUAUGAAGAUUUGUCAUGGAAUGACGAAAAUGAUUGAUUGUGGACAAACUCAGGGACCAAUUCUAUCAAUUUCAAAUCUCAAGGACCAAAGCAAGGAGUUAUGCAAAUCUCAAUAACCAUUUUAACUAAAAAAUUAUUAUUCCUAAUUUCCUAAAGCCCUUGGGAAGAUAUCUGCCAAUUGUACCCGAGAAGAAAUGCAGGAAGGAGGAAUUUAUAAAGACAAUGGAUACCUGCUCUUACUUGCAAAAAACGACACUUAAAGGACAAUUUUCCCGAGUUUUUCACCGAUGUUUUUACUGUUUGCUGCAAAAAACAAAUACUCUCCCCAUGCAAGCUCUGUCGUCAAUUCCCCUCGCGAACUUUGAGUCCCUCUGAAAUAAUGAUUAACUGAAAUUUGAAUUUUUCAAACUUUGUGUUUGGUUAUAUCUAAUGAUCCCUAAUUUCAAAUUUAUGGUUUAGAUAUAUAAAAAAGAUAUCUCGGGUACUUCGUUGCUAUCCAUUAAGCUCCCCAAUUUCAAGCAAAGCAAAAAAUUCUAAUUGAGUUGAGUUUUGAACAUGCAAAUUAGUUAGAAAACUGAAUUACCAAUCUUUAUUAUUAUUGCAACAAACACACGGAUUACACUAAAAGCUAGUGAAUCAUACACUUGCAGAUGACUUAUCCAAACACAAAGAUAAGACAUGAGUUUAUUAUUAUUGCUAUAAACACAUGGAUUACAGCGAAAUUCAAAAACUAAAAACAAGGAAAAAAGUAGUGAUGAAAACCAAUGCCACAUUCGUGGGGAACACGAUUACAUUUGCACAUGCAACAGGCCUUUUAAACCCAUAGGUGACCCAAAUGGGACGAGUGAAGUCUCGUGAGGGUUUCCAGAGACAUUACCCACAAACAUCAUGCAUACUAAUCAUCAACAUCGGGCUUGGGAGACUGAGUAGAUAUCCACCCCUCCAGCAUCGGGUGUUUUUUGGUUGAGGCGUAAUUCGAAUCUGUUUUCAAUGAACGGCCUAGUUAAGAGGUCGCUUUGCAAGUGACGUAAUCGGCAGCGCGUGAUUAGGUUGUUGCUGUCAGGUGGUCCGACAGGCUCGACCUUGAACAAUGUGCAAGCCCAAUUGUCUUUGGUUUCGUUUCGGUCAGCAGCUGCGGCCAGGACCAAUAGUCUGUUUUGGUCCACCCUUCUCAAGUAGUUGCCGUUGUAGGAGCAUUUGAUAUGCACAUAAUUCUUGUCGGCGUAGUCCUCAUUGUUUGGCUUCUCGGUGGUGAACUUUAUGAACCUGCUAUUUUCAUUGUCCUCAGAAAACUGGACAAUCUCAUGAAGGUCACUUUCUGAAUCUAGUUGAUAGCGCAAAUACUUGUUGUUGAUAUCUGCUUUCAGCAGAAAAGGGCUUGGUACAGGUGGAGCCAUAUCGUAUAGUGUAGUUGGGAUUGGGAGGGUCUCUCUUUUUUAUUCUCUGUUGAUGAUAUAAUUUGCUUGCUGUGAAUGUGAUGCUUAGUUCGAACCUGCUAUCCUAUUUAUAAGAAAUUAAGCACAAGCUAGCUCAAGUUAUGGUCUUUAAUUAAUAUUAAUUUCGACAAAUCAGUUUCCCAUCUCUUUCAUUGAUAUGAACAUGGCUGAUCUCAUUGGUGUGGCGCAAUAUUUCUUAAAUUAGCCGUUCUCGGGUUGAUUUCGUUGUAUAACUCUUCUGCCAAUUCUGCAACUUGUAGACUUAAUUCCCAUUACAAAAUUAAAAAAUAAAAUAAAAUCCAAAACUAAUGUAAGAUAAAUAAAGACUUUUUAUAUCAUAAAAUAAGACUUUCUAACUUGUAUACAAGACUAUAGUGACAAGAUCAAACACAUUGAUGGGUGCGCAUUUUCCAUCAACAUCUGUUCUGUGCAUUUAAAUUGAGCGUAGAUUCCUUUUUAGCAAUUAAAAGUUUUGUAUCAUGUAAUUGUCUUGGUUUGAUAAGACCUACAUCUAGAUGAGCUGCUUCUGAAGACUAAUGUAAAACUUUAUGUUGAUAUUUCUUGAGGGUGAAACAUCGUUUGAGAAAUGUUUUGGGCCUCAUUACAAUUUUUUCAUUUAUUUUUUAACUUUUGGUUAAAUAUUCUACUAUAAGUACGUGGCUUUAAUAACUAGUAAAACCACUUUCAAAUAUCUCUCUUUCAGAAGAAAGGGGUUUGGUAGUACAGGUGGAGCCAUGUUGUAUGGUGUAGCUGGGAUUGGGAUGAUCUCUCUUUUUUUUUCUUUUUUUUUUCCUUUAAUUUGCAUGCUUUGAAUGUGAUGCUGAAUUCAAACCUACUAUCCUAUUUCAAAGAAAUUAAGAACAAGCUAUCUCAAGUUAUGGUCUUUAAUUAAUAUUAAUUUCCUCAAUCAGUUUCCCAUAUCUUUCUUUGAUACGAGCAUGGCUGAUGUCAUUGGUGUGACGCAAGAUUUGUUAAAAUAGCUGAUCGGAUUGAUUUUUUCUUUGUAUAACUCUUCUGCCAAUUCUGAAACUUGUACAUAUAAUUCCCAUUAUAAAAUAAAUAAAUAAAAUCCAAAACUCAUAUAAAAUAAAUAGAGACUUUUUAUACCAUAUAAAAUAAGACUUUGUAACUUGUACAUAGUUAAAAGAUCGAACACAUUGAUGGGUUAUAUAUUUGGGGCUCACUACAACUUUUUUUCAAUUAAUUUUAGGUUUUGGCUUAAAUAUACCAUUCAAACUAAAUGUGUGGCUCAAUAAUUGGUAGAAACAUUUCCAAAUGCUUUAUAAAUGUUCUCUUAAAGCUAACGGAGAAUAUUUUGGGAAGACAAAAUAUUUGCAUUUCUCACGAAAAUGUGGGUGCUCAUUAAUUUUAGUCGGUUUUGCAAUUUUGUAUAAAAUCAUCAUUAAGUAUAGUAGUUUUCACCUUUGCCUAACCGCUAUAUUUCUAUAAGUAAUGUAAGACUUUCAGCCUUGUUCAUUAGUGAGGAUCUUACCAAGAUAGAGCAGCCAUAAGAAACUCUUAACUUUGGAGGAAUAUGAAGUUUCCAAAUGAGAUUCCAUCGCCAAUUAGGAAAAGCAAUAGGCCUAAUGGCCCAAAAAUAAGCAGAUUUAACUGAAAAAUUACCAUCAUUUAUUCCACUUCAGAUACACUUGGCAGUCAAACCAUCAAAACUAAUUGGAAUGCUAAGAAUUUGUUCAACCACCUCUUUAGUUGAACAAGUAAUAGUGGAUCCAAACCAUUACUGUAACAAUAAUUAGCUACAUAGCCUUAAGCAUAUUGUCGGUGUCACGUCCCGAUCCCGACAUACGUCCAGGAUCGACACGUGAUGUCACCAAAAAUCCAUAUCUCUAACUUACCCUGCCUCCGGGAUAUGGCAAAGUGAUGAGUCAAUAUUUUACCAUAUAUUUUACCCUAAUCUUAGUAUUAAUUUGUUGGUUAUUUUGGAAGAAUUUUGAUACUUUGUUAUAUAUUUCUAAUGUAGGAUAUUGAUGUUCGUGAGUCUUUCAAGAUGAUUGUAUCAAAAUUCCAGAUUUUUCUACCAAGUUGUUUGACCGUGGCUAUGAAAUUAAGGCCCAGCGCACAGCUUUCCUAGAUUGACGUUUCUAGACGUUUUGGGUAUUUUGAAGGUCAAGAUGUCAUAUUUUGAGGAAGAUUCCUUCUGAGGAUUUGUAUGGGACCUCUCUAGCUUUCAAAAGAGACCUUUUGUGACCAACUCCGAAUUCUAGUUCAAAUAGGAAACCUUUUAUUUUCUAUUUUAUUAUUUUAUUAUGUUUCCUAGUUUUAUUCUAAGACCUUUUAGGUUUUUAUUUUGUAUUAGUAUAAAUAAGAUAUUUAGCCAUUAGGGUAUAAGAGGAGGAGAGAAUAGGAGGAGCACGCACACAAUACUUUGGAGGAUUCAAGUUUAUUUUCAAGGUGUUUUCUAUCCAUGUUCUUAUUAAUAUUUUGUUUUAUGGUUGUUAGUAACUAGUUUCGUUUGCUAGGGCGAGGCCACGAGCCUUAGUAUGAAUAUGUAGUUUCUUUUCAAUUUGCUUAUGAUAUAUAUUAUGCAUGCAAGUUUUGAAUUAUUAAUCACUGUACUUUAAACUAUCUAAUUGUCUUGAUGAUUGGCCACCAUUUGGAUAUGUAGAAAAGUAAUUUGAUGCAAUUUUGGUGGAGGGCUAUCCCUGGAAUUUGUGCUGGCUUCUUAUGGUUAAUGUGUGUAACUUCUUAGGAUGGACGACAUGUCUUAAGGGUUAUAUGGUUUUUCAAAAGGAUUUCACAAAACUUAAUGAGUCUUGCAUGUUCACAUUCGAUCUGGACACCACAUACGGGUUGCAUGUUAGAUAUACGUUCUAUGUUCGAGGUUCCAAGUAGGGCAUACAUUAGGAAAACCAAACCUUCAAAAUAUGCAUGUGUAAUUCAUAAGUAAUUGGAAGAACUACGUAGGAUUGUUAAGGUGACGGUGAAACCCUAGUGCUUAAAUUUAUUUUCAAAAACUAUCUUCUUUGGUUUUCUUUACUUUCCCAAUUUAUUUAAUUGUUUUCAGUUAAAUUCGUUUUUAAUAUUUUAGGUCAUAAAAUCAACCUCUUCUAAACUUUAUUUUCAAAUAAUUAAUUAAGAUUUGGUUUUAACAUAAAUUAUUCAUUCAAUCCUUGUGGAAAACGAUCUUACUUGAGUUGCUAUACUACGAUAACCUUGUACUCUUACAAGUAUUUUUAAGUGUUUUUAUUCCUACUUUUGCAAGUGAUAAAAUCCCUAUCACAAAGCACAACUCAAGAAUCGAAUCGCAUAGUAAUUUUUCGUAUAAUUUAUGACUGCAUCUAAUCUCCUCGUAGACUGCCUACGUACCCUAAACAGAGAUCAAGCUAUUCGUAGUUCACCUCACUCAAACAUUCACCGCAUAUCUCACUACGUCUCAUCAUAAUACCACAAUUCAAGCAUGUAGCACCUCAAGGAACAUUCUACGAAGCACAAUAAUAUUCUCUAGUCAUCUUGCCAUUCACCCACACAUAUGCAUUCCAACACUAUCCAAUAAUCACACCAAUCAAUAACACAUACAAUACACCAAAAUGCAGGGCUAGAGUGACGACCCAAGCCUACAUCUCUGAAGCUGAAAUCAAAGCCAAGGAACCAACAUGUCAAAUGAUGCGCUUUCAGACCACUCAAUGAAAUCCAUCAACAUCGGGUCGCGGACCACUCAACGGAACCAAAACACCAAGUGGGAUUCCUAACCACUUAACGGAAUCUAUACCAGGAUAUGAUUUCGAACCACUCAACGGAAUCGCAGAGUAGAAGGGAUUCUGGACCUCUCAACGGAAUUCGGGUGGAUAUGAUUCCGGACCACUCAACAAAAUCGCGGAGUACAAUGCAUAUCGAACCACUCAAUGAAAUCUAAGCUGGAUACGAUUACAAUCAUACCUUCUGUCAGUUGUCUGUCAAUUCUGUCAGUUGUUGCAAUGACAUUGAAACUUUUUAAAGAUGAGGUACUAUUAAUGACCAAAUAGUUGAGGUAGUUUUAGGUAAUUUACCCUAUUUUUUUUACUUAUUUUUUGGGUUUUUCUAUUAGAAAUACAUUUGUGGGUCAAUAAUUGGUAACAACACUUUGAGAUGCCCUAUAAAGAUUUGCUUAAUGCUCACGAAAAAAUAGAAAAUUUUCAUUUUCACACAAAAAACGUGGGUUAACACUCACGAUUUUUAGGCCAUUUUUCAAUUUCGUACAAAAAUCAUUAUUAAAUCUAUUUGUUUUAACUUUCGCCUCACCACAAUGUUUUUAAAAUUAAUGUAAUACUUUUCGUUGAUAUUUCUUGAGAGUGAAACCCCAUUUUAGCAACAUUUUAUGCCUCACAUAUAUGUUUUCAGUUGGUAGAACUACUUCCAAAUGCCUUAUAAAUAUUCCAUUAAUGUUAAAAUUUUGCAUUUUACCCUAAAAAGGUGUCACAAUUUUAAAACUUAUUUGUUUUCACCUUCGCCUCUCUGUGAUGUUUCAAUACUAAGUUACUUAAUUAUAAUUCUCUAGUUGCGAAAUUGACAUUUUGGCAAAAAAUUAGGGGAAAAAUUUUACCCAACGAAUAUAGAAGUGAUGGCUGACAAAUCAUUAUAUGUUGGUCUAACAACUUGCACCUAAUUCGUCAAGCAAAACUGAAAAAAUUAUUUAAUUUCAAAUGGUAAAUCAUCGAAUUUGAUGAUUAGGACAAUUAAGUGUGUGGUUUUACUCUAAAUUACUGUUUUUCAAAAAAAUUAUGAAAACCAAAGGUCCUAUAUAUAGCCUUUAAAUCUUGAUUUUUCGUUUCUAACAUGCGAAGGAUUUCACCUCAUUACCAAAUCUUGAAACGUUUGUUUUGGAUGAUUUUUGGUAUAUGCGGUCUGGACUAUAUACAAACAAGUUUGAUAGUUGGAUCGUGGAAACUAGUUUCGUAGAUUGCGUAUGCCAUCAAAACAAUAGAUUCAACAAACAUUUAGAAUUUAUUUUGAACUCGCAUUAAGUAGAAGGUAAGCUUUUGAGGUAUCUAGUAGUGUAAAUAUUUUGAAGUUGAUGAUCGGGUUCAUUCUUUAUAUUCUUCUAGGAUUGAGGAAUUUAGUUUAAAAUAUUCAUCAAAAUCGGAGCUAAAUGACCAUUAAAUUGUGAUUUCCAUUUCUAACUGUCGAUGAUUUCAUUUCAUUACAUAAUCUUUGAACGUUUACUUUUGAUGAAUUUUGGCGUCUCUAUGUCAUGUUACAUCAGAACUUACUUUUUGGUUUAAAAAUACUGUUGCUAUUUGAUAGACACAUAUUUAUUACAAUUGUUACCCUAUUAUCUAUAUUUCUUAGUGCCUCAUUCAAACUAUUUUUAUUAAAUUACUUUAGUUUUUGUAAUUUAUAAGGAUUACGAUGCUUAUUGAUAAAAGUGGAAUUCAACAAGUUUUUGACACAUCUUAUAUGUUUUAGUCUUCCUAAUUACAUUGGCUUCAUCCAUUUAAUUAAAAGCAGAUAGGGUAGUAGCGGCAGGGAGGAUUUGAUUUGGUUCUUCUUCUCUAGUUUUAUUUUAUGCAAAAUUUCCUUCUUAGAAUUACUAUGAAUUCUUCGUUCAUGGGGUUCUAAUGUCACAUCCCGGCUCGGGUCCACCACAUUCUGGGCCCGCUCUACCACCGUAGCACGAUAUUGUCCGCUUUGGGCUUACCAUUCCCUCACGGUUUUGUUUUUAGGAACUCACGAGCAACUUCCCAGUGGGUCACCCAUCCUGGGAGUGCUCUGGCCUCCUUCUCGCUUAACUUCGGAGUUCCUAUGGAACCUAAAGCCAAUGAGCUCCCAAAAUGCCUUGUGCUCGGAGGGAUGAGAAUAUACAUUUAAGGAUCACUCCCCUGGGCGACGUGGGAUGUUACAUCUAAAUUCUUAGUUAAGGCUAAGAGGAAGCCCUAAUUAUGAUUAUUCUAGUUAUUUGAUUGUUCAAUUUGUGAAUUUCAGAUUGAUGAUUAGUUUUCAUUCACUAGUUGGCUUGCAAUUUUGAUAUUGGGUUCUUUGUUCUUGACCAUAGCCUAGGAUUUUGAUAUUGAAUUUAUUUGCGUAUGAAUUUAUUUAUGACCAUUAAUUGGAUUCUAUUGAUUCUUCAUGAAUGAGAAUCAUGAACUUAUAUUUUGAUCCGACCAUAGACGAAUAUUGGUUUGUGUGGCUUCCUAGAAAAUUAGCUAUUUGUUUGACGUGACCAAGUUGAUAAGUGGUUAAUUUGUUUCUCACCAUACUUAAUUGGAUUUCUACAUGUUUGUGUAUACCGGACCAAGGAUAUGUAGACUAUAGAAAUAGUUGAGUUUAAGCUUGACCAUGGUAAAAUUCACAUCUCUUUGGGAAAUUAUUGGCAUGUAUACCUGACCACGGACAUAUGCACGGAAGUUGUUUUCAUUAAUUUGAUAAUUCAGGAGUUGACAAUUUGAUACUAGGGUAUGACAAUUAGUGGUGGAAUCAAAGCCUUAGUGUUUUCUUACAUUUGUUCUCAAUCAUAUUUCUAUUUAAGCAUUGUUAAUUUUAAUUAUUCUUUGAUACAAAUCCAAUCUUUAUUUCAAUUUGUUAAGGAAUAGUUAUAGGAUUAAAUUGUAAAAUCAAUUUCGGUGGAUUUGAUCUCGUAUUUACAUAUUUCCACUACAACUGAUUCGUGCACUUGCGGGUAAAUUUGGUUUGAAUUAAUCUAUUUAUUAGGUUAGUUUAAAUUCACAUCAAGUUUUUGGCGCCGUUGCCGGAGAUUGUUUUUUCCAAUUUAAACUUUAAUUGUUGCUUAUCAUAGUUUGUUUAGAAUUUUAUUUGUUAGUAAUUUUUUUUUCUGUCCUUUCUUCCGUGUGGUCUUCUUUCUUAUGUUUUGUUUGGUUUUUUUUAGGUACUGCUUAGUUUUGUUCUAUUACGGUAGAUGCAAGGACAUCGUUCACUCAAUCUAGCACUUAUUCCUAUUGAUCAUGAACUUGAGCAGACUUUACGAAACCAGCAACGGAAACAUUUAUCUCAAGGAGAGGUGCUCAAAACUCCACCAAUUUCUGAAAAAGAAUCAGAAAUGGCUGGGCAAGAUCAGGAAAUUAUGCCGGUUAGAAGGCCGAAGAAAGAUUCUUUUGACCCUCAGGAUAUGUUGAUGCAAAUUGACAAAUUUUAUUAUCUGAUGGACUUUAUUGUUCUUGAUACAAGGCAUGUGUGUUAUUCAUCUACUGAAAUUCCGAUUGUUCUUGGACGUCCCUUUCCAGCUACUGCAAAGGCUAAUAUUCAAUGUGACACUGGAAUUUUAACUUUGUGUUUUGGGGAUAUGAAGGCUAAAUUCGACUUGUAUCCUGCUCAUGGCCUUGAAUCUGGUGCUGAUCAUGUUGAAAGUAUUCAUCUUGCAGUUCAUGUGUACAAGAACGACUAGAACAAAGUAAUGUCUGGCUGAAGACUGUAAACUUAGCACUAUUGGGAGGCAACCCAAUUUCUUUUCCUUAGUUUUCUUUCUUUAAGUUUUAUUUUUUGUUAGUUUUUCCAUUAGAUUGCUUCGCUGCUGCUGCUUAUUUGCUCGUUGAUGUUUGUUCUGUUUGCAAAUCUGGCUCUCUAUUCCAAUUUGACAAAGGAAAUUCGAACAAAGUGGUGUAUUGCAGCAUGUUUGCUUGCAAUUUGGAUGAGAUUAAGUUGGUCAUUGUUGUCAUCCCCAAAUUUUUCCACAACAGCAAGCAUGCUCUGAGACCAUAUCAUUCGUGCACCAUUCAUAUCCAUUGGAUGAUUUGCUAAAAAGAGCUGCAUUUACAAACAUGGAAGUUCCCUGACUUUUCUCUUUUUCUUUUGUUUUCUUUGUUUUAUACUCCUAUUCCAUAUCACUUUGUAUCCUAAUUACAUGUUCGAUUCCAUAUUUUUUAACAUUGAGGACAAUGUUGGAUUCAAGUUUGGGGGUAGGAUAUUUUAGUUUGGUGUUUUUUAAAGUUGAAAAAAAAAAUUAAAAAAAAAAGCUAAAAAUAUUUCUUCGUAUGUUUCUUUCUCUUUUCCUUUGAGUCGCUUUCCAAAUAUCCAUGACGAAAUUGAGUAGAUAACUUGUAUAACUUGAAUGAGAAAAGUGUGGUAACAUAUGGGGUUUUAGCUUUAUUCACUUUAUAACAUGAUCGAUUCUAGCAUGAUGUGUUUGAUGCACAAUAACCUUUGGUUGAUAUUAUGUAAAUUUUAUUAAGUUGAGCAUGCUUAACUUGAAUAAAACCCGCACCCAUGUGAGUUUUUGUGCCUAAAUGUAGUGUGUGCAUUUUUCAUACACUUUUGUUCUUUUCAUGUGUGCAAUCUUAUAUGUUAUGCAUCUCCAGAACUUGCUUUGAGACCUUUUCAAGACUUUGUGUCAUGUAUUGCUUCAACUUGGAGACGAUAGUAGGCAUUAGGACUUUACCAUCAUUGCCAUAUAUGCCAGUGUCCUAUACGUUACUCCUAGUUAGCCCCUUUGAGCCUUUAAUGGAGCCUUUUCUUUGUGAGCCAAACUCCCUAUCAUUCCUAACCACUAUUUAUAUAUCCUACCCUUAAUUGUUUAGAGAAAAUGAUAGAGUGAUUGUUUUGUUGGAGCUUAAUUUGUUUGCAUAAAAGGGAUGUAUGGACGAAGGUGGUUGAUUAUCAAGGCUAGAAAUUUGUGCUUUAAUGUUAUUCACUAAGUGUUGAAAGUUGGAAGUGGUGACAUUAAAAAAAAAAAAAAAAAGGAAUCAAUGAAGAGGAUGUGAGAUUGUGUCCUGUACUUGCAUAAGGGUAAUGAAAGCAGCUCGAAUGUGUUGGUGAUGUCAAAUGCUUAUUUUCAUUUGGAUAUGGGGUAUGAGAGAACAACAUGUGCUGCUAUCUUUGCUAUGGUGAUUUACAGAAUUUGUAUUGUGCAUGAGAGAAUAUCUGAUACAAAAGAAGGAAAAGUAGACUGAAGAUGCUACGCUUGUUGAUGCUAUUUUUAGGGUGAUUCGUGUUUUGUGCUUAUGGUAAUUAGAAACACUCUAAUAUUUUCUCAGAAUUUUUGUAUUCCCAAUCCUUUCAUUUGUUUAGCCAUUCACUGUAAGCCUCCGUUACAACCUUCGAUAAAGACCUACUUGAUCCAAGGAGAGUAAUUUUUGAAUUGUGGAGAUCAGAUUGAUCUGCAAGCUUAUGGUAGAGCAUUCAUGUAAUGAUCUUUUGAGUGUAUACACUUAACCUUAAACACUUUGAGUGCUAAUUGAGUGUAUAUCUUGUGAGUUUAGGGUUGAAGUUGUGCAAAUUGAGCGUAUACUUGCAUUUGUGUUGUAUCAACUUUUGGCUACUUUUACUCGAGCAUGUUAUGUCUCUAGAAUGUGUUAUUUUGUUACUAUGGUUUGAGCCUUAUGUGUUGUUACACUUUAUUAUUCUUGGUAUGCCUGUGUGUAGACUCCCUGAGUUGUUUGGAAAGAGCAGUUUUUUUUAAUUGUGUCUUUCUGUUUUGCUCGAGGACUAGCUCAACAUAAAGUUGGGGGUAUUUGAUAGACACGUAUUUAUUACAAUUGUUACCCUAUUAUUUAUAUUUGUUAGUGCCUCAUUCAGACUAUGUUUAUUAAAUUACUUUAAUUUUUGUAAUUUAUAAGGAUUAAGAUGCUUAUUGAUAAAAGUGGAAUUUAACAAGUUUUUGAUACAUCUUAUAUGUUUUAGUCUUCCUAUCACAUUCCGGCCCGAGUCCACCACAUCCCGGGCCCACUCUACCACCGUAGCACAAUAUUGUCCGCUUUGGGUCUCGACCACGCCCUCACGGUUUUGUUUCUGGGAACUCACGAGCAACUUCCCAAUUGGUCACCCAUCAUGGCAGUACUCUGGCCACCUUCUCGCUUAACUUCGGAGUUCUGACGGAACCUGAACCCAGUGAGCUCUCAAAAAGCCUCGUGCUAGGUAAGGAUGAGAAUAUACAUUUAAGGAUUACUCCCCUGGGCGAUGUGGGAUGUUACAAUCCACCCUUCUUAGGGGCCUGAUGUCCUCGUCGGCACACUUCCGGCCAAGGAUUAGCUCUGAUACCAUUUGUCACAUCCCAGCCUGAGUCCACCACAUCUCGGGUCCGCUUUGGGCCCCGACCACGCCCUCACAGUUUUGUUUCUGGGAACUCACGAGCAACUUCCCAUUGGGUCACCCAUCAUGGGACUACUUUGGCCACCUUCUCGCUUAACUGCGGAGUUCCGACGAAACCCGAAGCCAGUGAGCUCCCAAAAGGCCUCGUGCUAGGUAAGGAUGAGAAUAUACAUUUAAGGAUCACUCCCCUGGACGAUGUGGGAUGUUACACUUCCUAAUUACAUUGGCUUCAUUCAUUUAAUUAAAUGUUAUUUUAUUCUUAGUUGAAGACCAAUGGGCGUUGGAGAUAUCUUAGGAAAGAAUUUCAAAUUGACUGGAAUUCCUAUUUUUGAGAAGACUUGGGCGCAGAUAAAAGCAGAGAGGGUAGCAGCGGAAGAGGGGGAUUUUUCUGCUGGCGUGAAGUAGAGAGGGCAGCAGCGGCAGGGAGGAUUUGAUUUGGUUCUUCUUCUUUAGUUUUAUUUUAUGCAAAAUUUCCUUCUUAGAAUUACUAUGAAUUCUUCGUUCAUGGGGUUCUAAAGGGCUUGGUAGUACAGGUGGAGCCAUAUCGUAGUGUAGUUGGGAUUGGGAUGCUCUCCCUUUUUUAUUCUCUCUUGAUGAUCUAAUUUGCUUGCUGUGAAUGUGAUGCUUAGUUCAAACCUGCUAUCCUAUUUCUAAGAAAUUAAGCACAAGCAAGCUCAAGUUAUGGUCUUUAAUUAAUAUUAAGUUCGACAACUCAGUUUCCCAUCUCUUUCAUUGAUAUGAACACGGCUGAUCUCAUUGGUGUGACGCAAUAUUUGUUAAAUUAGCUGAUCGGUUUGAUUUCUUUGUAUAACUCUUCUGCCAAUUCUGCAACUUGUAGAUGUAAAUUCCCAUUACAAAAUAAAAAAAAUAAAAUCCAAAACUCAUAUAAGAUAAAUAAAGACUUUUUAUAUCAUAAAAUAAGACUUUCUAACUUGUACAUGACUAUAGUUACAAAAUCGAACACAUUGAUGGGUGCGCAUUUUCCAUCAACAUCUCUUUUAUGCGUGUAAACUGAGCGUGAAGUCUGUUUUUUAGCAAUAAAAAGUUUUGUAUCAUUUGAUUGACUUGGUUUGAUAAGACCUAUAUCUAGAUGACUUGGUUCUGAAGACUAUUGUAAAACUUUAUGUUGAUAUUUCUUGAGGGUGAAACAUUGUUUGAGAAACAUUUUGGGCCUCAUUACAAUUUUUUUCAUUUAUUUUUUAAGUUUCGGUUUAAAUAUUCUACUAUAAAUACAUUUGUGGCUUUAAUAACUAGUAAAACCAGUUUCAAAUAUCCUGUUAAGUUUUUCUCAACGUCAUGGAAUUUUUUUUACGAAAAUGAAACAUUUGCAUUUUUCACAAAAAAAAUUUGGUUUGUCAAUUUUGUAAAUUUGUAUAAAAAUCUUCAUUAAGUCCAUUUGUUUUCACAUUCACCUUACCAUGAGGCACUUAAAAUUAAUUUAUAACUUUCCAUCGAUACUUGAGUAUAGACCCUUGUUAAGGCAAGGAGUUGGGCUUCACUACAAUUUUUUUUCAUUUAUUUUUUAGGUUUCGUGUCACAUCUUGGCCUGGGCCUCCACCACAUCCUCGGCAAGACUCCACCGUAGCACGAUAUUGUCAGCUUUGGGUCCCGACCACACCCUCACGGUUUUGUUUCUGGAAGCUUAAUCGAGAACUUCCCAUGGGUCACCCAUCAUGGGAUUGCUCUCGCGCGAACUCGCUUAACUUCGGAGUUCCAAUGGAACCCGAAGCUAGUGAGCUCUCAAAAGGCUUUGUGCUAGGUAGAAAUGGGAACACACAUAUAAGGCUUACAUGAUCCACUCCCCCGGUUGAUGUAGGAUGUUACAUUUCGGCUUAAAUAUUCUAUUAAAACUAAAUUUGUGGCUCAAUAAUUGGUAAAACUCUUUCCAAAUGCUUUAUAAAUAUAUUGUCCUAAUGCGAACGAAAAAUAUUUUGUGAAGACUAAGGAUAUGCAUUUCUCACAAAAAAUGUGGUUGUUCACUGUUUUUCUUCGGUUUUGCAAAUUCGUACACAAAUCAUCAUUAAAUAUAUUAGUUUUCAUCUUUGCCUUAGUGUGAUGUUUCUAAGAUUAAUGUAAGAGUUUUUGUUGAUAUUCUUGAGUAUAUACCCCGUUUAGGCAAUGUUGGACCUCACUAUUGUUUUUUUAAUUAUUUUUUGGGUUUGGGUUAAAAUAUUCUAUUAGAAAUACAUUUGUGGCUCAAUAAUUGGUAGAAACACUUUCAGAUGCCCUAUAAAGAUUUUCUUAAUGCUCUUGAAAAAUAGAAAAUUUGCAUUUUUCACACAAAAAACAUGGGCUAACACUUACGAUUUUUAGGCGAUUUUGCAAAUUCGUAAAAAAAUAUUAUCAAAUCUUAAGCCUUUUAUAAUUCUUGUUCUAAAUGGAUUGUUUGUUAGUCGUACAAGAUUAUAAUUACAUGAGAAACACACUGAUGGGUGUAUUUCCUGCAAUAUCUUCAAAGUGCGAUUAAAAUGAGCGAUUGUCGACUUUUAUAAAAUAGUAUGGCUAUAGGUCUUUUAAUAUUGCAAGCUUUUAUAACUCUUAUACUAAAAAUGUGUACACGUUUAUAAAUGGAUUAACAGACUAAUAGUUUGGGUAUAAAUGAAGACUAAAUGAGGGACUUGAUUCUCAACUUGCACACUACAUGUCACGCCCCGAACCUGACAUACGUCCAGGAUCGACACAUGACGUCACCAAAUACCCGUAUCUCAACCUACCCCGCCUCCAAGAUAUGUACAUAGCAUAAUUCAAGAUCCAAAUCUCAUAGAAAUUUUUGUAUAUUUUAUGGCUGUAUCUAACCUCCUCGUUAGAUUGCCUACGUACCCUCAAUAGGGAUCAAGCCAUUCAUAGUUCAUUAUUCCACUUCAAUCGAACAUUCAACACAUAGACCACUAUGUCUCCACAUAAUACCACAAUUCAAUCAUGUAGCACCUCAAGGAACAUUUAACAAAGUACAAUAAUAAUUUUUAGUCAUCUCGCCAUUCAUCCACUCAUAAGCGUUCAAACACCAUCCAAUUAUCACAUCAAUCAAUAGAACUUGACAAGCAUAAAAUUCCUAGACUCAAGGUAACAUAACAAACCCACAUGAAAAAAAAUCAAGAUUUCCCUUCCAUCCUUCAUACACUAUGACUCAACAUGAUAUCUCAAUUCACAACAUACAUCAUAUUUAAGAACCGACAACGCACAAAACCAUCUUCUAGCCACAUUAAGUAACUAAUAUGGUCAAAAUAAUAACAAUCACUCUCAUAUCUUCUAAAUUAAUAAACUAUGAAAUUAUAAUUGAAUCGUAGAAAAUCUCGAAGGAAUCCCACGGACGUACAACUGCUUUUAUACUUCAAUUCAUAAUAUUCUCAAACCCAUUAUUCACAAUAUACUCAAACGAAGGCUAAAGUGACACAGUUAAAUCAAACCUACUUCUCCGAAGAAAGGGAUUUUGGACCAUCACUCAACGAAAUCCGAGUGGAUACGAUUCCGGAUCAUCACUCAACGGAAUCGUGUAGUACAAUGUAUAACAACAACUAAAUGAAACCCAAAUCAAAUACAAUUCCGGAACAUCACUCAAUGAAAUCGCGGAGUAUAAAGGAUUCUGGACCAUCACUCAACGGAAUCCGAGUGGAUACGAUUCCGGACCAUCACUCAACGGAAUCGCAGAAGGCCAGCAACCAUACAUACAAUGGCUCAAAGAAAUGAGACAAGUACAAGUUACUUAAUUUACAAAAGCUCAACGAAGGAAAUAAGGAACAAAUACUAAAUUUAGAAUGAAUCAACGAAGCAACAAAUCCCCAUCACCACGGGUUAACGGUCUACCACUAGUUCUCACAUUUCAUCACAACAUGCCAAUCAAACCAAUCAAACCAUAUUUCAAUAUACGCAUGUCAAAUCUCAUUUCAUAAACUUAAAUCAAUGGCUAAGCAUUAAAAAUAACAAUUCAAUAGAAAACAUAUUUAUAAAACCAAGUCAUAUCCACAUAGGAUAACAAUUACGAAAAUAGGGUAAUCACCAAUAUCACAUAUAUUAAAGUCACUCACAUUUCUAUACAUCACAGUAAUCCCUAUGAAUUACAACGUAGUCUCCUACACCAUCAACUUCUCAUGGCCACCAACUAAUAUAUCACACAAGUAUAUAAGUUCUACAGAAUAUUUCAAAUAGGAUUCUAAGAUCGCAUAGCCAUAAAUUUAUCAUACUUAACCUUCACAUAACUAGAAAUAAUUAAACAUCCAUAUAUCACCAUUAUCAUCAAUACACAAGCCAAAUCAUGUUUAAUAAACAUAAGUCUAUGGCUAAAUAUAUGAAAAAUCACAUUACAAUAGAAAUCAUAUUUAUAAGUCCAAAGCACGUUGACAAAUGAUAUUAAUAUAAGAAAUUAAGGUAAUAACCAUAUCACAAUAUUCAAGUCACUCUCCAACCAAUAUAGGUCCACUAGACUUCACUUAAGUCUCUCGUAGUACUAAUUUUAUUAUUGGGAACGUUUCGAGACAUGUUGACCAAAAGUCAACUCUCGAUCAAAGGUAGGGUCCACAAUUCUACACAAUUCAGUCCAGAAGAUCCACACAUUGGAUUUCGGAUCCGUAACUGCCCAAAGUCCACAUUAUGCUCAUACUAAAUUCUCAUUGCGAUCCGACGGUCAGAUCUUCACCAAUUACUAGAAUUAAGUGGCGGUCAACAAUUUAUUUUACCAACUUAGAAAUCCAAUUAGGAAAGAUCUGUACGUUGGAUUCCCGAUCCGUAAGUUUCUAUGAUGCACAAAUAUUAUGUUUUAUCACGAAGUAAGGUUUGGUGACGAUGCAACGAUCAGAUCAUUCCUUCAUAAUUAGACCAAGUAAGGUAUCGUAAUGAAAGUAAGUCCAAACAAUCAAAUUACGUCAUACGAAUAUCAAUUAUGAAGUCAAGGCAUUUAUUUGAACUUAAAAGGACAUCUUCAACCCACUUGCCAGGCCGCCGCCACACUCGUCGCCCCGACUUGCCGGAAAAAUUCAACUAUUUUUAAAAAUUAUCAAAAUUUACAGGCAAGUAUAUCUCAGUAAAGGGAGCAACUUUCAUACAUGUGACUAAGGCCAAUUGGCCGGGAAGAGAUCCAAUUCCAUUAAAACCCGUCGAAAACCCUAUAAAGGGUAUUCUUCUAAUCACCACCAAAUUGAACCCCAACGUCUCAACAAUUGACUGGGCAUGGUUCCUGGGUUCAAGGGAAGUAUUUUGGUGAUAAAAAUUGCACCAAAUCGUUUCAGGAAUAGCGGAUUCACCGCAAUGGUGCCCUUGGCCCGACAUGAACUUUCAUCGUGAAAUCACGACCAAUGACACCAAACUUAGGUGGGAAUGGAAGCUGGGAUGACACCAUGUUGAUGUCAAGUGAAAACUGGGCAAAAAUCGCCUAAAAAAUGGUGGAAGUUGGCCGGAAAUCCCUCCAGGUCGAAACUGGGUACACGGGUCGCCGAGGAUGGGUACCCUGCACCUCUCUCCUUUCUUUCCUUUCUUUGCUUUUUCAUUGGUCACCCUCACCUCUCUCCUCUUCUGAUUCGUCCCCUCCCUCCUUAUUCCUCAUGUUCCUCCUUCUUCCCCCUCUCCCCCUCUUUUCUCCUGUUUCUCCCGCAACUCCCCCCUUCUUUUUUUUCCCUCCUUUUCUUUUUCUUGAUUGGUUUCCUUUUUUUUUAUUUUUUUUGAAGUAACUUCUAAAACUUCCGCAAAGUUCCUUUCUCGAUCCAAUUCACAUAUGGUCUUCGCUUAAGCACUUGUGAGGUCAAGCCCCAUUAAAAACAUUAAGAGUGACCCUCGAACGUCUACGGAUAUAACAAUUAUUUUCCAAAAUUCAAACUUUGUAAUUAGGUAAUUAAAAUCUAGAAUUAAUUUAAAUUCACGAAAAUACUAUAAAUCCCGCCCAUACGAAAUACAUAGAUUACAAUAGUGAAAUUCAGGAACGGGAUUUCACACUACAUAGGUGUGAAGUCUUUUGGUAUAAUUAUAGACUUAAUGUCUCGUUCAUUAAGGUAUUGGUCUGUAAAAGAACUAGAUUUAGAGAACAAAAGUGCAAUUAAAUGAGAAAUAUAUUAUUCUUUCACAAAGCACAUGACUUAAUGUCUCGUUCAUUAAGGUAUUGUGCCUAACUAAUAUGUUUUCAGUUAAUUUUUAGGUUUCAGCUUAAAUAAUCUAGAGUGAUGAUAGACCCACCCCAUUAUCCUAAUUUCACCCAUCAUAAAAAUUAAAAAAAUCAAAAUAUUAUUUCUCCACCCACCAUUAUUCCUAAAAUAACUAAUUUCUAAUUUUUUAAACAAUAAUAUUAAUAUUUAAAAAUUAAAAAAAAACAUCAUGCUUCCUUAAUUGCCUCUACCCUAAACGCACAAGAACCUCCUCCCACCCCCAUCAAAAAGAAAAACCUUUGACACCUGCUUGGUGGCAUCUCCUUUGGAAAGAGAGAGAAACUAAAGGGAAAGGAAGAGAAAAACACCGGGGGAGUUUUCCAAUACAGAGGUAGAUUUCUCCAAAGCGAUUUAUUCCAACUAGAAUUGGGUAUUCUUUGAUUUUAAAAUUUGGGUUCUCGUCGUUGUUCGUUUAUGAGGAAAAGGAGGAGAUGAUGGAGGUGUGGUAGUACCAAAAUUGAAAGGGAGAGUGGGGUGCUAUUUGUUGCUGGGGAGGGUAAUGGAUAAUUGGGGAUUUGAUAGUCGUCAGUCCAUCGUGGAUGAUUUGGGAGGAUGAUGGAUUUAUUUUUACUUUUUUUAGUUUUAGGUUUUCUUUAUUCUCUUUUAGUUUAUUUAAUUAAAGUUAUAACAAAUUUAUAAAUGUGGAUUUAAAAGUCUUUUGCUAAAAGGAUAAUUAUGUGAUUAAAAUUUUGAUUAAAAGGUGGGUUGGAAAAUAACACAAGGGGGUGGUUUUAGUAGCACUCAUAAUCUAUUAGAAAUGCAUUUGUGGCUCUGUAAUUGGCAGAGCAACUUUCAAAUGCCUUAUAAAUAUUUAAUUAAUGUUCAGUAAAAUAUUUUUUAAAAAUAAAGAAUUGCAUUUUAGACAAAUAUAUAUAUAUAUAUAUGUCACGAUUUUUAGACGGUUUUGAAAAUUUGUAAAAAAAAUAUAAUUUUUUUAAUACAUCGAUGUUUUUACACUAAGGGGAGGAGGAGUUCGGCUAUGCCACACAAAGGGCAGCCUAAUUUGGUAUCAAAUUCGCCAUCCACGAGAUUCAAACCUAAGACCUCUCACUUCCAAGUUGAGAGGAAUACCACCAAAUCGUAGUACUGAGUGACAAAAAAUCAUCAUUAAAUCUACUUGUUUUCACCUUCGCCUUUCCAUGAUGUUUUAAAACUAAUGUAAGGCUUUACAUUAAUAUUCUUGAGUACAAGUCCCAAUUUAUGCAAUGUUUUGGGCUUUACUUGACAUGUCCCAACCCCGAUAUCCCCACAUACCAGGGUAGGCAUGUGCUGGCCGACAUCCGAGGGUGACGAAGCCAUUUUAAACAUGCAUGCAAAAAAAGAAUAUGCAAUUAGAACGAAAAAUGCCAUUGCAAGAACGUGUUCAGAGCAUACAACUGUGAACACGGAAAAUUCCUGAAACGAAUGAGACAAGAAUAACGUGCACAAACAAAUAUUUGUAUUUUUGAUGAUUUUGGGUUACAAUCUCUCUUAAAUUUGAUCCUCGGAUUCAAUCUCCGUAAGGUCUGUAUUUAUGGAUGUGCGAUUGAUCCAAAGGGCCGUUGGGCUUGAUCUAAGGAUGAACGUUCUUCAAGGGCCGUGGAAUUGAUCUUGAAGGUGGAUUUGAGCGGAUCUUCAAAGGGGCUUUUGGGCUUGAUCUUUGAAGAACAGUGAUGAACGGAUCUCCAAGGGCUUUUAGGCUUGAUCUUGAAGAACGGUUGGACGUGUGGAUUUGUUGAUGUUGUUGAUCUAAGGGGCCGUCGGGGCUUGAUCUUAGAAGAACGAUGAACGAAGAACGAAGAACACUUUCUUCAAGGGCCGUCGGGGCUUGAUCUUGAAGGUGGAUGAUUGUUGAUCCAAGGGGCCGUCGGGGCUUGAUCUUGGAAGAAUGAUGAAUGAAGAACGAAGAACGAAGAACACUUUCUUCAAGGGCCGUCGGGGCUUGAUCUUGAAGGUGGAUUUGAUGAAGAACGAAAAGGGCUUUCUGGAUUUGACGAAGAACGAAGAGGGCUUUCUUGAUCCUUCGGGAUUUGCUUGAGAGCUUCGGAGUUUCAGAGCUUCAGAGCUUCAAGGUGUAAUAUGAAUUCCUCCCCCUAAAUGAGUGAAUUAGCCUUCUAUUUAUAGAAAUUUCCAAGGCCUAAUUUUGAAUAUAAUAUUCCAGAUGAAAUAAGUCGUUUAUGCCAGGUGUUGACACGUGUCCUGUUUGAUGACUUUUCCAAUUUAUUUCGAUUUUUUGUUUAGACACACGCUACGUGUAAAAUUUAUGUAAUACAUGAGCGUUGAAACUUUGAUUUAUCGGUCAACAUUUAUUUACCGAAAUUUCGAUGUCUACAAAUGCCCCCACUUCAAGGCGCGUCGUAUACAUGUGCUUGUCACGUGUAGGAGAUGCGUUUUGAAGUCCCUUAAUGUAGAUGUCGAUCCAAGGGCCGUCGAGGCUUGAUCUUGAAUUGGGCUGGAGAUUUCUUCAAGGGCCGUUGAGGCUUGAUCUUGAAUUGGGUUGGAGAUUUCUUCAAGGGUCGUCGAGGCUUGAUCUUGAAGGUUGAAAUUGGACCACAAGGAGCUUCAUGUGGUAGAUGAUCUUUGGCUUUGGUAGUGGAUGAAUCGGCACGUAUUUUGUUGCGCUUGUUGACUUUCCACAGCUUUGAUCUUGAACUAGGUUGGAGGAUUUUCUGGAUUCCUCCAAUUGUUGAUUUUCCACAGCUUAUUCUUGAACUGAAUUUGAUUUAAAUAUGGUGGACGCUUGAUCUUGAAUCGGAUUUGUGAUUUCCUCAAGGGCCGUCGAGGCUUGAUCUUGAAUUUGGCCGGAAACUUCUUCAAGGGCCGUUGAGGCUUGAUUCUUGAAGGUUGACUCGAACACAUGGCAAGCAUGCACGAGGUGAAGGUGACGGCUUGUUGCUUUGUUCAAUCUUUUUAAUUCACACCUGAGCAGUUUGGUCAACGGUAUGAUCUUCAAGAUUGAUGGGUUCUUCUUCCAAUUGGUGACUUGAUCUUUAAGGAUUUGAUCCAAGGGUGGUGAAACGGCACAUGCAGCCCACAACGCCUAGCAAGUCGACCCAAGAAUUUGAGGGUCAAAACGAGUCCUCCACCCAGAGUGAUUACAAAUCUGAUGAUAUGAGAUACUUUUGAUUUUGAAGAAGUAGCGGAUGAAUCGACACGUGCUUUGUUGUGCUUGUCUCCACAUGCUUCAAUGUAUCAUUUUCCCUUGUCUUAUCUAUUCUUCUGGAAAAAUGUAGCAUCUUCUCGAGUUCUUCAGCUCAGACUCCUUCUGCUGAGCUGACUGUGCAGGCUGCAUUCUUCUCUGCUUGUUUCUUCAGGCAGAUGUGGCAGCUUCUUGAGUUCUUCAGCUCGGACUCCUUCUGCUGAGCUGACUGUGAAGACUGCAUUCUUCUCUGCUUGUUUCUUCUGCACGUUGUCUCCACAUGCUGCAAGGUAUCAUUUUCACUUGCCUUAUCUGUUCUCCAGGCAAAUGUGGCAUCCGAGUUUGAGUGGAGGUUCCGGCAUAUUGUUUUCUUUAUCCUUGUCUUUGUAGGUAAGAACAAGGACAAAGAAAAGGAUAGGGAGAACACAUGAUAUGAGAUACUCUUGCUUUCUACCCUGGUGAUAUGAGAUACUUUUGCUUUGGUGUCAUUUGUUUGCAGAGGUACCCCAAGGAAUAAGAAACACUGAGUAACUCGAGAGGCUUCGUUGGGAAGGCAUUCUCGGAGAUGAAGAAAGGUUCUCGGAGAUGAAGAAAGGUUAUGUAUGUCUGCCUUGCUAUGGAGGGUGAAGGUGGACAGUUAUAGGAAAUUCUUUAGUACCUGUAGAGGUACUAUUCUUUUACUCGUGUCGGCAACCAAUGCGUGAUUGAUCAGUAUGGCUUCACGUGCUUUCUUCUUUAUCAGAAAUCUUCGACAAAUUGUCCGUAAUUUCCGUCAAGCUGAGUGUGCAUGUGACAGGUGUUGACGAGGCUGAAAAAGACUGGCGCCUCUUCGAUAUCUGGGAUCGGCGCUUCGACAAAUUGCCCGUGAUUUCCGCAAAGCUGAGUUUGCGCGUGACAGGUGCUGACGAGGCUGAAAAAGACUAGCGCCUCUUCGAUAUCUGGGAUUGGAGCUUUAACAAAUUGCCUGUGAUUUCCGCAAAGCUGAGUUUGCGUGUGACGGGUGCUAACGCGUCUGGAAAAGCAAGAUGCUUCUCCGAUUUCUGAGCUUGCCUCUUCGAUUUUUGAAUUGGCCUUUUCGAAUUCUGAGCUCGCUUCUUCAAUCUCUGAACUCCCGUCGAGUAUUGAUUUUUAUAGAGGCACGCAGUUCGUUUCAAAGCACACUUGAAUUUUUGCUUGUAGAAAACUCCCUUCUUGCACUUCUAAGAUCUUGAUUUGUCCGACCUCUUCUUUCUUCAACACCUUUGAAAAUGUCUGGACCCUCCGACCGUCGUUUUGACUUAAAUCUUGGUGAAGAGGCAGUCCCGCCUUCUCCAGACAACAUAUGGCGCCCAUCCUUCAUAUCCCCUACUGGUCCUCUUACCGUUGGGGAUUCGGUGGUGAAGAAUGAUAUGACUGCUGCGGUGGUGGCCCGAAACCUUGUCACUCCCAGAGAUAACAGACUACUUUCCAAACGGUCUGAUGAGUUGGCUGUUAAGGAUUCUCUGGCUCUCAGUGUGCAGUGUGCAGGUUCUGUGUCUAAUAUGGCCCAACGCCUAUUUGCUCGAACCCGUCAAGUUGAAUCAUUGGCAGCUGAGGUGAUAAGUCUCAAACAGGAGAUUAGAGGGCUCAAGCAAGAGAAUAAACAGUUGCAUAAGCUCGCACAUAGCUAUGCGACAAACAUGAAGAGGAAGAUUGACCAGAUGCAGGAAUCUGAUGGUCAGAUUUUACUUGAUCAUCGGAGGUUUGUGGGUUUGUUCCAGCAGCAUUUGCCUUCGUCUUCUGGGGCUGUACCGCGUAAUGAAGCUUCAAAUGAUCAACCUUCGGUGCCUUCUCCUUCUAGGGUUCCACCGAGUGAUGAUGCUCUGAAUAAUAACCCUCUGAUGCCUCUCCGAUCUGGGGCUCCGCCGAGUACUGAGGCGCCACCUGAUCAAUGAAGGUUUUUGUUUGUUUGCACUUUUCUUUUUUUUUUUUUUUUUUGGUAUGUAAAUGUUCCGUCUGUAAUUUUUCCAGAGAAAUCAAUGAAAUGGACUUUAUUUCUCUCAAUGCAUUUGUUUGUUUUUUUUUCUUCAUGUGGUGCAAUCAGCAACAUCCUUUAUUUAUUUAUUUUUAAUUUAUAUAUAUAUAUUUUUUAAUUUUUUAUUAUUAUUAUUUUUUUCUUUUCAGAUGGUGCAAUCCGCACCAUCCCUCCUUUUUUUAUAUUAUUUUUUUAUUAUUAUAAUUUUUUUCUUUUCAAUGGUCCAAUCCGCACCAUCCCCUUUUUAUUUCUUUAUUAUUUUUUUAUUUUAUUUUAUUUUAUAUAUAUAUUUUUUAUAUUUUUUUUUAUUUUCAGAUGGUGCAAUCCGCACCAUCUCCUUUUUUUUUUUUAUAUAUUAUUUUUUUUUUAUUUUUUUUUCUUUUGAGAUGGUGCAAUCCGCACCAUCCCUUUUUUUUAUAUUAUUUUUUUUAAUUUUUUUUUCUUUUGAGAUGGUGCAAUCCGCACCAUCCUCCCCUUUUUUUUAAAUUUAUUUAUUAUUUAUUUAUUUAAUUUUUUUAUAUUUUUUUUCCUUUUUAGAUGGUGCAAUCCGCACCAUCUUUUUUUUUUUUUUUUUUUUAAUCAUCACCCUCUCUUCUUUUUUUCCUAUAAAUACCCCCAUAGGUUGCCUGGCAAUGGGCAGAAGAUUGAGCAGAGGGAGAAUGCAGACGGGUGACAUCGUGGUGCAGUAACAGCAAGCUUUUAGGUAUUUUUUAAGCUUUUUUUUUUUUUUUUUUUUUUGACCUCAUAUAUAUAUAUAUAUAUAUAUAUAAUCUGUUUAUGAUGCUAGAAUAUAUAUACAUUCCUUCAAUCGUCCCAUCACCAUCAUUGUGUACACAUUAUAUAUAUUUGUAUAUGGAACUUGGUUGCUGUGUCUUAUAUAUAUAUAUAUAUAUAUAUAUAUAUAUAUAUAUAUAUAUGUGCACACACACCCAUAUACGCACACACAUAUAAUACCAUAUAAUGUGUCUAUUUUUAUACACAGUGUGUUUGUGCCCUCACUGAUGGAUUUCUUUGCUACUGUAACGUGUUUUGAAGGACCGUCUUGUAGCUACCCAUUUUUGCCGUGCCUAUUCAAGCUUUGUGGCUGACUUUUCCGUUGCAGUCAUGGUGUUUCUUAAGUGCUUUAAAAACAACACCAUCACCAUUCUUGCGAAGGAAGGCGAUCCACAAGAUAGUGGAACGACAUUGAAGCUUUAUGUGCCACUGACUGGCCCUAAGGCACUUGUUCUUCCCAUAAAAGACAACUUCAUGCAUAUUAAGUCGUGGUCUUCUGAGGUAUUUUGGGAGCUGGUAGACUCCGUUCGACCAACUUCAAAGAGGAAGGUGUGCAGAUCGAGGAUUCUUAUCUUGAACUCUUCGCACCAUGAUCGUGCCAACCCUUUGGUUAAGUCUAAGCUUCUUGGUGAUCGUAUCCGUAGCGGAGCUAUAGCUUGGAAUAGCACCCUGUCGACAACUGGAGGACCCGUCUUCGUUGAGUUUUAUUGGGAAUGGCUUGAAGAUGUCUUGAGCCGCUCCAAAGAUGUACUUACCAACACAGGCCUUUGUCAUGCUGUAUACGCAUCUUUGUUUAGUUAUGAUCGUCAUCCUUCCGUCAUUCGUGCAUUCUUUGAGCAUUGGUGUUCAGCGACCAACACGCUUCACACGGCUCAAGGGGAGAUGUCGAUUUCACUUAGGGAUCUCCACAAGCUAGGGGGUCUGCCCAUCCAGGGAAAAUUUUAUGACGAGGUUGUUCCUAGUGUGGAGGAGUUUUCUUGUCGCAACAGUCGAGGAUUGCAUGCUAGCUGCCGCUAUUUGUUCUGGGCAUACCAUAAGCUUUUCCAAGAGGCCCCCGGUAAGUCAGGCGUGAAGAUUUCUUCGUGGAUCCGGUUUUGGUAUUGGGAUGCCGUGAAGUACAAGAGGCCUUCGAAAAAAAAUGGUCGUAACAAAACAACCAGGCCUAAGGGAGAUUCUGAUCCGUCAGGCGUCAUUGGUCUAGCUGGGCGCCGUACCCCUAACGAGUUAAGGACAUUUGAGGAUCUUGGCGUGGCGUUAGAGCACUUGGAAGAAUCUUACUUAGCUGCAUUCUUAGUUUGUUGGCUUUGUAAGUUUGUCUUCCCUAAAGACGAUGUCAACUUGAUUCGUCCUGGAGUCUUCAAAGUUGCUAGCAAGAUGGCUACGGGCGAAUCUUUUAGCCUUGCUAUACCGGUCUUAGCCAAUAUUUACGACGGCUUAAGAGUUGUUUCGGACUUGGCAAGCACUGAAGAUCGUGAUGCGGUACUUCCUUACCAUUAUGUGUACGGUUGGUUGGGUGAGUACUUUGGUACUCAUUUUUCUUCGUCAACUUUAGACAAGUCUGGGCCUUCCGUAGUCAAGCUAGGACCUUUGAUGACGAAGUAUUCUGGCGUGUUUUCUGCGAAGAGUCUCGACGAUCAGCAGGCGCAAGCAUUAUUUAGAAGUUGUGAAGGAUUGAAGAUGGAUCGCCUGGCGAGGUUUGGCACGGUGCGGCGAGACAUCAUAGAUGAUUCACAUAUCCACUUUUCAGACUUGUCUUACCUUAUAAGUCUCCGCUCAGGGUAUGUUUCUUUGCGGCAAGAAGACCGAUGUAUUAUUCAGCCGUACAGUCCUCAUCGCUUUAGUAGGCAAUUUGGUUUUGUCCAAAAUAUACCAGGCACGUUGAGGGAUAAAGCUCGAUCAGAAUCCUUGCAAGCCGUGUAUAUGCAUUGGGAGUCGUGUACCCGUGCAUGUACAAAUGCUUCUAUCACCCUGCCGACCAAGGACGAGUUCAAGAGUAAUCCAGUAACCCGUGUUUACGUACGUUGGUGGUCAAAGGUAUAUUAUGAGAAUUUAGGGACGGCAAGUGGUACCAAUUCUUCCCAUUCACAUCAUGAUGCGUUAAAAGAGGGUUGUUCUGUGGUUCCUACACAGUUGGUACCUUUUGAUUGUGCGAGUGUCACUCCUUUGCGAGAUAGACCUGUAGCUUUAGCUCCUCAACGCCCAUGCUUGUCUCCUCGACAUUCGGAUGCUUCUGAAGAGGCAGGAGAUGAAGGUGACACGCACGAAGAUGGAUUUAUUUUGCAGCAGCGUUAACAAGUUUCAAACAAGCGACCACUUGAGGAUGCUCAGGCUGACAGUGAUGUCAAUUUUUGUCAUAAGAAGAAAGAAGUGUUUAGACCUCCUCAAUUCGAUGACCGUAGGCCAUUUGAGAGAGAUGUAUGUACUUUAUUUUCUCUCAUGAUUUCUUCUGCUUUUAUGAUUUUGGCUUUUGUUUCUAACAUCUUUCUUUGUUGUCUUUAGGUUGGGCCUUCCCGUCAUUUUGAUUUGGCAACUGCAAAUGUUUAUUCCUAUACGGAGAUGCUAUUUAUAGGCGGCCUACCUACAGAUAGAGAGAUCGGGGAUCCGCCUGGUGUAGAGCUUGUUCCAAAUCCGUCGAACUUCCCGAGUUUGCCAUGUGUAGGUGGAGGUAUGCAAGAACCUAUCAUGUGUCCAACACCUUUGCCAGCUAGCUUUGAGAUCUCUUUAAAAGGGCCGAACCUUAGCGGUACUAAGUGACUCAUCCGUCGUAUCAGUCUUGGUGCGGCAAUGGAGAUCAAGGGCCAUAUUGAAGCGAGGAUUUCUAAGUGUCCACUGGAAGACCUUACGUUGCUCAAUGAGGAUUUGUUGAAGUUUGUUUCUGCGAUUGACAACCUUAACGUUGAUUCCUCAUCCUUGAAGAUCAAGAUUGCCGGACUUAUGGCUGCCUCGACUGAGUAUUCUUCCUUGCGUGCUAUUUCUUUGGAGAAGUUGAGUCCAGAUGAUAGAGCUCAUCAACUAGCAACGAUAAACUCGUCACUGGCUCAAGUCCGGUCUUUUCAGGAAGCUGUUUCAGGAAAUUAUCAAGUCACGGAGACUUCUUUAACUUCUGUCCAGGGGCGUCUAGAUGCAUUGGUGCGAGAGCGGGAGCAGUUGGUAAUCGAAGCAUCGCAACUUGAAAGUGUUCUUGCGGAGCAGGGAACUGCACUUUCUCAGUACCAAUAGGAGAUUUCGUGCCUAGAACGAGAGAAAGGCAUGGCUAUGGAGUUGCCCAUCUUGUCUCCCAUCGAGGUAGAGACUUUGAAGACUUUGGAAGGCUCGCUUGAAGAGCGCAUUCGUAGUUUUAAGGACAUAGUUUUCAAGUAGUACCUUAUGUUUUUUUUUUUAUUAUUAUUUUUUUAAUAAUAAGGCUUUGGAGCCGACUCCUUCUUCUAGAGAAAUAAAGCACUUAUGUUCUUGAAUUUGCUCUUCAAUCUUCAAAGUUUUGUAUAUAUAUAUAUUUUUUAGAUGGUGUGACUGUACUUGAAGUUUUGAUGCUUCAAGUUGCCUACGUACCCUUUGUUGAGGAGGGAUCAAGUCAUAACGUAGUUCAAAUGAGUGAUGAAUUGAACAGUGAUUUUGAUGAUGAUUUUACCGUACACAGUUUAUGCUCUUGCGGGCCAGGAGCUUUGGUUCAUGCAGUUUAGGCUCGUGCGAACAAAGAGCAUGAGUUGUCACCUUUAAGGGGUAGUAGCGCUUCAAGAAUCUUCCAUUGAUAGGGCCGAUCUUUAAGCCGUCUUCCGCCAUGAUUAAGUAGGCGCCAUUGGUGUAGACUUCUUGUAUUACGUAUGGUCCAUCCCAUUUUGACGUGAACUUGCUCUUUGUCUUGUGAGUUGUGAUGAUAGGCCUACGCAAUGAAAGGACGAGAUCUCCCAUUUGAAAAGAACGAGGGAAAACUUUCUUGUUGAAGGCCUUGGAGAGUCGUGCUUGAUAACACUCCAAGUGUUGUUGGGCUUUGAGUCUUUUCUCAUCCAGGGCUUCCAGCUCUUGAAGGCGCAACUUUGCAUUCUCUUCGUCAGUCAAGCCUUCUUGUAGAGCCAUCCUUAGCGAGGGGAUUUGACUUUCGAGGGGUAGAACAGAUUCCACGCCAUAUACGAGAGAAUAAGGUGUAGCUUGGGUAGGCGUUCUAUAUGUCGUCCUGUAUGCCCAAAGUGCUUCGCCUAUUCUUUCAUGCCAGUCUUUCUUUGUUCUGCCGAUUACCUUCUUCAGGAGGUUGCACAAUGUCUUGUUAAAUGCUUCUGCAAGACCGUUGGCCGGAGCAUGAUACAUGGAGGAUUUGUGCUGCUUGAACUUGUAUUUCUCGCAGAGCUCGUCCACGAGUCGGUUGGAGAACUGUUUUCCGUUGUCAGUGACAAUGUAGCGAGGCACGCCAUAUCGGUGGAUGAUAUGUUCCUUGAUGAAACGGACGACAGUUUCCUUCUUGACUUCCUUCAGGGGUUUGGCUUCAGCCCACUUGGAGAAGUAAUCUGUUGCAGCCAGGAUGUAAGCUUCUCCUGCAGAUGACUUUGGCGCAAUUGGUCCUACUACGUCUAAUCCCCAUGCAUCAAAUGGCCAUGAAGUAGCUGUAGGGUGUAAUGGUUCAGGCGGUUGAUGUAUGAAGUUGGCGUGAAAUUGGCAGGCUUGGCACCUUUUGGUGUGUUCUAGGCAGUCCUUUACCAUGCUUGGCCAGUAGUAACCCAUUCUUUUGAGCUGGAAAUGAAGCUUCGGUCCGGACUGAUGCGCUCCACAUAUUCCUGAGUGUGCUUCUUCCAUGGCUUGAUUAGCUUCAUCCUCGCCUAAGCAUCUCAGAAGUAAUCCUUCAAAAGAUCGCCGGUAGAGUGUCCCUUUGUAAUAAAGGAAGCGAUGCGCUCGUCGACGUACUUCAGAACGGUAUUUUGGAUCAUUUGGGAGUAUUCCAUGCUCCAAGUAGUUGAUCAGCGGCUGUCUCCAUUCUUCAACGUUGACCGGAAGUAUAGAAAUAACAUUUGUAUCACUUAGUACCAUUUCAGUGACAGGCGGGAUUACCCAUCUUUGGCAAACUGGCACAUUUGUGGCUUCGUCUUCUCCUAACGUUAUGCUCGAGGCUAGGUUGGCGAGAGCAUCUGCCAUUUGAUUCUCUUUUCUUGGCACGUGUUCUAGUGUUACGGCCUCAAAUCUUUGUAGCAAUUGAGUUGCCAGCCGGAAGUAUGGGACGAGAUCAUCUUUCCUAACCUUAUAUUCAGUCAAGAGUUGAUUGAUUAUGAGCUUGGAGUCGCCAUAUAUCUCAAGGGCUAUGAUUUCCAUGUUGAUUGCCAUUUGGAGCCCGAUGAUCAGUGCUUGGUACUCAGCGACGUUGUUGGAGCAUAAUUCGCUUAGUUGGAAUGAAUAAAGUAGUAUUUGCCUUUGUGGCGACAUGAAUACUACUCCUGCCCCCGCUCCGUCUGCUCGUGCAGAUCCGUCGAAGAACAUCGUCCAUGUCGGAAAUAUGUCGAUGUAGAACACCUCUUCGUCAGGCAAGUCGUCUGAGAUUUUCCAAUCGGCUGGGAUUGAAUGGUCGGCAAGGAAGUCUGCUAGUGCUUGUCCCUUGAUGGCUUUAGCUGGGACAUAGAUGAUCUCGUAUUGAUUGAGAAGCAAUGCCCAUUUAGCUAGUCGUCCUGUCAAAACUGGCUUGGACAUGACAUAUUUGACCGGGUCAGCUUUAGCAACCAAGUGGAUGGUGUAAGCAUGCAUGUAAUGUCUGAGCUUUUGGAUGGCAAACAUCAAGGCAAGGCACAUUUUUUCUAUUGGGGAGUAGUUCAACUCAGCGCCGGUGAGCGUUCGACUGAGGUAGUAGAGCACUCCUUCUUUCUGGGAUUCGUUUUCCUAUGCCAAGAGUGCUCCAACUGAACUUUCCUGAGCAGCGAUGUACAAUAUGAGCGGUUUCCCUGGUACAGGUGCCCCCAAGACAGGUGGACUUGAUAAAUACUUCUUUAUGCUUUCAAAAGCAUUGUUGCAUGCUUUGUCCCAUACGAAUGGAACAUCUUUCUUCAUGAGUCGACUGAACGGUUGACAACGCCCUGCAAGGUUGGAGAUGAAGCGUCUGAUGAAGGCUAGCCGUCCUUGUAGACUUUUCAACUCGUGCAGGUUUCUUGGCUCGGGCAUGCUUUGAAUGGCCUUGAUCUUUGAUUGGUCCACUUCAAUGCCACGAUGCUUGACAAUGAAGCCGAGGAACUUUCCAGAUGUGACGCCAAAUGCACAUUUUAACGGGUUCAUCUUGAGGUUGUAUUUUCGCAACCUUUCGAACAUUACUCGCAAAUCCUUCAAGUGAUCUGGUCUUUUCUUUGUCUUGACCACCACAUCGUCUACAUAGCAUUCUACAUUCUUGUGUAGCAUGUCAUUGAAGAUCUUCUACAUUGCACGUUGAUAUGUAGCUCCAGCAUUCUUCAGGCCAAAGGGCAUCACCUUGUAGCAGUAGAUACAUUUUGGAGUGCGGAAGGCUGUUAGUUCCUCAUCUUCAAGAGCCAUACGAAUUUGAUUGUAUCCAGAAGAGCAGUCCGUGAAUGAUAGUGCCUCAUGGCCAGUGGUCACGUCCACCAUGAUUUCAAUGAUUGGCAAUGGGAAGUCAUCCUUUGGGCAAGCAUCAUUGAGGUCUCGGAAGUCUACGCAAACACGUAUUUGUCCAGAUUUCUUAAAAACUAUGACGAUGUUAGAGAUCCACUUAGGGUAUUGCACCUCUCGAAUGAAGCCUGCUUCGAUCAACUUGUCAAUCUCAGCCUCGAUUUGUGGGAUGAGCUCGGAUCGAUAGCGUCUUUGAGUUUGCUUUAUUGGUCGCGUUCCAGGCUUGACUGCAAGAUGAUGCACAGCAAUGAUAGGGUCGAGGCCGGGCAUUUCCUUGUAGGUCCAAGCAAAGACGUCCUUGUACUCUAAUAGCAGCUGGUAAUACUUCUCUAUCUCGUCUGCACUUAGUAAUGCACUUACGAAGAUAGGCUUUGGUUCCUCACUUGUGCCUAAGUUGAGUUCUUUGAGAUCAUCAACUGUGGCUUGCCCUCCAUCUUCGAGUUGUGACGGUGCUGCAAUGACAUCUUCCUCGAGGAUUUCAUCUUCUUCACCUUCUUGGAUUGUGAUGUGGAAGACGUCUUGGGCCUCUUCUUCGGUGUUGACCUCUCGAGCUUGUUGUCAUGAAGAUUGUCCAGUGUGGAUGAUGGUGCGUCUUUUCACUUUCAGUGAUCCAACUGUGUUAACCUCUAAAAUUGCUUGGCGCUUCAUUCUUGAAGGAAUGGAACUUCGAACGUCAUCCUUUUCUACCAGACGAUCGAUCUUUUCUACUUCUAGUGUUGUCUUUCUUCUUUUGGAAGGCUCUUUGGCUUCUCCAAGUCUUUCCAUAACUGACUGUCGUGGAGGAAAGCUAGUCGUAUCGCUUUGCUUCUUAGGUUUCGAUAACCUUUUGAAAACAGAGCUUCGAGAUACUGAUGUGUUAAGCUUUUUGAAUACGGAAGUUCUGUUUUGACCGCCAAUGAGUUUAGGUGCCGAAACUCUGGUCCUUGAACGGUUCAUUCUAUCAAAUACUGACGCCUGAGGGGCAGUACGAGGCUCCUCUUUAUCUUGUAUAAUGCUCACGCUGAUGUGUUGAGCGCUAGCAUUUUUUGCCUUGCUGGAGAUCUUCACCGGUGCAUUUGGUGUGAAGCCAAGUCCAGCUUUGUUGUUGUUGACCCCGUAACCAUGCUCCUCCAACUUCUUCUGAGUUUUAGUAAGAUCACGUUCGUUGUCUUUGAUGGUGUUCAAAUCCUUCUUUCCCAAAUUUGCAGAGGAGGUGAAGUUGUACCCAGCUUUCGACAUGAGUUUGUAGGCGUUUGGAUCAAAACCUUCUUCGGUCCUCUUAGUUGGGAGAAAGCUUGGUUCUACCCCCUUUGGCAGGCCUUUUAUGAAGCCUUGUGAUGGCCUUGCAACCUUAAUGUCGCUUAGCUGUGUCAGAAGGCAAAACUGCAUUUGUUUUGAGCCACUUUACAUUAUCCAUGUGCCGCUAUGUAUCGGCUUUGCUUGCUGCAGUUUCUAACGGGGAUUGACCAUUCUUUCUUCUCGACGUUGGGAUGUAUCGGAAAACGGGUAUGUUUGGUCCAUUUGAAGGCGUCCUAUUCCCUCUGGUUGUUGCAGGUUUAGCAAGCUCAUCGUCGUUUUUGUUUGAAGAUGGCAUAGCUUCUUCUUCUUGCUUCUUGGGCACGGCUUGCCACUCCUGUUUUUUAGGUGUUGCUUUGCCCAUGGAUUUGAUCUCUUUUGGAAGAGUUUCGGGCACCAUGUCUUCAUCCAUGUAGAACUUGGCGUCUGCGAAAUGUGAUUCGGCUUCGGUGAAUGGCUUGGUGUCGCCAUAGAUCACCUUUACUCCUUCUCGGUAAAAUUUUAAGCAUUGGUGAAGGGUGGACGGUACUACUCCAUUUGCAUGGAUCCAAGGCCUUCCUAAGAGCAAACUGUAGGAAGUUCUUGCAUCAAUCACGUGGAAUAUUGUGCUUGACUUAAGUUCACCAAUGGUCAUCUCUACUCGGAUCAUGCCCAUCGCUCUUUGUCCUCCUUGAUUAAAACCUUGGAUUAGUAGACGGCUUAGGGAUAGUUCAUCCACCUUGAUGCCGAUAUGGUCAUUGUUGACUUUGGCAUGAUAUUUAUGGCUGAUCCGCCAUCCACAAGCAUACGGCUGACUUUGUGCUCCCUUACGUAACCAGAGAUGAAGAGAGGUCGGUUGUGAGGCUUGGAUCCUAGCAGCAAGUUUUCGUCGGUGAAGUGGAUUACGUCCUCGGCGGCACAGCAUGUGGCACAUUCAUGUGGUUGAAGCUUCAAGCUUUCGUUCUUGCUUUCUUGUACUUCAUGGUCGUCGGAACUUGCCAAGAUCGCUGCCAGUUCUUUUCGCAUCUUUUUUGGCAACCGGAGCGCUCCCUCGAUGCUAAAGUGUGUUGGCAGACCUUUUUCAGUUGUAGGAGUCUUUUCCCCCUCAUUGGUGAUAGCUUUGCCUUUUGGGGGUUCUUCCAUUUCUACUUCGACCAUGUGACAUGCAGUGAUAGUGCAUUGUUGGAAGAAGUCCUCCGGGAAGUAUUCGUCCAAGGAGACAGGAAUCGUGGCUCUUGUUCCAUAGGUUCCCCAGCAUAUGUUGACUUAGCAGCUCUUAUACUUCUUUUAGGCUUCCUAUUGUUGCGACGACGAUGCUUUCUCGCUUGCUCCCCUUUUGGCUUUAUAGCUUGUGGUCUUGGCUUCCUCGUCUUCUUAUAGGUCACCAAUGUCCACCCUUCUUCAUCAUCGAUAGGUGCAUCCUGGUCGUUUGCCCCCAAUGAUGGUUGUGCAGAAGGUGCCGUGUAGAUUGUGCAUUGAUAGGAAUGGUCGGGUAUUUCUUGAAGAGGCACAAGAUCAAAGGACCCGAACACGAUCGUAGUGGUAUGCGUUGCGGCUGUGUCUUCUAGGUCGAGCUCAAUCCACCCUUGCUGUGCCAACUUCAUGAUGAGUUCUUUUAGGAUGAAACAUUUGCCCACAUGAUGACCCACGAUACGAUGGUACUUGCAGUACUUGGGAUCGUUGGUACGAUUUAUCUCUUCAGGGCGUUUGCAUUCAGGCAACUCAAUCACCUUCUUCUCCAGCAAGUCGUCCAGCAUUGCAUCCAUGUCGGAGUCCGGAAAAGGGUAUACCUUCUGCUCCAGUUCCCUUAAAGUGUUUUUGUACCUAUCUUGGGUGUGAGAAGGCUCACUUCUUUUUAUCUCCUUUGCUUUGUUAUUGAAGGAGAUUUUGACGGGUGCGGACGAGGUCUUGAUAGGGAUGGUUUUGGUGGUAAAAGCUUCCUUGGCGGGCUUUUUCCCAUGAUUGUCUGCUCUUGAAGUAAAUACCUUAUCCCUUUUGAAAUCGGUGAUUGGCUCCUUCUUUCCAUGGUGGGCGAUGCUCAGUUCCAUGUCGUGAGCACGGGUGGCUAAUUCUUCAAAAGUCCGUGGCUUGAUACCUUGAAGGAUGUAUUGUAAACCCCAUUGCAUGCCCUGGAUGCACAUCUCGAUUGAAGAAAUCUCGGAGAGUCUGUCCUUACAGUCGAGGCUUAGAUUAUGCCAUUGGCUGAUGUAGUCCAUGACUGGUUCUUCCCUCCAUUGUUUCGUGCUCGUCAGCUCCAGCAUGCUCACAGUGCGGCGGGUACUGUAGAAGCGGUUGAGGAAUUCCCUUUCCAACUGUUCCCAGCUGUUGAUGGACUCGGGCUCCAGGUCUGUGUACCACUCAAAGGCGUUUCCUUUUAAUGAGCGCACAAACUGCUUGGCGAGGUAAUCUCAUUCCGUCCCUGCAUUGUUGCAGGUUUCGAUGAAAUGUGCGACAUGUUGCUUUGGGUUUCCAUUUCCGUCAAAUUGCAUAAACUUCGGCGGUUGAUAGCCCUUCGGCAUCCUUAAGGCGUCGAUCUUCCUGGAGUAAGGCUUCGAGUACAACGUGGAGGCAUGAGAGCUUCCUUUAUACUGUGCCUUAAUGGUGUUAGUGAUCAUCUCUUGUAGCUGCUGGAUAGAAAGAGAUCCCAUGAGUGCCGCUGCUUGGUCUGGCUCCGGCUUCACAUCUAUUUUCUUCACCGGGGGCUUGUCUUCUUCGUCGUCUUCCUUCUUCAGAUGAUCAAUCUUCGGGUUGGGUUUCUCGCCAUCCUGCGCUCGGUUGACGAGUGCUGCAAUUUGUAAGUCUUUUUCUUCCACAGUUCGGGUGAACCUUGCAAUUGCUUCAUUCAUCUGAGUCAGCUGCUCAUCAAUUGAAGUUACUCCGGCAGCCAUAACUUGCAUGGAUGUGCUGUCGCUUGAGUCAGCAUCGGAAAACAAAGACUCGGAGUACUUCUUCGGGCUUUCCUCCCUUGGUUCCCUUAGCGAGGCUAGGGUGAUCACAGGUUCGUACCUCGGGUACUCUUGCUCCUUUGGCAAGAUUGAUGUAGGGGUGGAAGAUGAGGCAACAAGAGCUCUUGCCUUGCUUCGAGUUACGAUGCCUGAAAUGGCACCGCCUGCGGCAAUGAUGCUCUUGUUCUUCGUGUUGGUUGUGGGAACAGCUUGAGCCUUCCUUGAUGCCAUUGAUUUUGGAAGUGUGCUCGAAUUUCUUGAACGGAAAAAGAGAUGAGAGGUAGAGAUGGUCCCACUGGGGGUGCCAAUUUGUGAACACGGAAAAUUCAUGAAACGAAAGAGACAAGAACAACGUGCACAAACAAAUAUUUGUAUUUUUGAUGAUUUUGGGUUACAAUCUCUCUUAAAUUUGAUCCUCUGAUUCAAUCUCCGUAAGGUGUGUAUUUGUGGAUGUGCGAUUGAUCCAAAUGGCCAUUGGGCUUGAUCUAAGGAUGAACGUUCUUCAAGGGCCGUGGACUUGAUCUUGAAGGUGGAUUUGAGCGGAUCUUCAAAGGGGCUUUUGGGCUUGAUCUUUGAAGAACAGUGAUGAACGGAUCUCCAAGGGCUUUUGGACUUGAUCUUGAAGAACGGUUGGACGUGUGGAUUUGUUGAUGUUGUUGAUCCAAGGGGCCGUCGGGGCUUGAUCUUAGAAGAACGAUGAACGAAGAACGAAGAACAAUUUCUUCAAGGGCCGUCGGGGCUUGAUCUUGAAGGUGGAUGAUUGUUGAUCCAAGGGCCGUCGGGGCUUGAUCUUGGAAGAAUGAUGAACGAAGAACGAAGAACGAAGAACACUUUCUUCAAGGGCCGUCGGGGCUUGAUCUUGAAGGUGGAUUUGAUGAAGAACGAAAAGGGCUUUCUGGAUUUGACGAAAAACGAAGAGGGCUUUCUUGAUCCUUCGGGAUUUGCUUGAGAGCUUCGGAGUUUCAGAGCUUCAGAGCUUCAAGGUGUAAUAUGAAUUCCUCCCCCCAAAUGAGUGAAUUAGCCUUCUAUUUAUAGAAAUUUCCAAGGCCUAAUUUUGAAUAUAAUAUUCCAGAUGAAAUAAGUCGUUUCUGCCAGGUGUUGACACGUGUCCUGUUGGAUGACUUUUCCAAUUUAUUUCGAUUUUUUGUUUAGACACACGCUACGUGUAAAAUUUAUGUAAUACAUGAGCGUUGAAACUUUGAUUUAUCGGUCAACAUUUAUUUACCGAAAUUUCGAUGUCUACAACAACUACUAAGAAUAAUAUGGAAGAAUUACUAAGAAAAGAUAUGAACAAGGAAAUGAUACCAAUACCUAAAAGACUUGCGAAUACAUAUGCCAAAAUGCCCUGACACCGGGAUCAUGUGCCUCGAUCCUAACUCUUGAGGGGGCGUAAAACAAAAAAGCUGAGUGGACCAAAGUUUAUAAUAAUAAUACUAAUAGUAGGAAAAAAAUUUAUUUUUGAAUAUAAUAACCCCCUGUUUUGAAAACACAUAUAUAAUACUACGUAGUAGGUUUUAUAAAAUCCCUAGCAUGCCAUGUAAAACAUUCGUAAAACAUGUAUGUAAAACCAAUGUUGUGAAAUGGUAAUAACACCCGAAGGAAAAUCCGUAAAUCUCAUUAGUGAGGUACUCAACUAGGGAUAUCAUACUCGCCCAAAGGCAAUACUUAUCCAUCACCCAAAGGUGAAGCUAAAUAACCUGUUCAUCACCCGAAGGUGAAGUUGUAUAACUUGUCCAUCACCCGAAGGUGAAGUUGCAUAAAAUAGCAAACAUCCACACCGACACUAGCCGUGGCUAGUGAAGUUGUUCGACACUGCUUUCGGUAGUGAAGCUAGGGGUAUAUAAUAUAUCAUAUCAAACUCCUUCAUCCUCUGUGUCCUAUGGCCAUAGACAUCUAUACUUGUGCUGUGCGAAUGUACCGUAUAAUAACCACUAGGUAAAUCGUGGUGUGCCAAAAACAUAUCUUCAAAACUCGUAUCAAAAUCCGAAGCUUGCUAGGUCAAACCUCAUCUCAUAAAUCCAAGAUAAAUCGUAUUCAAGAAAUCCAUAAAAUAAUUCAUGCUCGUAAAACCGUAAUAUAAAUCAUGUUCGAAAAUCAUAGAAAUCCAUAUAUGCAAAUCCAAUAAUUCAAUACCUUUAAUCAAACGUAAUUUUGAUAAAUCAAACUAUUUCGUAAACCAUAAUUAUAAAAGUCUAUAAAGCAUAUUAUAAAUCAUAUUCAAAUCAUGAAAUAUGGAAUGCAUGCUAGGCUAAUAUUUUAUAAAAUCAAGUAAGUUAAGAUGGGGUCCACUCACUGAUUUUUUUGCUCGAGAACCGCUCGAACUAGCAAGGAUGACGUCGCUUCCUGCCAACGAGCCUAAACACAAUUAGGGACCAAUUAGUAAAACUAUACUAAAACGUUAGAAUUUAAAAUGGACAGCGAAUUUGGAUCCGGCACGUCGAAAAACCUAAGGAGGGACCUCGGGUUUUCCCCACACAUCGCCGUACUAGCGGCCAUGAGGCGACGGCUCGGAAGGCCACGCGCUGCCGUAUGAGCCACUACACGUGGCAGUCAGCCGCCUUGACUCGUCGAAAAAUUCAACAAUUCUAAAAAAUCCCAAAUUUUACAGGAAUGAAGAUCUCAAUGAAAGGAACAACUUUCAUACCUGAGUCGAGGUCCAAUUCGAUCAGGAAACACCUCAAAUCGCCCUCGAUCCUGCCAGAACCCUAGAAAUGGGUUCAAGGUGAGUGGUUUGAUGGUGGUGGUGGUCGACCUAGCUUUCACGAUCGGUGGAUCUCUACCGUGGCACCCCUGGAACCUAUGGGUUCCAUUCUUCAAGAAUUGAAAGUUAAAUCUAGUGAAAUUUGGUUGGAAAUGGAAGAAGAGAAGAUGAUGGUUAGUUUGCAGGUGGUGGCGAGGUUUGGGUAGCCGGAAACACGUCAGAAAGGUCACGCUACAGAUCGGGUCCGUGGGAAGGAACCGACUAAAGGGUGAUCCGGUGCUCCUCCACUCUCUCAUUUCCCCUCAUUUCUCUCCUCUCUGAUUGGUCACUCUCUCUCUCUCUCUCUUUCUCUUCUUUCUCAUUGGGCAUCCACCCUUAUUUCUCUUUUCUUUCCUCCGUCAAUCUCUCUCUUUUAUAUUCUUUCUUUUCCAUCACAACCAUACACAUGGCACAGAUUGAUGGCUCCAACAAAAUCUAGAGCCUUCCAAAUUUAUGGCCAAUUGACCAUUUUGCCCUCGACUUGGUUCGUUAAUAACUCUUUCGUUAUAACUUCAAUUUACGUUCCGUUUGCGCCCAUGUGUUCGUAGCGAUGAGUACUAUGAGUAUAAGCCAAGAAAACAGAUCUUACAUGACACAACAAAGCGGUCAACAAAAGUCAACGUAUUUGUCUCGAAGGGUAUUUUCAUAAUUUCACAUUUUAAAAUACUUCAUUACGAUCAGGUUUGCACCAAAUAUUCCGUUAGCUAAAAAUACUUCAUACCAUUUCCUAUAGUCUAUUUCCAAGUCUUCCUAACUUUUCCUCCACCCAUUUUGCCUUGAGCCUUCCUUUCAUAGUCGUCUCUUCUACCAUAGCAUUUUCAGAUAUUCGACUCAUGUACCCAAACCACCUUAACCUAUUUUCUUUUAUCUUAUCUUCAAUGGAGACCACUCUUACUUUACCUCGAAUGUCUUCGUUGUUAAUCCAAUCGUUUUGACAUCCAGACCCCAAUAACACAAGGUACGAGGCCAAGAUAUCAUGGCCGUCACUAAAUUGACCAUAUGGCCCCAUUCAGGGAUGACUUGACAAGCCAACUUAAUAACAAAGUCAUAGUAAGAUAAUUACGAUGUGAGUGAAUUUGAAUCAAAGCAUUCAUUAAUAAUAAAUCAAAAGUUGCUACAAAGUUUCGUACUCAUCCUCCCCACUUGGGAACAUAUAUCCAGGGUUUAGAUCCCAUUAUUAUCACAUCACAUCAGAGCAGCUAGAAGUUUCAUACAACAGUAAACACAUAAAAGUGUAGUGCUAUGCAUAAUCAAGAGUGCGAUCAUGCAAAUAUUACUGACAAAAUAAAUAUGUAGUAGAGGAAUCAUCACCCAAAAUCCAAGGGAUGAAACCUCACUGCCAAGCCCACUUGCCACCAUCGAGGUUCUCCUGAUUCUCGCUAUGUCCUGAGGGGUUGAUAAACAAAGCAUGAGUGGAUCAAGUUUUAUCUCGUAAAAAAUCAAUCAAAUAACCUCCGUUUUGAAAUCACCUAUUGUAGAAUUAUCAAAGAGAUGGGCUUAGGGCCCACAUUCAACAAUAUCGAUAUAGCCCGAACUUGGUAAUUACUACCCGCACAAUCUGUCAGGUGUGAGGUUUUAUCACAAAAGGUCUCGGUGUUAGAUGAAGUGGGGAUAUGAUAUUUAAACUUUUCUGUACUUAUAGAUAUCGCUGCUGUGGGAUAUUUCAACACCUAUACAUACAUACAUACAUACAUACAUACAUACAUACAUAUAUAUAUAUAUAUAUAUAUAUUAAAAAUUACAUACAGAAUAAUAGUACCAUAACAGUGGUCACAAUCAAUUCAUCUCGCACAUCAUAUCAUGGAAAGUAAGUCAUUCAUAAAAUCAAAGUAAUAGAAUAUGAUUUUAUCAAUAUCGUAGAUGGUUCUUAUAAUCAUGUAUACGCACGUCGGUGCAACUUCGAUUCCAAUUAUCUAUCUCUUUUAACAACUAAAUAUAUUUAUUUCAUAAAUGCUAUAAUUUGUAUAUAUAAAAAAAUGAUUUGAUCAUAUUAAUUCUGCACAGUCCCCUCAAGUUGGACAGUAAAUGCCAUAAAUCAGGCUUUUUAAUCAAAAUGGAGGAAUUUUAACUAAAAAUUUAUUAUUCCUAAUUUCCUAAAGCCCUUGGGAAGAUAUCUGCCAAUUGUACCCGAGAAGAAAUGUAGGAAGGAGGAAUUUAUAAAGGCAAGGGAUACCUGCUCUUCACUGCAAAAAAACGACACUUAAAGGACAAUUUUCCCGAGUUUUUCACCGCCGUUUUUACCGUUUGCUGCAUAAAAAAAAAAAAUACUCUCCCCUUGCAAGCUCCGUCGUCAAUUCCCUUUGCGAACUUUGAGUCCCUCUGAAAAAAUGAUUAACUUUGUGUUUGGUUAUAUCUAACGAUCCCUAAUUCCAAAUUUAUGGUUUAGAUAUAUAAAAAAGAUAUCUCGGGUACUUCGUUGCUAUCCAUUAAGCUCCCCAAUUUCAAGCAAAGCAAAAAAUUCUAAUUGAGUUGAGUUUUGAACAUGCAGAUUAGUUAGACAACUGAAUUACCAAUCUUUAUUAUUAUUGCAACAAACACACGGAUUACACUAAAAGCUAGUGAAUCAUACACUUGCAGAUGACUUAUCCAAACACAAAGAUAAGACAUGAGUUUAUUAUUAUUGCUAUAAACACACGGAUUACAGCGAAAUUCAAAAACUAAAAACAAGGAAAAAAGUAGUGAUGAAAACCAAUGCCACUUUCGCGGGGAACACGAUUGCAUUCGCACAUGCAACAAGCCUUUUAAACCCAUAGGUGACCCAAAUGGGACGAGUGAAGUCUCGUGAGGGUUUCCAGAGACGUUUCCCACAAACAUCAUGCAUACUGAUCAUCAACAUCUGACUUGGGAGACUGAGUAGAUAUCCACCCCUCCAGCAUCAGGUGUUUUUUGGUUGAGGCGUAAUUCGAAUCUGUUUUCAAUGAAUGGCCUGGUUAAGAGGUCGCUUUGCAAGUGACGUAAUCGGCAACGCGUGAUUAGGUUGUUGCUGUCAGGUGGUCCGACAUGCUCGACCUUGAAUAAUGUGCAAGCCCAAUUGUCUUUGGUUUCGUUUCGGUCAGCAGCUGCGGCCAGGACCAAUAGCCUGUUUUGGUCCACCCUUCUCAAGUAGUUGCCGUUGUAGGAGCAUUUGAUAUGCACGUAAUUCUUGUCAGCAUAGUCCUCAUUAUUUGGCUUCUCGGUGGUGAACUUUAUGAACCUACUAUUUUCAUUGUCCUCAGAAAACUGGACAAUCUCAUGAAGGUCACUUUCUGAAUCAAGUUGAUAGCGCAAAUACUUGUUGUUGAUAUCUGCUUUCAGCAGAAAAGGGCUUGGUAGUACAGGUGGAGCCAUAUCGUAUAGUGUAGUUGGGAUUGGGAUGGUCUCUCUUUUUUGUUGUCUGUUGAUGAUCUAAUUUGCUUGCUGUGAAUGUGAUGCUUAGUUCAAACCUGCUAUCCUAUUUAUAAGAAAAUAAGAACAAGCUAGUUCAAGUUAUGGUCUUUAAUUAAUAUUAAUUCCGACAAAUCAGUUUCCCAUCUCUUUCAUUGAUAUGAACAUGGCUGAUCUCAUUGGUAUGGCGCAAUAUUAUUUGUUAAAUUUGCUGUUCGGGUUGAUUUCUUUGUGUAACUCUUCUGCCAAUUCUGCAACUUGUAGACUUAAUUCCCAUUACAAAAUUAAAAAAAAAUAAAAUCCAAAACUAAUGUAAGAUAAAUAAAGACUUUUUAUAUCAUAAAAUAAGACUUUCUAACUUGUUUACAAGACUAUAGUGACAAGAUCAAACACAUUGAUGGGUGAGCAUUUUCCAUCAACAUCUGUUCUGUGCGUUUAAACUGAGCGUGGAGUCUUUUUUAGCAAUUAAAAGUUUUAUAUCAUGUAAUUGACUUGGUUUGAUAAGACCUACAUCUAGAUGACUUGGUUCUGAAGACUAAUGUAAAACCUUAUGUUGAUAUUUCUUGAGGGUGAAACAUCAUUUGAGAAUCGUUUUGGGUCUCAUUACAAUUUUUUUCAUUUAUUUUUUAAGUUUCGGCUUAAAUAUUCUACAAAAUACAUUUGUGGAUUUAAUAACAGGUAAAACCACUUUCAAAUACUUGUGAAGUUUUUCUUGACGUCACGGAAAUUUUUUUACGAAAUUGAAACACAUUUGCAUUUUUCACAAAAAAUGGGGUUUGUCAGUUUUGUAAAUUUGUAUAAAAAUCUUCAUUAAGUCCAUUUGUUUUCACAUUCACCUUACCAUGAGGCACUUAAAUUAAAUUUAUAACUUUCCAUCGAUACUUGAGUAUAGACCCUUGUUAAGGCAAAGAAUUGGACUUCACAACAAUUGUUUUAUUUUUUUUAUUUUUUAGGUUUUGGCUGAAAUAUUCUAUUAAAACUAAAUUUGUGGCUCAAUAAUUGGUCAAACUCCUUCCAAAUGCUUUAUAAAUAUAUUGACCUAAUGCUAACGAAAAAUAUUUUGUGAAGAUUAAGGAUUUGGAUUUCUCACAAAAAAUGUGGUUGCUCGCUAUUUUUCCUUAGUUUUGCAAAUUUGUACACAAAUCAUCAUUCAAUCUAUUAGUUUUCAUCUUUGCCUCAGUGUGAUAGUGUGAUGUUUCUAAAAUUAAUGUAAGAGUUUUUGUUCAUAGUCUUGAGUAUAUACUCCGUUUAGGCAAUGUUGGACCUCACCACUGUUUUUUUUUAUAUUAUUUUUUGGGUUUGGAUUAAAGUAUUCUAUUAGAAAUACAUUUAUGGCUCAAUAAUUGGUAGACCACUUUCAGAUGCCCUAUAAAGAUUUUCUUAAUGCUCUUGAAAAAUAGAAAAUUUGUAUUUUUCACACACAAAAACAUGGGCUAACACUAACGAUUUUUAGGUGAUUUUGCAAAUUCGUACAAAAAUAUUUGAUACGACCAAUAUUGCAUACAUUUUAACGCCCUUUAGUUUCGAUUCUUGUUAUGUUUUUGGGUGAAUUUAGUUUGUUUCACUUAGUUUUAUGUUUUUCUUAGAUUUGAAGAGUGAAGAUGAAGAAAGAAGAAAAAUGAGUACUUUUGCGAUUAAAAUGAGUUGGCAUGCUGGAAGCAGAAGCUAUUUGUGCAGAUCAGUCAACUUUACGGAUUAAACUGUACUUCCUCAGAAGGAACCAGCUGUUGAGCCUUAUACCAUUGGAAAGAUAUGGAUGUUAGCUUUCAGAGGAAUUCUACGGACUGUGAUUUCGAGUUUUCUAGACGAUGUUAUGAAGGUUUUCAUACAAGACGUCGGUCAGCCGAGUCCAUGCGGAAAUUGCAAAGUCUGUUGGGUUUUUCGAGUCAUAAUUCAGUCGAAGUCCAAAGCCCAAGAUAGAACGUGCUGAGCUGACUUUAAUCCUAUUUCGAAUGGGUUUGAAGUAAUUAUUUGGGAAGUUUACUUGCCACAUCAUUCAGUUAUGCAAUACAAAGGAUAUCACAAGACCUAAUUAUGUUAGGACUUGUCUACCAUAUAAAGGGGGUUUUUGGGAACGUGCUUUAGGGGGGUCGCAAGAAGGAGCAAAAAGAAGAGCAGCAGCCGCUUUCCAUCUUUCCUAAGUUUUUCAUGUUCUUAAUAUUUUUAAUUAUGUUUUCUUAUUUUAUGAGUAACUAAACUCUUUUUCUAGGGUUAGGAUGAUGCCCUAGCAUGGAUGCAUAUGGUUUUUAAUGUUAUUCAUUGGAUUUCUAGAUUCUUUCAGAUGAAUGUUUAAUCACUGUUUGAAUUGUUACUCUUUGUAUGAGUUCUUUGAUUGAUCACCUUAGGACUUUGCAUCUAGUAAGAUUGGAAGAUGAAUUUGAGGCUGAACUAGCAAUAUAAUUCAAUUAGCUUCUUGUGGUUAACUGUGGUAAAUUACAUUAUUGCUUGACAAAGAAUAAUGGUUUGCUUGGUUCCCUUCUUUUCUAGACUGUAAAGAGUCCUACUUGUUAAAUUUAUACCUUAACCAGGAUCGACUGCAUGUUAGGAUAUACGACCUCUACCUGAACUAGGAGAGAAUCAUUCACUUAAGGAAAACUAUGGUCUAAUGUGCCUGACAAGGACUUAGAUAUGGGAAUUAUCAUCUAAACAAUCGAAAGAUCCAUUGAAUGCAUUGCAACCUAAACUAGAUUGCUUGUGGUUGAUUCCGAAUCCCUAGAUUUUCAUCACUUGCCUUACAACACAACGUUUUUUUUUCUUUAAUUUCAGUUUUUACUUAAGGUUCUGUUUUUGUUCGUUUAUAAAAUCAUCACAACAAAUUCUUCACAUCCUUGAUUGAUUUAUUAAUUAAGAUCGAGUCUAGUUCGUUGUUUGGGGUUGUGUGUCAUUAAUAUUAUUAGAUUUGGUUUGGUUUAUCAAAUUGGAGAUUUAAUUAGAAUCCUCGUGAGAACGAUACUUGGACUUGCAACACGCUAUAUUACGACUAUCUUGUGCGCUUGCAAGUUUUACACCAAUAGUAUCAAAUCUUAAGCCUUUAUAAUUCUUGUUCUAAAUGGACUGUCUGUCAAUCGUACAAGAUUAUAAUCACAUGAUAAACACACUGAUGAGUGUGUAAUUUCCUGCAAUAUCUUCAAAGUGCGAUUAAAAUGAGCGACUGUCGACUUUCAUAAAGUAGUGUGGGUAUCGGUCUUUUAAUAUUGCAAGCUUUUAUAACUCUUGUGCUCACAAUUUGUACAAGUAUAUAAAUGGAUUAACAGACUAACAGUUUGGGUAUAAAUGAAGACUAAAUGAGGGACUUGAUUGUCAACUUGCACAGUACAUAGGUGUGAAGUCUUUAGUUAUAAUUAUAGACUUAAUGUCUAGUUCAUUAAGGUAUUGGUCUCUAAAAGAACUGGAUGUAGAGAACGAAAGUGCAAUCAAAUGAGAAAUAUAUUAGUCUUUCAAAAGCACAUGGCUGCAGAUGUGGAGUCGUCUUUUAUUUAUUUAUUUAUUUGAACAAACAAUUGUAUCUACACUAAGGGGUAGAAGAGUGGGCUAAAUCUUAGAAUGGGCUUACAACAAUAAUGUGGUUCAACUCCACCUUUGACGAUAAUUGAAUCUAAAACUUUUCACUUACAAAUGAAGAGAUAUACCACCAGACCGUAGUACUAAGUAACAUGACAGCAUACGGCUAGAGGCGUGGAGUCUUUGUUAGCAAUUAAAAGUUUUGUAACAAGUAAUUGACUUGGUGUCAUAAGGCCUACAUCUAGAUGACUCGGUUUUUAAAACUAAUGUAAGAGUUUCUGUUGAUAUUUCUUGAGGGUGAAACACCGUUUGAGAAACGUUUUGGGCCUCAUUACAUUUUUUCACUUAUUUUUUAGGUUUCGGCUUAAAUAUUCUACUAUAAAUACAUAUGUGGCUCAACUAUUGGUAAAACCACUUCCAAAUGUCUUGUAAAGAUUUUCUUAAUGUCACGAAAAUAUUUUACGAGAGUUAACACUCAUUGUAUUUUAUUGGUUUUGCAAAUUCUUAUGAAAUCAUCAUUUAGUCCAUUUGUUUUCACAUUCGCCUUAUUGUGAGGUACUUAAAAUUAAUGAAUAACUUUCCCACAUUAAGGCAAGGAUUUGGGCCUCACUACAAUGUUUUUUUUUUCAUUUACAAUUUUUAGGUUUCGAGUUAAAUAUACCAUUAAAACUAAAUCUGUGGCUCAAUAAAUUGUAGAAACUUUUCCAAAUGCAUUACAAAUAUUCUCUUAAUGCUAACAGAAAAUAUUUUGGGAAGAUAAAAGAUCUGCAUUUCUCACAAAAACGUGAUUGCUCACUGUUUUUAGUCGGUUUUGCAAAUUCAUAUAAAAAUCUUCAUUAAAUCUAUUAGUUUUCACCUUUGCCUCACAAUGAUGUUUCUAAAAUUAGUGUAAGACUUUUUUAUGAUACUCUUGAAUAUAGACCCCGUUUAGGCAAUGUUCGGCCUCACUGCUAUUUUUUUACUUAUUUUUUGGGUUUUGGUUUUAAUAUUCUAUUAGAAAUAAUUUGUGACUCAAAAAUUAGUAGAACCAGUUUGAGAUGCCCUAUAAAGAUUUUUUUAAUGCGCACAAAAAAAUAGAAAAUUUGCAAACAUAAAAAACAUUGGUCAUGAUUUUAGGCGAUUUUGCAAAUUCGUACAAGAAUCAUUAUUAAAUAUAUUUUUUUCAACCUUAUCCUCACCAGGAUGCUUUUAAAAUUAGUGUAAUAAUUUCGGUUAAUAUUUCUUGAGAUGAAACCCCAUUUUAGCAAUUUUUUAUGCCCAACUAAUAUGUUUUCAGUUAAUUUUAGGUUUCAACUUAAAUAAUUUAUUAGAAAUGCAUUUGUGGCUCUAUAAUUGGUAGAACAACUUUAAAAUGUCUUAUAAAUAUUUAAUUAAUGUUCAGUAAAAUAUUUUGGGAAAAUAUAAAAUUGCAUUUUAGACAAAAAAAAAAAAGCCACGAUUUUAUACGGUUUUGAAAAUUUGAACAUCGAUAUUUUUACAUUAAGGGGAGGGUGAGUUUGGCUAAGCCACACAAAUGGCAACCCAAUUUGGUAUCAAAUUCGCCAUCCACGAGAUUCGAACCUAAGACCUCCCACUUUCAAGUGGAGAGGAAUACCACCAAACCGUAGUACUGAGUGGCAAAAAAUCAUCAUUAAAUCCACUUGUUUUCACCUUCACCUUUCCAUGAUGUUUUAAAACUAAUGUAAGGCUUUACGUUAAUAUUCUUGAGUACAAGCCCCAAUUUAUGCAAUGUUUUGGGCCUUACUACAACAGCAACACACAACAACAACCAAGCCUUAUGCCAUUAAGUGGGGUCUAAUGUACACCACAAUGAUCGUGUUUGCACCAAAUCUUUCGCCAGCUAGAAAUACUUCAUAUAAUUUCCUAGUCUUUUUCCAAGUCUUCCUAACUUUUCCUCCACCCCUUUUGCCGUGAGCCUCUAUCUCAUAGUCGCCUAUUCUACCAUAGCAUUUGUAGAUAUUCGGUUCAUGUACCCAAACCAUCUCAACCAAUUUUCUUUCAUCUUAUCUUCAAUGGAGACCCCUCCCACUUUACCUGUCAAGCCCCGAUCCCGAAAUUCGUCCAGGAUUGACGUGUGACGUCACCCAUUACAUGUAUUUAUAACAUACCCCGCCUCCGAGAUAUGUACAAGGCACAACUCACAGUCCAACUGCGUAAUAAUUUUUCGUACACUUUAUGGCUGCAUCUAACCUCCACGUUAGACUGCCUACAUACCUUAAACAAGGAUCAAGCCAUUCAUAGUUCGUCUUUCACUACACUUAAACAAUCAUCACGUAAAUCACUAUGUCUCAACAUAAUACCACAAUUCAGAUAUGCAACAUCUCAAGGAACAUUCGACAAAGCACAAUAAUAUUCUCUAGUCAUCUUGCCAUUCACACACACAUAUGCUUCCAAACACCAUUCAAUAAUCACAACAAUCAACAACACAUACAAUACAUCGAAAUGCAGGGUUAGAGCCAUAUAGUUUGGCUGAAGCCUACAUCUCUGAAGCUGAAAUCAAAUCCAAGUAACAAACAAGUCAAAUGAUGCAAUUUCGGACCACUUAACGAAAUCCAUCAACAUCGGGUUCAGAACCACUCUACGAAAUCGCAUAGUAGAAGGGAUUUUGAAACUCUCAACGAAAUAAUAGUGGAUACGAUCCCGGACCAUCAUUUAAUGGAAUCAUGGAUUAUAAGGGAUUUCAGACCAUCACUUAAUGGAAUUGAAGUGGAUAUGAUUCUGAGCCAUCAUACAAUGGAAUUGCGGAUUAGAAGGGAUUUCGAACCAUCACUCAACGGAAUCCAAGUGGAUACGAUUCCAGACCAUCACUCAAAGGAAUCACGGGUUAGAAGGGAUUCUGGACCAUCACUCAAUGGAACCCCAGUGGAAACCCAGUUCCGGAUUACUUAAUGGAACCGAGUGGAAGUCCAAGGAAUAUAGCAAUGGCUUGAAGAAACAGUACAAGAACCAAGUACUCAAUUUGGAAGGGCUGAACAAAACAAAGGUGAAAUAAGGAAACAAGAUGGGAAACAAGUUCGGUGUCGAUCCAACGGUCGGAUCGUCAAUUCAUAUAAUAACCAAGUGGCGGCCGACUAGGCGGUCAACUAUGACACUAUAUUAAAAUAUCGAGAUUUCACUAAAGGAUGUCAUCUACGGAAUCUUCACUAACGGAUGUCAUCUACGGAAUCAGUGUAUCAAAUUUAGCCUAGGAUGGUCAGGUGGGGUCUCGGCCCAUGCGUCGAUGCACGUGGUGGCUAGCCGCGCCCGACCCGUCGAAAAAUUCAACUAUUUCAAAAAAAAUACCAAAUAUUAUAGGCAGGUAGAUCUCAAUGAGGGGAGUAAUUUUCAUAACUGAGCUGAAGUCCAAUUCGGAUGGAAAGUGCUCGGAAUUUCCCUUGAUCCACCGAAACACUAGAAUUUAGGUGUCCUCGAUUCCUCCUCCACUGCUUAGGAUUUUUUCCUAAGGUUGUGGGGAGCCUUAUGGUGGUGGUGGUUGACGGAGUUACCUUUAGAUUUGAUAGAUCGCCACCACGAACCUUGUCACACCCAUUGUGCGGGUUUAACAAUUUUAAGGCCAAAUUCCAUUUAUUUUAGGGUGGAAUGGGUAGAGGGGAGGCCAUGGAGUGUUUCCCCAGGAGGUUGUUUGACGUGGUUCGCCCAAAAAACUGACGAAAAAUUGUUAGAAAUGGCUACCCGAACUGGGUUGGGUCACGCAGGAAAAUGGGUCAAAGAGGGGAUCCGAUUCCCCCAUUCUCUCCUCCCUCCUUUCCCCUUCUUGCUCUCUUCCCCCAUUGGUCACUCCCCCUCCUUUUCUCUCCUGCAACCUUAACUUCCUCUCGCUCUUGCUGUCAUUUGGCAGCUUCUAAUUUUUUUUAUUUUUUUCAGAAACUUCUAACGUCUCCUUUCUCGUCCCGAUUGACGAACAGCCUUCGCCUAUGCGCUCGUGGGGUCGAGCUCAAUUAGAAAACAUUAAGUGUGACCUCCAAAGGUCUACGGAUUUUAAAUGAUUAUUUUCAAAAAUUCAAACUUUGUAAUUAAGUAAUUAAAAUAUAAAAUUAAUUUAAAUUCACGAAAAUACUAUAAAAUCCUGCGAAUACGAAAUACGUAAAUUACAAUAGUGAAAUCCAGGAGGGGAAUUUCACAUUACCUCGGAUGCCCUCGUUGUUAAUCCAAUUAUUAUCACAUCACAUUAGAGCUAUCAUGCCCCAAUCCCGACAUACGUCCAAGAUCGAUACGUGACGUCCCUAAAUGCCCGUAACUCAACAUACCCCGCCUUUUGGAUAUGUACAAAAUAUAAUUCAAGAUCCAAAUGCAUAAUAAUUUUGCGUACUUUAUGGCUGCAUCUAACAUCUUCGUUAGACUGCCUACGUACCCUCAAUAGGAAUCAAGCCAUUCGUAGUUCCACAAUCGUCAACUCUAAUCUUUUCAUAAAAUACUUCUAACAUAAAAUUAUAAGGCACCAUAUUACACAUCAACCUUACGUCAACAACAAUUAUCAUCUUUCAUACACGCAUGUAAUGUAACCCAUUCUCACACAGAUACUUUCCAAUUCAUCCAUCAUAUAGAUCACUCUGUUUCACAUAAUACCGCAAAUCAUAGUAUGUAACAUAUCAAAGAACCAACAAAGCACAAUGUUAUUCUCAAGUCACAUUAAUCAAUUACUCUAAUCAUAAUAAUCUCAAUCAUACCCAACAUUAUUCCACAAUCACAUCAAUUAAUUAAUCAUGAAUCAAAGAUACAUGAUCUUAUCAUUUAAUUGUUUAAUCAAUGAAUGCAGUAACAUAUCAUUUCACAAAUUUAACCAAGGAACUCUAUCAACUCCGAAUGAGUCACCCAUACAUCCAACGGUUCGUCUGGAACAAAUCACAACAACUCAUAAUCAUAAUCUCAUACAACACCAUGAAAAGUAAGGCUAGAGCGACACAGUUCAGCCGAAGCCUACAUCUCUAAAGCUAUCUCGAUCCAAACUCAAUAAAACCCAAGGUGAACAUGAUCCCAGACCAUCCCUCAACAGAAUCACAAAGUAGGAGGGAUUCCGAACCAGCUCUUAACGGAAUCCAAGUGGAUAUGAUUCCGGACUAUCACUCAACGAAAUCGCGGAGCACACUGCAUAACCACCACUAAGUGAAACCCAAGUUAGAUAUGAUUCUGGAACAUCACUCAACGGAAUCGUGGAGUAGAAGGGAUUCCAGACCAUCACUCAAUGGAAUUGGGGAGUAGAAGGGAUUCCAGACCAUCACUCAACGGAAUCCAAACCAGGAUACAAUUCAGGAUCAUCACUCAACGGAAUCGCGAAGUAGAAUGUGUAACACCAAUCAAUAAAACAAGACAUGGAUCAAGUUACUCAAGGUACAAAGACUGAACUGAAUAAGGAUGAAUAAUGACAUGUGGGUUGAAACAUGUUUCGAAGGCAACCAACCCCAUAACAAUGGUUAAUGGUCCACUACUAGCCCUCGCAUUUCAUCACCUCAAUCCAAUCAUACAAUACAAACCAUAUUUCCAAUGCACAAGUCAAAUCAUACUUAAUGAAAAUAGAUCAAUGACCAAAAAUAAAAUAACACUUCAAUAGAAUUCACAUUUAAUUAACAUGGGUCUAUGGCAUAUAUAUAUAACAUGAGCCAAAGAAAUCAAUUUUCUCCAGCUUAUGUAACAGCCCAUUUCCAAUUCAUAUAACAAAUCCCAAAAUACUUCCAGGUAGUCUAAAAGUCAUGUAUACAAUAUCCAAAACUAGCAUGACUCAAAAUUAACAAGAAUUGACCUUUUAAACCAAACCCCUGAUCAAGAAAUUUGAUCUACACACCCAAUCCGAAAUACCCAACUCUAAUUCAUGUUUAGACUAGUUCAUUGAAUGAUAGAAACCCUAAAUAGAAUUAAGAACUCCAAUAUAUCAUGGCAGUUUCAAUUCAACUUAAGAAAGUUAAAUUCGAAAAUCAAGAUAAUGAAGUAACAAGGAAUUUACCCUUUAAAUCUCUGAAUCCUUCCUUCACAAUCACGUUCUCUAUCUCCCCUCUCUCCGAUUUUUGCCUGAAGAAAGAAGGAUUUUCUUCCAACAGCUAUGGAAGAGCCACCUCCUCUCUGUUUCUUUUUCUUUCCUCUCACAGCCAGGAAGAAUGUGGAAGAACGUUCUUUUCCCCCUUCUCUUUCGCAACUCCCUUUUUCCUUCUCUCCUCCCUGUUUCUUUUCCUUCUUCCCCCCGUUGGUCCCUCAUUUUCCUCCUCUGUUUCUUUUUUUUUGUUUUUUUCUUUUCCCUCUUUUUCUUGCCACUCUCGUGGCUUUCCUUUUUCUUGUCUCCUUCAGCCACUGCCGUGGCUUUUUCUUCUCAUUUUUUUUUUGCAACAACUUCAAACGUCCGUAACUAUACCGUUAUAAUCCGAACUCGCAAACGGCUUUCGCCUAUGCGUUCGUGAUCUCGAUAUCUCAACAAUAUAAAUUGUGACCUCGAAUGGUCUACGGAUUUUAAAUAAUUAAUUUCCCGAAAAAUAAUAUAAAAUCUCUAUAAUACCAAUACGUAGAUUAUAAUAAUGAAAUCUAGGAACGGGAUUUCACAAGAGCAGCUAGAAGUUUCAUACAACAUAAAACACAUAAAAGUGUAGUGCUAUGCAUAAUCAAGAGUGCGAUCAUGCAAAUAUUAUUGACAAAAUAAAUAUGCAGUAGAGGAAUCAUCACCCAAAAUCCAAAAGAUGGAACUCAUGCCUAUUUCAUUCAAAGCAUGCUAUUGAUUUGCAUAACACAUAUUCAAGAUGAAGUUGUGUAGUGACCACCACCAAAGCUAAAUUGCCGUGUAUCCUACUUCAUUAUAUGUUUAAGUUUAACCCCGUUGAGCCUUGUGUAGCCUAUGUUCUUUGUUAACCCACACUGUCCUCACCUAGCCUAGAUUUGAACCAUCCAUACCCUUGUUCUUGAAGCAUAGUAAAGCAUGACUCAAAAUGAAUUCCUUUUUAUUAAUGUUUUGCAGAAAACAAGUGUGGGGGAAGUGAUUCUUGUUGUGUGUGUGUGCCAAAAUCCUUAAUAAGGCACAGGUAGGAAAGAAAAAGAAAAAGAAAAAUUUGUGGAAAAUAGAAUGAAAAGAAGAAAAGUUGUGAAAAAGAGCUUUAAAGUGUUGUUUGUUGAAGAAAUGGUCCAAAAACAUUGAAUUCGACCCUAAGUGUUGCAUGAAUCUUCCCUUUGUAUUUAAAAGUUGAUUCUGCAUUCUAAAGUGAAUUCCAAGUGUCGAUUUCAUUACUUUGCUUACUAUCGCUUUAAGAACGUUUGUUACCCCUAUCCUUUCUUUGUUAGCCAUUACCCCCAAACCCUGUUACAACCCUUGACUUCAAUCUUGAGUGCUGUGCGUUUCAAUUUGUGGAGUUUGAAAUUGGUAUGAGCAUAUGGUGUCACUGGUUCUCGCAUCUAAGUAGUAGCAUCUCAUUCAUGAGAUCAUAUUUAAACAUGCUUAUUAACUCCAGAAAAUUGCUUUCUUGUUGUAACAUACGUGAGUACUAGUCUUUCAUGUUUACAUCAAUCUUCUCACAUAUAACUAGUGUAGGGUGUGAAGUCAGAAAAUGUGUGUGAAAAUAGAGAGUAUCUUGCAAGGAAUUGAGCAAAUUCUCUAAGGCAUGUUACUACAUUCAAAACAUUGUUUUAAGUGGUUAAUUGUGAACUAGUAAGUAGUGACUGUGAUUAAGUAUGUGCUCAAGUGUGAAGAUAACUAAAAUCUGUGGGAAUAAUGAUUUUUAACAUGUCAUGUGCGUUGGAAAUCCCUGAGGCAAACAUUGGAAGGUUUAGGUUGUGUUUUGUUUUCUUUAUUUUGCUCGAGGACUAGCAAAAGCUAAGUGUGGGGGAAUUUGAUAGGAGCAUAUUUAUGCGACUUAGUUAACAUGUUUCUUGCACUUACUUAGUUAGUUAUUGCUUAUAAGAGUGUUUUACACCAUUUUCGUAUGUUUGUAGGUCCUAAUAACAAAGUUGGCAAGAAAAGUGCAUUUUGGUGCAUUUUGGAGCAAUUUUGGGCUGAAAUGGAUUGCAUGCACUUGGAGACAUGAGGAUGGACGUUUUGGGAAGAUUAGAAUUCAGCAUAUGUGUGUGCAAGUGUGUGACCUACAACUAAUAAACAUCAUAGUUGCCAUGUGAUGGAGACAACAUCAUACAAGGCACAUGCAAAGAAACACACACGACAUGGAGAGAAAGUGUAGUGGUUUGUGGCUGAAUUGUUGAAGCAAGUGUGUGCAAAUGUAAAGGGGAUCUAAACAUGGACAGCACACGGCAUGUGCAAAGGAGAAACAAAGAUGACAACACACACAUGCAAAGAAGGAAGAAUGCACGGCAAGAGAGGGAUAGAUCACAUGGAAAGACAUGGCACAUGUAAGAAAGGAGAUACUUUCAGCCAUAAGAACAAGGAAACACACACACAUAGGCAAAGGAAAGGCACGACAUGGGCAGAAAAUACACCACUACAUUCACUCAUUACCACAACACUCACCCUUGUCCCCUUCAUUAUUUCUGUUUUUAUGCACCAUUACAUUUAAUCAUUGCACUCAAGUGGUGCACAUCCCUUGUCCCCUUCACCCAUCAAAUUUCAUUCACUUUCACCUCCAUUACAUGCACUCAUUGAUGCACCACUCCUCCACUUUCCUUGCCCAUGCCGUGCAUCAUGAAUUCACCUGCACCUAUGACUCAUUUUUGCACCAUUCCACCUCCCUUUCCUUUAUCUACCAUGUGCACAAUCAUUCAUGUUCCCCACUUGCAUUCAUAGCUACAACACCACUCCAUUUCACCCCCCAUGCUUUGCAUCAUUACUUCACUUUCACCUUUGAAUCAUUGCUCACACCACCAUCCAUCCCUCCAUGCCGUGCACUUCCUUUAUAAAAGGAAGUGUGUGUGGCAGCCAUUACAUUCAAUUUUUGCUUGAUAAUUCAUCCCCAAUCCAAUACAACUUUCAUCCAAACACAUCUAUUCAUCUUCACAUCCAUUCCUCCAUACAACCAAAUCUUCAAACACUCACCAACACCUUGUGCCGUAGCAAAAGAAGGGAAAGAAAGUGCUUGGACGUGCAUGCUGUCCAACUUGGAUCAUUGGAGCGUUUAGGUGUUUUCUUUCUUUUGUUUUCAAUGUCUAAAUUGUUUUAUCUUUGCUUUGUAAGUAUGAGGAACUAAACCCCCCUUAGCAAGGGGGGGGGGGAUUCGAAACCAUGUUCAUACUUGCAAUAUGAUUUGAUUACCUUCAGUUGUGAUUUCAUAAGUUGUGAAUUCAAUUUGUUUAACUGCUUGAUUGAUAACUUAUUCGUGUAUGUUUAUUAAGAGUGCACACUUAGUUUGCAUACAUGAAUAUGAUGCUAGAGUAUAAAGGAGUUUCAUCUAAUAGUUACAAAUUUAUAUUCACAAGUAGUGGAGGUCGCUUAUAAACGAUCGUGUUAAAUGAAUUAUUGGCAGGAGUUUCAUGCUCAUCAUAGCAACGAAUGCCUCGUCAAUACUUAUAGUUUUCAUGAUGCUUAAUGAUCUUUGAUUGUAUUUUUAUUGUGUUGUUCACGUAAAGGACUUUUGAAGAGUGCUUGAAUUGUUGUAUGCGUUUUCCCUUCCAAUUCAAUAACUUAAGGAGAACUUGAAGGUUAAUUUAAGCGGACUUAAUUAACAUGGGGUGUUCAGUUUCAUGAUUGAACGAAAGAACAACUGAAAAAUUGGUUUAUGUGCAAGUAUGUCAUGUGUGGAGAAGUACCCUCUAGCUAGCCCAUCAUCCAUAGUUUAACCCAUCACCCAUCAAUUCACCUAAAUUUGUCUAAGAAUCUGUUUAAAUUGUUCUUGCUUUGUUUUCCUUAUUUUCGUCCAAAACCAAAAUCCCCUUUAUUUUAUUAAGUCAUAUUAGUUAGUACUUGUUUUAGAUUGUGUUUUUAAGUGUUUUAAGUCAAGAUAAAAUCAAUUUUCGUCCAAACUUUGUGUUAGUGGCAGAAACUGCCUUAGAGUUGUUUUUAGGCAGUUUUGAGUCUCUAUAAUCUAUUUUGAGUCUUGUGACUUUGUUUUGAGUCUUGUAAGUUUAAUUUCAUGCUUUUAAGUUUGUUUUCACAUAUUUAAGUUAGUUUCAAGUGUUUUAGCAAUCCCUCCUAAUCCCCGGCCUAGAACGAUCCCUACUUACAUUCUUUACUACAAUUGACAACAAGAGGGUUUAAUUUGUGUGUUAAGUUAUUUUCGCAUCACGUAUCCAACGCACUCUUGUUUUAUACCACGAAUGCAUAAAACAGUGCAAAUACCCUCCAAAUGGUGUAAUUUUAAUGCCAAAUGACCUUUUGAGAACUCAUUCUUAAUGUCUUCUUAACGUAUUAUAUGUGUUUAUUUGCUAAAGUUCCAAAGCGUAUCCAACGUACGCUCAUUUUAUACCACGAAUGCUUAAAACAGUCCAAAUACACUCCACAUAGUGUACUUUUGACACCAAAGAAGCAUUUUAUCUUUUGAGAACUCAUUCUUAACGUCUUCUUAACGAAUUUUAUGUGUUUAUUUUCUUAAGUUCCAAAGCGUAUCCGACGUACACUUGUUUUAUACCAAGAUUGCUUAAAACAGUGCAAAUACGCUCCAAAUAGUGUACUUUUAACACCAAAUAAGCAUUUGAUCUUAUGAGAACACAUUCAUAACGUCUUAUUAGCAUAUUAUAUGCGUUUAUUUGCUUAAAUUCCAAAGAGUAUCCAACGCACGAUUGUUUUAUACCACGAAUGCUUAAAACAGUGUAAAUACACUCCAAAUAGUGUACUUUUGACGCCAAAUAAGCAUUUGAUCUUCUGAGUACACAUUCGUAACGUCUUAUUAACAUAUUAUAUGUGUUUAUUUGCUUAAGUUCCAAAGCGUAUCCAACGCACGCUUGUUUUAAACCACGAAUGCUUAAAACAGUGCAAAUACACUCCAAAUUGAGUAAUUUAACACCAAAUAAGCAUUUGACCUUUUGACAUCUCAUUUUUAAUGUCUUAUUAACGUAUUAUAUGUGUUUAUUUGCUUAAGUUCCAAAGCGUAUCCAACGUACGCCCGUUUUUCCACUACAACUGAUUCGUGCACUUGCGAGUAAAUUUGGUUUGAAUUAAUCUAUUUAUUAGGUUAGUUUAAAUUCACAUCAAGUUUUUGGUGUUGUUGCCGGGGAUUGUUUUUUCCAAUUUAAACUUUAAUUGUUGCUUAUCAUAGUUUGUUUAUAAUUUUAUUUGUUAAUAAUUUUUUUUUCUAUCCUUUCUUCCAUGUGUUCUUCCUUCUUAAGUUUUGUUUGGUUUUUUUAGGUACUGCUUAGUUUUGUUCUAUUAUGGUAGAUGCAAGGAGAUCGAUCACUCAAUCUAGCACUUAUUCUUAUUGAUCACGAACUUGAGCAGACGCUACAAAACCAGCAACGGAAACAUUUAUCUCAAGGAGAGGUGCUCAAACACCAAUUUCUGAAAAAGAAUCAGAGAUGGCUGAGCAAGAUUAGGAAACUGUGCUCGUUAGAAGGCCGAUGAAGGAUUCUUUUGACCCUCAGGAUUUGGAUCAGCCCUCGUGCAUUGCAUUCCAACUAAAUAUUGAUGGAACUUGUAUGUUAUCUCCUUAGUUGCUCAAUAUGCUUCCUCACUUCAAUGGAGAAUCUCUAAAAGAAGAUCCUUAUGCACACAUUUAAGAGUUCUUCGACAUAUGUAAAAUGCAGCACAUUAGGGGACUUAGUGCCGAUGAGAUUAAAUUGCUUUUAUUCCCUUUUUCUUUAAAAAGAGAUGCCAAAAAGUGGUUGCAUUCAUUACCUGCCAAUUCCAUCACUGCUUGGGGACAAUUGGCUAAAAAGCUCAUGAAAAAGGUCCACAUCAAUAUUCCACUACUUGAGGCUAUCAGGCAAAUCCCUUCCUAUGCCAAAUUUCUCACGGGUCUUUUUUCACAUAAGCGCAAGUUGAAUGGCAAAGAAAAGGUUUUUCUUACCAAAAAGUUGAGUGAUAUCUAUCUAUGGAAAAAUCCAUCAAAGCUUUAGGACUCUGGAAUUCCUACACUAUCUUGUGUCAUUGGGAGUCAUAAAUUCGAAGAAGUAUUGGUUGAUCAUGGAGCAAGCGUGAAUUUAAUGCCAUAUUCAGUUUAUGUGGAAUUGGGUCUUGGGGAACUGAAACGAAGCCCAAUUACAUUGGAAUUUGCCGAUGGAUCUGUAAAGAAGUCAUGUGGUGCUAGUGAAGAUAUGUUGAUGCAAAUUGACAAAUUUUAUUAUUUGAUGGACUUUAUUGUUCUUGAUACAAGGCCUGUGCGUUAUUCAUCUACUGAAAUUCUGAUUAUUCUUGGACGUCCCAUUCUAGCUACUGCAAAGGCUAAUAUUCAAAGUGACACUGGAGUUUUAACUUUGUAUUUUGGGGAUAUGAAGGCUAAAUUCAACUUGUAUCCUGCUCAUGGCCUUCAAUCUGGUGCCGAUCACGUUGAAAGUAUUCAUCCUGCAGUUCGUGCGUACAAGAACGACUAGAACAAAGCAGUGUCUGGCUGAAGACAGUAAACUUAGCGCUAUUGGGAGGCAACCCAAUUUCUUUUCCUUAGUUUUCUUUCUUUAAGUUUUAUUUUUUGUUAGUUUUUCCAUUAGAUUGCUUCGCUGCUGCUGCUUAUUUGCUCGUUGGUGUUUGUUCUGUUUGCAGGUUUGGCUCUCUAUUCCAAUUUGAGAAAGGAAAUUCGAACAAAGUGGUGUACUGCAGCAUGUUUGCUUGCAGUUUGGAUGAGAUUAAGAUGGUUAUUGUUGCCAUCCCCAAAUUUUUCCACAACAGCAAGCAUGCUCUGAGACCAUAUCAUUUGUGCACCAUUCAUAUCCACUGGAUGAUUUGCUAAAAAGAGCUACAUUUACAAACAAGGAAGUUCCCUGACUUUUUUCUUUUUCUUUUGUUUUCUUUGUUUUAUACUCCUAUUCCAUACCGCUUUAUGUCCUAAUUACAUGUUCGAUUCCAUAUUUUUUAACAUUGAGGACAAUUUUGGGUUCAAGUUUAGGGGUAGGAUAUUUUAGUUUGGUGUUUUUAAAAGUUGAAAAGAAAAAACAAAUAACAAAAAAAAAAUUAAAAAAAAAAACCUAAAAAUAUUUCUUUGUAUGUUUCUUUCUCUUUUCCCUUUUCCUUUGAGUCGCUUUCCAAAUUUCCAUGACGAAAUUGAGUUAAUAACUUGUAUAACUUGAAUCAGAAAAGUGUGGUAACAUAUGGGGUUUUAGCUUUAUUCACUUUAUAACAUGAUUCUAGCAUGAUGUGUUUGAUGCACAAUAACCUUUGGUAGAUAUUAUGUAAAUUUUACUAAGUUGAGCAUGCUUAACUUGAAUAAAACCCGCACCCAUGUGAGCUUUUGUGCCUAAAUGUAGUGUAUGCAUUUUUCAUACACUUUUGUUCUUUUCAUGUGUGCAAUCUUAUAUGUGAUGCAUCUCUAGAACUUGCUUUGAGACCUUUUGGAGACUUCGUGUCAUGUAUUGCUUCAACUUGGAGAUGAUAGUAGGCAUUAGGUUGAAGACCAAUAGGCGGUGGAGAUAUCUUCGGAAAGAAUUUCAAAUUGACUGGAAUUCCUAUUUUUUGGAAGACUUGGGCGCAGAUAAAAGCAGAGAGGGUAGCAGCGGAAGAGGGGGAUUUUUCUGCUGGCGUGAAGUAGAGAGGGCAGCAGCGGCAGGGAGGAUUUGAUUUGGUUCUUCUUCUUUAGUUUUAUUUUAUGCAAAAUUUCCUUCUUAGAAUUACUAUGAAUUCUUCGUUCAUGGGGUUCUAAAGGGCUUGGUAGUACAGGUGGAGCCAUAUCGUAGUGUAGUUGGGAUUGGGAUGCUCUCUCUUUUUUAUUCUCUCUUGAUGAUCUAAUUUGUUUGCUGUGAAUGUGAUGCUUAGUUCAAACCUGCUAUCCUAUUUGUAAGAAAUUAAGCACAAGCUAGCUCAAGUUAUGGUCUUUAAUUAAUAUUAACUUCGACAAAUGAGUUUCCCAUCUCUUUCAUUGAUAUGAACACGGCUGAUCUCAUUGGUGUGGCGCAAUAUUUGUUAAAUUAGCUGAUCGGUUUGAUUUCUUUGUAUAACUCUUCUGCCAAUUCUGCAACUUGUAGAUGUAAUUCACAUUACAAAAUAAAAAAAAUAAAAUCCAAAGCUCAUAUAAGAUAAAUAAGGACUUUUUAUAUCAUAAAAUAAGACUUUCUAACUUGUACAUGACUAUAAUUACAAAAUCGAACACAUUGAUGGGUGCGCAUUUUCCAUCAACGUCUCUUCUGUGCGUGUAAGCUGAGCGUGGAGUCUUUUUUUAGCAAUUAAAAGUUUUGUAUCAUUUGAUUGACUUGGUUUGAUAAGACCUAUAUCUAGAUGACUCGGUUCUGAAGACUAACGUAAAACUUUAUGUUGAUAUUUCUUGAGGGUGAAACAUAGGGCUGGUUCGGUAUGGGAUACCGAACCAAAAAUGGCAUAUCAAAUCCCGAACCGAAAAUUUUCGGGACGUAAAUCUCAUGACCGAUCCCGAACCGAAAUUUCGGGAUUCCCAAAUUUCGGGAUUCCCGAAAUAUUUUCGGUAUUUCGGAAUUUCCCGAAACCGAACAUCAUCAGAAUCCAAAUCGUCUUAGAUUAAUAUUGAAAUCAUCCGAACCUGCAUUAAAAAUCCAAAUUGAAAUCAGAGACAUAGUGAUAGUGAAUCAGUGAAAGAUUUAUGGUCGAGAAAGAGGCAGAGUGAAGAGAGGGACCUCCUCCUGACCCGAGCCCCCAAUUCGAAACCCUAAGCCCCAAUUCAAAACCCUAACCUCAAUUCGAAAUCCCACACACACAGAGAAUCACUGGAGAGAACCGGAGGUGGGGAUGAAGCCAUGAGGUGUGGUGGUGGCCGGAGUGGAGAUAGUUCGUCGGAGUCAGAUUGCUAGACGGUGGGUGGCUGCUAAGCUUCAAAUCCGAGAAAGAGAGGGAGAGUCUGAGACUGAGUGAAGUGAAGGCAGAUGAGAGGCGAAAUGAAAUGAGAGAGAAUGAGUAGGGAUGUUUGGCUUGGUUUUGGAUUGGGUGGAAGGAAAGGUUAGGUGAUUUCUGGGUUGUAUAGAGAGAGAGAGAGAGAGAGAGAGAGAGAGAGAGAGAGAGAGAGAAUACGAGAGAGAUGAGACAGAAAAAAUGAGAGGGAUAAAGGAUUAGGUAGAGAGAUAACUGAUGAGACAGAAAAUAGGGAAGAGAGAGAGACGGCUCUGUCUUCAGAAAGCAAAGCCUUGCGUGACCCAUCCCUUCCCAUGUGCUUGAAGCAACAUUUGUCAGCACCACACCACACACACACUGACACAUAUACAUAUACACACACACCGACACAUAUACAUAUAUACACACACACACACUGACGCAUAUACAUACACACACACAUUCCAACACACACACACUGACGCACACAGACACAUAUAUAUAUAUAAUAUACCUAAUAUAAUAUUGCCAACACACACACAGACACAUAUAUAUAAUAUACCUAUAAUAUACCUAAUAUAAUAUUGCCAACACACACACACAGACACAUGCACACACACAUAUAUAUAUAUAAUAUACCUAAUAUAAUAUUAAUAAAGUUCGGUUCGGGAUCGGGAAUACCGAAAAUUUCAAAUUGUAAUACCGAUCCCAUACCGAACAAUUCGGGAUCGGUUCGGUUUCGGUACUAAAAUUUUCGGGAUUUUUGGUUCGGUAUUUUUUCGGUUUGGUUUCGGUAUGGUUUCGGUAUGGUUCGGGAUUUUUGGUAUUUUUUUCCAGCCCUAGUGAAACAUUGUUUGAGAAACGUUUUGGGCCUCAUUACAAUUUUUUUCACAUAUUUUUUAAGUUUCGGUUUAAAUAUUCUACUAUAAAUACAUUUGUGGCUUUAAUAACUGGUAAAACCACUUUCAAAUAUCUUGUUAAGUUUUUCUUAACGUCAUGGAUUUUUUUUUACGAAAAUGAAACAUUUGCAUUUUUCACAAAAAAAAAUGUGGUUUGUCAAUUUUGUAAAUUUGUAUAAAAAUCUUCAUUAAGUCCAUUUGUUUUCACAUUCACCUUACAAUGAGGCACUUAAAAUUAAUUUAUAACUUUCCAUCGAUACUUGAGUAUAGACCCUUGUUAAGGCAAAGAGUUGGGCUUCACUACAAUUUUUUUUCAUUUAUUUUUUAGGUUUCGUGUCACAUCUUGCCCUGGCCCCCACCACAUCCCAAGCACGACUCUACCGUAGCACGAUAUUGGUCGUUUUGGGUCCCGACCAUGCCCUCAUGGUUUGUUUCUAGGAACUCACACGAGAACUUCCCAUGGGUCACCCAUCAUGGGAUUGCUCUCGCGCGAACUCGCUUAACUUCGGAGUUCCAAUGGAACCCGAAGCUAGUGAGCUCUCAAAAGGCUUCGUACUAGGUAGAGUUGGGAAUAUACAUAUAAGGCUUACAUGAUCCACUCCCCCGGACACUGGCGAAGCUACGUGAGGGCGAGGAGUGGCGCCCGCCCCUCCCCUCGCCGGAAAAAGGCCUAGGAGCGCUGGUUCGGCCCCUCUGCUUUCGUCAGAAUUUAUGGUGGAGGAGAUUAACAGAGGUCCGGAAGAAAGUCGAAGAAGGGAUUACGGUGGGGACGACGAAGGAGAGGGUGGGAGUGGGAUCGACGGGGAAGGAGAUGCGGUUGCGAUGGACGGAGGAGAGGUUGAUGGAGGAGGUGUGGGGGUGAGAUUGACGACAAGCAGUUGGGGGUGUCGGGUCUGGGAGAAAAGCAAGGAAGAAGAUGGGUGUUUGGAUGUGGGUUGAAGAUAAAGUUGGGUGUUUGGUGAACAAGAUAACAAGUGUUUGGGAAGAGUUUUAAAGGACAGGUGUUUUAAAGGUGGGUGCUUGGUUAACAAGAUAACAAGUAUUUGUGGUUUUAUUUUUGGGAGUUUUAACAAAAAAAAAAACUCCUGUUACUGUUUACUUUUAACUAAAAAUCACAUUUAUACAUUUCCCUGGUAUUAUUCACUAUAUCUUUAAAAAUGGCUUUUCAUUAAAAAUGAAGUUUUUUUGGACAUUUCUUUAGUUUUCCUUUUAUUUUUUAGUCUUGUAUGUAUUUUUAUUUUGUCUUUUAAGAAUCCCAUCACAUUUAUCUUAAACUCUCACAUUCUUUAUAAAUAUUGUAUUACUUUUAAAAACAAUGUAAAUAUUGUUUAAUGCUUAUUUUACGAUAAUUUAAAUCUAUCUAGGCUCCCGCCUAGAUAUCGUCUAGGCACCUAGCUGCUAGGUCUCAGUCCGCUGUUUGAUUAGGACCUAACAUUUUUUAGGAUCUAAUCCUAGCCAAUUUAAGUUUCUUACAUUGGCUUAGAUAUUAUUGCUUACAACCGCUUGGGUGGAUAAACUAUUUUCUGCUAUGAAUAUUGAGUCAAAACUUUGUACUAUCUAAUGUGAAAGUAACUGCUUCGAUUGAACCUUACACUCUUUUGAAUUUCGCCCCUUCCCUCUGAAAAUCCUGGCUUCGCCACUGCCCCCGGACGAUGUGGAAUGUUACAUUUCGGCUUAAAUAUUCUAUUAAAACUAAAUUUGUGGCUCAAUAAUUGGUAAAACUCUUUCCAAAUGCUUUAUAAAUAUAUUGUCCUAAUGCUAACGAAAAAUAUUUUGUGAAGACUAAGGAUUUGCAUUUCUCACAAAAAAUGUGGUUGCUCACUGUUUUUCUUCGGUUUUGCAAAUUCGUACGCAAAUCAUCAUUAAAUCUAUUAGUUUUCAUCUUUGCCUCAGUGUGAUGUUUCUAAGAUUAAUAUAAGAGUUUUGGUUGAUAUUCUUGAGUAUAUACCCCGUUUAGGCAAUGUUGGACCUCAAUACUGUCUUUUUAAUUAUUUUUUGGGUUUGGGUUAAAAUAUUCUAUUAGAAAUACAUUUGUAGCUCAAUAAUUGGUAGAAACACUUUCAGAUGCCCUAUAAAGAUUUUCUUAAUGCCCUUGAAAAAUUCAAAAUUUGCAUUUGUCACACAAAAAAACGUGGGCUAACACUCACGAUUUUUAGACGAUUUUGCAAAUUCGUAAAAAAAUAUUAUCAAAUCUUAAACCUUUUAUAAUUCUUGUUCUAAAUGGAUUGUCUGUCAGUCGUACAAGAUUAUAAUUACAUGAUAAACACACUAAUGGGUGUGUAAUUUCCUGCAAUAUCUUCAAAGUGCGAUUAAAAUGAGCGAUUGUCGACUUUCAUAAAAUAGUAAGGCUAUAGGUCUUUUAAUAUUGCAAGCUUUUAUAACUCUUAUACUAAAAAUGUGUACAAGUUUAUAAGUGGAUUAACAGACUAAUAGUUUGGUAUAAAUGAAGACUAAAUGAGGGACUUGAUUCUCAACUUGCACACUACAUGUCACGCCCCGAUCCCGACAUACGUCCAGGAUCGACACAUGACGUUACCAAAUACCCAUAUCUCAACCUACCCCGCCUCCUAGAUAUGUAUAUAGCAUAAUUCAAGAUCCAAAUCUCAUAGAAAUUUUUGUAUAUUUUAUGGCUACAUCUAACCUCCUCGUUAGACUGCCUACGUACCCUCAAUAGGGAUCAAGUCAUUCGUAGUUCAUUAUUCCACUUCAAUCGAACAUUCAACACAUAGACCACUAUGUCUCAACAUAAUACUACAAUUCAAUCAUUUAGCACGUCAAGGAACAUUUAACAAAGUACAAUAAUAAUUUUUAGUCAUCUCGUCAUUCAUCCACUCAUAAGCGUUCAAACACCAUCCAAUUAUCACAUCAAUCAAUAGAACUUGACAAGCAUAAAAUUCCUGGACUCAAGGUAACAUAACAAACCCACAUGAAAAAAUCAAGAUUUCCCUUCCAUCCUUCAUAUAAAUCACUAUGACUCAACAUGAUAUCUCAAUUCACAACAUAAAUCAUAUUUAAGAACCGACAACGCACAAAACCAUCCUCUAGCCACAUUAAUUAACUAAUAUGGUCAAAAUAAUAACAUUCAUUCUCAUAUCUUCUAAAUUCAUAAACUAUGAAAUUAUAAUUGAAUCGUAGAAAAUCUCGAUGGAAUCCCACAGACGUACAACCGCUUUUAUACUUCAAUUCAUAAUAUUCUCAAACCCAUUAUUCGGAAUAAACUCAAAUGAAGGCUAAAGUGACACAAUUAAAUCAAACCUACUUCUCCGAAGAAAGGGAUUCCGGACCAUCACUCAACAGAAUCCAAGUGGAUACGAUUCUGGACCAUCACUCAACGGAAUUGUGUAGUACAAUGUAUAACAACAACUAAAUGAAACCCAAAUCAAAUACGAUUCCGGAACAUCACUCAACGAAAUCGCGGCGUAUAAAGGAUUCCGGACCAUCAUGUAGACAUCGAAAUUUCGGUAAAUAAAUAUUGACCGAUAAAUCAAAGUUUCAACGCUCAUGUAUUACAUAAAUUUUACACGUAGCGUGUGUCUAAACAAAAAAUCGAGAAUCAUCGGAAAAGUCAUCAAACAGGACACGUGUCAACACCUGGCAGAAACGACUUAUUUCAUCUGGAAUAUUAUAUUCAAAAUUAGGCCUUGGAAAAUUAUAUAAAUAGAAGCCAAUUUCAUUCAUUUCAUUGGACCAAUUGAUAUUACACCUUGAAGCUCUGAAGCUUUGAAGCUCCAAAGCUCUCAAGCUUUGAAGCUCCAAAGCUCUCAAGCAUCCAGGUUCCCGAAGAAUCAAGAAAGCCUUCUUCGUUCAUCGUUCUUCCAAGAUCAAGCCCCGACGGCCCUUGGAUCAACAAUCAUCCACCUUCAAGAUCAAGCCCCGACUGCCCCUUUGAAGAACUUCCACCUUCAAGAUCAAGCCCCAAAGGCCCUUGAAGAACUUCCACCAAUUCAAGAUCAAGCCCCGACGGCCCUUGAAGAAAGUGUUCAUCGUUCAUCAUCCGUUCAUCCCAAAAAAUAAAGAAAGCCUUCUUCGUUCUUCGUUCUUCGUUCAUCGUUCUUCCAAGAUCAAGCCCCGACGACCCUUGGAUCAACAAUCAUCCACCUUCAAGAUCAACCCCAACGGCCCCUUUGAAGAACUUCCACCAAUUUAAGAUCAAGCCCCAAAGGCCCUUGAAGAACUUCCACCAAUUCAAGAUCAAACCCCAAAAGCCCUUGAAGAUCCGUUCAUCACUGUUCUUCAAAGAUCAAGCCCAAAAGCCCCUUAAAGAUCCGUUCAUCACCGUUAUUCAAGAUCAAGCCUCAACGGCCCUUGAAGAAACACUCAUCCUCAAGAUCAAGCCCCAACGGCUCCUUGAAGAUCCGCUCAAAUCCACCUUCAAGAUCAAGCCCACGGCCCUUGAAGAACGUUCAUCCUUAGAUCGAAUCAGAUGAUCAAAUUUAAGAGAGAUUGUAACCCAAAAUCAUCAAAUACAAAUAUUAUUUUGUGCACAUUGUUCUUGUUUCUUUCCUUUCAAGAAAUUUUCAUGUUCACACAUCACUCAACGGAAUCCGACUGGAUACGAUUCCGAACCAUCACUCAACGGAAUUGCGGAAGGCCAACAACCAUAUAUACAAUGGCUCAAAGAAAUGAGACAAGUACAAAUUACUUAAUUUACAAAAGCUCAACCAAGGAAAUAAGGCACAAAUACUAAAUUUAGAACGAAUCAACGAAGCAGAAGAUGAAAUCAUAACGAAGCAACAAAUCCCCAUCACCACGGGUUAACAGUCUACCACUAGUUCUCACAUUUCAUCACAACAUGCCAAUCAAACCAAUCAAACCAUAUUUCAAUAUACGCAUGUCAAAUCUCAUUUCAUAAACUUAAAUCAAUGGCUAAGCAUUAAAAAUAACAAUUCAAUAGAAAACAUAUUUAUAAAACCAAGUCAUAUCCACAUAGGAUAACAAUUAGGAAAAUAGGGUAAUCACCAAUAUCACAUAUAUUAAAGUCCCUCACAUUUCUAUACAUCACACUAAUCCCUAUGAAUUACAACGUAGUCUCCUAUACCAUCAACUUAUCAUGGCCACCAACUAAUAUAUCACACAAGCAUAUAAGUUCUACAGAAUAUUUCAAAUAGGAUUCUAAGAUCGCAUAGCCAUAAAUUUAUCAUACUUAACCUUCACAUUACUAGAAAUAAUUAAACAUCCAUAUAUCACCAUUAUCAUCAAUACACAAGCCAAAUCAUGUUUAAUAAACAUAAGUCUAUGGCUAAAUAUAUGAAAAAUCACAUUACAAUAGAAAUCAUAUUUAUAAGUCCAACGCACGUUUACAAAUGAUAUUGAUAUAAGAAAUUAAGGUAAUAACCAUAUCACAAUAUUCAAGUCACUCUCCAACCAAUAUAGGUCCACUAGACUUCACUUAAGUCUCCCGUAGUACUAAUUUCAGUAUUGGGAACGUUUCGAGACAUGUUGACCAAAAGUCAACUCUCGGUCAAAGGUAGGGUCCACAAUUCUACACAAUUCAGUCCGGAAGAUCCACACAAUGGAUUUCGGAUCCGUAACUUCCCAAAGUCCACAUUAUGCUUCUAGAAUAACAUACUAAAUUCCCAUCGCAAUCCGACGGUCAGAUCUUCACCAAUUACUAGAAUUAAGUGGCGGUCAACAAUUUAUUUUACCAACUUAGAAAUCCAAUUAGGGAAGAUCCGUAUGUCGGAUUCCCGAUCCGUAAGUUUCUAUGAUGCACAAAUAGACCAAGUAAGGUAUCGUAAUGAAACUAAGUCCAAACAAUCAAAUUACGUCAUACGGAUAUCAAUUAUGAAAUCAAGGAAUUUAUUUGAACUUAAAAGGACGUCUUCAACCCACUUGCCAGGCCGCCGCCCCGACUUGCCGGAAAAAUUCAACUAUUUUUAAAAAUUACCAAAAUUUACAGGCAAGUAUAUCUCAGUGAGGGGAGCAACUUUCAUACCUGUGAAUAAGGCCAAUUUGUCCAAGAAGAGCUCCAAUUUCGUUAAAACCCGUCGGAAACCCUAUAAAGGGUGUUCUUCAAAUCACCACCAAAUCGAACCCAAGGUCUCAACAAUUGACUGGGCAUGGUUCCUAGGUUCAAGGGAAGUAUUUUGGUGAUAAAAAUUGCACCAAAUUGUUUCAGGAAUAGCGGAUUCACCACAGUGGUCCCCAUGGCCCGACAUGAACUUUCAUCAUGAAAUCACGACCAAUGACCACCAAACUUAGGUGGGAAUGGAAGCUAGGAUGACACCAUGUUGAUGUCAAGUGAAAACUGUGCAAAAAUCGCCUGAAAAAUGGUGGAAGUUGGCCGGAAAUCCCUACGGGUCGCCGAGGAUGGGUGCCCUGCACCUCUCUCAUUUCUUUCCUUUCUUUGCUUUUUCAUUGGUCACCCUCACCUCUCUCCUCUUCUGAUUCGUCCCCCUCCCUCCUUGUUCCUCCUGUUCCUCCUUCUUCCCCCUCUCCCCCUCUUUUCUCCUGUCGCUCUUGCAACUCCCCUUUCUUUUUUUUCCCUCAUUUUCUUUUUCCUGAUUGGUUUCCUUUUUUUUUUUGAAGAAACUUCUAAAACUUCCGUAAAGUUCCUUUCUCAAUCCGAUUCACAUAUGGCCUUCGCUUAAGCGCUUGUGAGGUCAAGCCCAAUUAAAAACAUUAAGGGUGACCCUCGAAGGUCUACAGAUAUAACAAUUAUUUUCCAAAAAUUCAAACUUUGUAAUUAGGUAAUUAAAAUCUAGAAUUAAUUUAAAUUCAUGAAAAUACUAAAUCCCGCCCAUACGAAAUACGUGGAUUACAAUAGUGAAAUGCAGGAACGGGAUUUCACACUGCAUAGGUGUGAAAUCUUUUGGUAUAAUUAUAGACUUAAUGUCUCGUUCAUUAAGGUAUUGAUCUGUAAAAGAACUAGAUUUAGAGAACGAAAGUGCAAUUAAAUGAGAAAUAUAUUAUUCUAUCACAAAGCACAUGACUUAAUGUCUCGUUCACUAAGGUAUUGUGCCUAACUAAUGUGUUUGCAGUUAAUUUUUAAGAUUCAGCUUAAAUAAUCUAGAGUGAUGAUAGACCCACCCCAUUAUCCUAAUUUCACCCAUCAUAAAAAUUAAAAAAAUUAAAAUAUUAUUUCUCCGCCCACCAUUAUUCCUAAAAUAACUAAUGUCUAAUUUUUUAAACAAUAAUAUUAAUAUUUAAAAAUAAAAAAAAACAAAAAAAAACUUCAUGCUUCCUUAAUUGCCACUACCCUGAACGCACCAGAACCUCCUCCCACUCCCAUCAAAAACAAAAACCUUUGACACCUUCUUGCCGGCAUCUCCUUUGGAAAGAGAGAGAAACUAAAGGGAAAGGAAGAGAGAAACACUGGGGGAGUUUUCCAAUACAGAGGCAGAUUGCUCCAAAGCGAUUUAUUCCAACUAGAAUUGGGUAUUCUAUGAUUUUAAAAUCUGGGUUCUCGUCGUUGUUCUUUUAUGAGGAAAAGGAGGAGAUGAUGGAGGUGUGGUAGUACCAUAAUUGAAAGGGAGAGUGGGGUGCUAUUUGUUCCUGGGGAGGGUAAUGGAUGAUUGGGGAUUUGAUGGUCGUCGGUACAUCGUGGAUGAUUUAGGAGGAUGAUGUAGGAGGAUGAUGGAUUUAUUUUUACUUUUUUUAGUUUUAGGUUUUCUUUAUUCUCUUUUAGUUUAUUUAAUUAAAGUUAUAAAAAAAUUUAAAUGUGGAUUUAAAAGUCUUUUGCUAAAAGGAUAAUUAUGUGAUUAACAUUUUGAUUACAAGGUGGGUGGGAAAAUAAGACAAGGGGGUGGUUUUAGUAGCACUCAUAAUCUAUUAGAAAUGCAUUUGUGGCUCUGUAAUUGGUAGAGCAACUUUCAAAUGCCUUAUAAAUAUUUAAUUAAUGUUCAAUAAAAUAUUUUGUGAAAAUAAAGAAUUGCAUUUUAGACACAUAUAUAUAUGUCAUGAUUUUUAAACGGUUUUGAAAAUUUGUAAAAAAAAUAUCAUUUUUUUAAAUACAUCGAUGUUUUUACACUAAGGGGAGGACGAGUUCGGCUAUGCCACACAAAGGGCAGCCUAAUUUGGUAUCAAAUUCGCCAUCCACGAGAUUCAAACCUAAGACCUCUCACUUCCCAGUUGAGAGGAAUACCACCAAACCGUAGUACUGAGUGGCAAAAAAUCAUCAUUAAAUCCACUUGUUUUCACCUUCGCCUUUCCAUGAUGUUUUAAAACUAAUGUAAGGCUUUACAUUAAUAUUCUUGAGUAAAAGCCCCAAUUUAUGCAAUGUUUUGGGCUUUACUUGACACGUCCCAACCCCGAUAUCCCCACAUACCAGGGUAGGCAUGUGCUGGCCGACAUCCGAGGGUGACGAAGCCAUUUUAAACAUGCAUGCAAAAACAAGAAUAUGCAAUUAGAACGAAAAAUGUCAUUGCAAGAACGUGUUCAGAGCAUACAACUACUAAGAAUAAUAUGGAAGAAUUACUAAGAAAAGAUAUGAACAAGGAAAUGAGACCUAUACUGAGAAGACUUGAGGAUACCUAUGCCAAAAUGCCCUGACGCCGAGAUCAUGUGCCUCGAUCCUAACUCCUGAGGGGGGCGCAAACAAAAAAGGUGAGUGGACCAAAGUUUAUAAUAAUAAUACUAAUAGUAGGAAAACAUUUUAUUUUUGAAUAUAAUAACCCUCUAUUUUGAAAACAUAUAUAUAAUACCACGUAGUAGGUUUUAUAAAAACCCUAGCAUGCCAUGUAAAACAUUCGUAAAACAUGUAUGUUAAACCAGUGCUGUGAAAUGGUAAUAACACCCGAAGGCAAAUCUGUAAAUCUCAUUAGUGAGGUACGCAACUAGGGAUAUCAUACUCGCCCGAAGGCAAUACUUGUCUAUCACCCAAAGGUGAAGCUAAAUAACUUGUCCAUCAUCCAAAGGGAUUUCAGACCAUCAUUUAAUGGAAUCCAAGUGGAUACGAUUCCAGACCAUCACUCGUCAGAAUUGCAGAUUAAAAGGAAUUUUGAACCAUCACUCAACGGAAUCCAAGUGGAUAUGAUUCUAGACCAUCGCUCAAUGGAAUCGCGGGUUAGAAAGGAUUUCGGGCCAUCACUCAAUGGAACCCUAAUGGAAACCCAGUUUCGGAUUAUUCAACGGAAUCGAGCGGAAGUCCAAGGAAUAUAGCAACGACUUGAAGAGACAAUACAAGAACUAAGUACUUAAUUUAGAAGGGCUAAACAAAAUGAAAGUGAAAUAAGGAAACAAGAUGGGAAACAAGUUCUGUGUCGAUUCAAUGGUCGGAUCGUCAAUUCAUAUAAUAACCAAGUGGCGGUCGACUAGACGGUCAACUAUGAAACUAUAUUAAAAUAUUGGGAUUUCAUUAAAUGGAUGUCAUAGAUGGAAUCGGGUAUCAAAAUUAGCCUAGAAUGGUCAGGUGGGGUCUCGAUCCAUGCGCCGAUGCACGUGGUGGCUGAUCGCGCUAGACAUGCCGAAAAAUUCAGCUAUUUCAAAAAAAUUAGAAAAUUUUACAGGCAUGUAGAUCUCAAUAAGCAGAGUAAUUUUCAUACAUGAGUGAAGUCCAAUUCAGAUGGAAAGUGCUCUGAAUUUCCCUCGAUCAACCGAAACCCUAGAAUUUGGGUGUCCUCGAUUCGACCUCCAUAGUAGCUCCAACGCCUCCUCCACGGCUUGGGAUUUGUUCCUAAGGUUGAGGGGAGCCUUAUGGUGGUGGUGGUUAAUGGAGUUACCUUCGAAUUUGAUAGAUCGCCACCGUGAACCCCGUUGCACCCACCGUGAGGGUUUCACAAUUUGAAGGCGAAAAUCCAUUUAUUUUUGGGUGGAAUGGGUAGAGGGGGGCCAACGAGUGUUUCCCCAGGAGGUUGUUUGAUGUGGUUCGCCGAAAAAACCGACGGAAAACCAUAAGAAAUGGCUACCUGAACUGGGUCGGGUCACUCACGAAAAUGGGUCAAAGGGGGGAUCUGAUUCCCUCAUUCUCUCCUCACUCCUUUCCCCUUCUUGCUCUCCUCCCCCUCAUUUUCUGAAACUUCUAACAUCCAUAACGUCUCCUUUCUCGUCCCAAUUCAUGAACGGCCUUCACCUAUCCGCUCGUGGGGUUGACCUCAAUUAGAAAACUUUAAGAGUGAUCCAAAAGUCUAUGGAUUUUAAAUGAUUAUUUUCAAAAAUUAAAACUUUGUAAUUAAGUAAUUAAAAUAUAAAAUUAAUUUAAAUUCGCGAAAAUACUAUAAAAUCCUGCGAAUACAAAAUAUCUAAAUUACAAUAGUGAAAUUCAGGAACGGAAUUUCACAUUACCUCGGAUGUUCUCGUUGUUAAUCCAAUCAUUUUGACACCCCAACCCCAAUAACACAAGUUACGAGGUCGAGAUAUCUUGGCCGUCACUAAAUUGACCAUAUGGCCCCUUUCAGGGAUGACUUCAGAAGCCAACUUAAUAACGAAGCCAUAGUAAGAUAAUUACGAUGUGCGUGAAUUUGAAUCAAAACAUUCAUUAAUAAUAAAUCAAAAGUUGCUACAAAUUUUCCUAAUCAACCUUCCCUCUUGGGAACAUAUAUUUAGGGUUUAGAUCCCAUUAUUACAUCAUAUCAGAGCAGCUAGAAGUUUCAUACAACAAUAAACACAUAAAAGUGUAGUGCUAUGCAUAAUCAAGAGUGUGAUCAUGCAAAUAUUACUGACAAAAUAAAUAUGCAGUAGAGGAAUCAUCACCCAAAAUCCAAAGGAUGAUACCUCACUGCCAAGCCCACUUACCACCACUGAGGUUCUCAUGAUUCUUGCUAUGUCCUAAGGGGUCAAUGAACAAAGUAUGAGUGGAUCAAGUUCUAUCUCAUCAAAAUCAAUCGAAUAACCUCCAUUUUAAAAUCACCUGUUGUAGAAUUAUCAAAAAGACGGACUUAGGGCCCAUAUCCAACAAUAUUGAUAUAGUCCCAACUUGGUAAUUACUACCCGCACAAUCCGUCAAGUGUGAGGUUUUAUUACAAAAGGCCUCGGUGUUAGAUAGAGUGAAGAUAGGAUAUUUAAACUCUUCUCUACUUAGAGAUAUGGUUGAUGUGGGAUAUUUCAAUACCUAUAUAUAUAUAUAUAGUAAAAACUACAUACAUAAUAAUACUACCAUAAUAGUUGUCACAAUCAAUUCAUCUCGCACGUCAUAUCAAAGAAAGUAAGUCAUUCAUAAAAUCAAAGUAAUAGAAUAUGAUUUUAUCAAUAUCGUAGAUGAUUCUUAUAAUCAUGUAUAUGCACGUUGGUGCGACUUCGAUUCCAAUGAUCUCUUUGUUUAACAACUAAAUAUAUUUAUUUCAUAAACGCUAUAAUUUGUAUAUAUAAAAAAAUGAUUUGAUCAUAUUAAUUCUGCAUAGUCCCCUCAAGUUGGAUAGUAAAUGUCAUAAUUAAGGCUUUUUAGUCAAAAUGGAGUCAUUGAGAUUUGCCUAACUCAUCACCUUGGUCAUUGAGAUUCAAAAUCAAUAGAAGUGGUCCAUGAGAUAAUCCACCAUCAAUAAUUUUGGUCAUUCGGUGAAAAAUUGUGUUAAAUAAGAAUUAAAAUGAUAAAAUUACCCUCAACGUAAUAAACAAUAGGCCAACAUGAUUUGAGAAAAAUUGAGGGUAUUUUUAAAAUUUUAUCCUUAUUUUAUGGAGAUUUUUCACAGAAUGACGAAAAUGAUUGAUUAUGGACAAACUCAGGGACCAAUUCUAUCAAUUUCAAAUCUCAAGGACCAAAGCAAGGAGUUAUGUAAAUCUCAAUAACCAUUUUAACUAAAAAAUUAUUAUUCCUAAAUUCCUAAAGCCCUUGGGAAGAUAUCUGCCAAUUGUACCCGAGAAGAAAUGCAGGAAGGAGAAAUUUAUAAAGAAAAUGGAUACCUGCUCUUCGCUGCAAAAAACGACACUUAAAGGACAGUUUUCCCGAGUUUUUAACCGCCGUUUUUACCGUUUGCUGCAAAAACCAAAUACUCUCCCCUUGCGAGCUCCGUCGUCAAUUCCCUUCGCAAACUUUGAGUCCCUCUGAAAAAAUGAUUAGCUGAAAUUUGAAUUUUUCAAACUUUGUGUUUGGUUAUAUCUAACGAUCCCUAAUUCCAAAUUUAUGGUUUAGAUAUAUAAAAAAGAUAUCUCGGGUACUUCAUUGCUAUCCAUUAAGCUCCCCACUUUCAAGCAAAGCAAAAAAUUCUAAUUGAGUUGAGUUUUGAACAUGCAGAUUAGUUAGACAACUGAAUUACUAAUCUUUAUUAUUACUGCAACAAACACACAGAUUACACUAAAAGCUAGUGAAUCAUACACUUGCAGAUGACUUAUCCAAACACAAAGAUAAGACAUGAGUUUAUUAUUAUUGCUACAAACACACGGAUUACAGCGAAAUUCAAAAACUAAAAACAAGGAAAAAAGUAGUGAUGAAAACCAAUGCCACUUUCGCGGGGAACACGAUUGCAUUCGCACAUGCAACAAGCCUUUUAAACCCAUAGGUGACCCAAAUGGGACGAGUGAAGUCUCGUGAGGGUUUCCAGAGACGUUACCCACAAACAUCAUGCAUACUGAUAAUCAACAUCUGACUUGAAAGACUGAGUAGAUAUCCACCCCUCCAGCAUCAGGUGUUUUUUGGUUGAGGCGUAAUUCGAAUCUGUUUUCAAUGAACGGCCUGGUUAAGAGGUCGCUUUGCAAGUGACGUAAUCGGCAGCGUGUGAUUAGGUUGUUGCUGUCAGGUGGUCCGACAGGCUCGACCUUGAACAAUGUGCAAGCCCAAUUGUCUUUGGUUUCAUUUCGGUCAGCAGCUGCGGCCAGGACCAAUAGCCUGUUUUGGUCCACCCUUCUCAAGUAGUUGCCGUUGUAGGAGCAUUUGAUAUGCACAUAAUUCUUGUCGGCGUAGUCCUCAUUGUUUGGCUUCUCGGUGGUGAACUUUAUGAACCUGCUGUUUUCAUUGUCCUCGGAAAACUGGACAAUCUCAUUAAGGUCGCUUUCUGCAUCAAGUUGAUAGCGCAAAUACUUGUUGUUGAUAUCUGCUUUCAGCAGAAAAGGGCUUGGUAGUACAGGUGGAGCCAUAUCGUAUAGUGUAGUUGGGAUUGGGAUGGUCUCUCUCUCUGUUGAUGAUCUAAUUUGCUUGCUGUGAAUGUGAUACUUAGUUCAAACCUGCUAUCCUAUUUAUAAGAAAUUAAGCACAAGCUAGCUCAAGUUAUGGUCUUUAAUUAAUAUUAAUUUCGACAAAUCAGUUUCCCAUCUCUUUCAUUGAUAUCAACAUGGCUGAUCUCAUUGGUGUGGCGCAAUAUUUGUUAAAUUAGCCUUUCGGGUUGAUUUCUUUGUAUAACUCUUCUGCCAAUUCUGCAACUUGUAGACUUAAUUCCCAUUACAAAAUUAAAAAAAAAAAAAUCCAAAACUAAUGUAAGAUAAAUAAAGACUUUUUACAUCAUAAAAUAAGACUUUCUAACUUGUAUACAAGACUAUAGUGACAAGAUCAAACACAUUGAUGGGUGCGCAUUUUCCAUCAACAUCUGUUCUGUGCGUUUAAACUGAGCGUGGAGUCUUUUUUAGCAAUUAAAAGUUGGGAACUUUAACGAAAAGCACCUGAUACUGUUCACUUUAACCAAAAACCACAUUUUUACACUAAAAAGUCAAUCCUGGUACUAUUCACUUUACCCUUUAUUUUGUCCUUAUCAUUAAAACUCAAAGUUUUCAAGCCCUUUUCAUUAGUUUUCCUUUAAAAGUUUUGUAUCAUGUAAUUGUCUUGGUUUGAUAAGACCUACAUCUAGAUGAGUUGCUUCUGAAGACUAAUGUAAAACUUUAUGUUGAUAUUUCUUGAGGGUGAAACAUCAUUUGAGAAACGUUUUGGGCCUCAUUACAGACCUACUAUUUUUUUUUCCUUUAAUUUUCUUGCUUUGAAUGUGAUGCUCAGUUCAGACCUACUAUCCUAUUUCUAAGAAAUUAAGCACAAGCUAUCUCAAGUUAUGGUCUUUAAUUAAUAUUAAUUUCCUCAAUCAGUUUCCCAUAUCUUUCAUUGAUAGGAACAUGGCUGAUGUCAUUGGUGUGACGCAAGAUUUGUUAAAAUAGCUGAUCGGAUUGAUUUUUUCUUUGUAUACCAUUCAAACUAAAUGUGUGGCUCAAUAAUUGGUAGAAACAUUUCCAAAUGCUUUAUAAAUGUUCUCUUAAUGCUAACGGAGAAUAUUUUGGGAAGACAAAAUAUUUGCAUUUCUCACGAAAAUGUGGGUGCUCAUUAAUUUUAGUGGGUUUUGCAAUUUUGUAUAAAAUCAUCAUUAAAUAUAGUAGUUUUCACCUUUGCCUCAUCGCUAUAUUUCUAAAAGUAAUGUAAGACUUUCAGCCUUUGUUCAUUAGUGAGGAUCUUAUCAAGAUAGAGCAGCCAUAAGAAGAAACUCUUAACUUUGGAGGAAUAUGAAGUUUCCAAAUGAGAUUCCAUCGCCAAUUAGAAAAAGCACUAGGCCUAAUGGCCCAAAAAUAAGCAGAUUUAACUGAAAAAUUACCAUCACUUAUUCCACUUCAGAUACACUUGGCAGUCAAAGCAUCAAAACUAAUUGGAAUGCUAAGAAUUUGUUCAACCACCUCUUUAGUUUAACAAGUAAUAGUGGAUCCAAACCAUUAUUGUAACAAUAAUUAGCUACAGUAGCCUUAAGCAUAUUGUCGGUGUCACACCCCGAUCCCGACAUACGUCCAGGAUCGACACAUGAUGUCACCUCCAGGAUCGACACAUGAUGUCACCAAAUACCCAUAUCUCUAACUUACCCCGCCUCCGGGAUAUGACAAAGUGAUGAGUCAAUAUUUUACCAUAUAUUUAACCCUAAUCUUAGUAUUAAUUUGUUGGUUAUUUUGGAUGAAUUUUGAUACUUUGUUAUAUAUUUCUAAUGUAGGAUAUUCGACUUUCUCUGGAGAAAAAAGUAACCAAACAGAUGAAUUUUGGAGUGAUUCCAAUUGGAGGAUGUUCGUGAGUCUUUCAAGAUGAUUGUAUCAAAAUUUCAGAUUUUGCUACCAAGUUGUUUGACCAUGGCGAUGAAAUUAAGGCCCAGCGCGCAGCUUUCCCAGAUUGACGUUUCUGGACGUUUUGGGUACUUUGAAGGUUGCGAUGUCAUAUUUUGAGGAAGAUUCCUUCUAAGGAUUUGUAUGGGACCUCUCCAGCUUUCAAAAGAGACAUUUUGGGACCAAAUCGGAGUUGAUUUGAUUGGUCAAAAGUCUGAUUUGUUGAGAACUCUGAAUUCUAGUUCAAAUAGGACACCUUUUAUUUUUUUGUUUUAUUAUUUUAUUAUGUUUCCUAGUUUUAUUCUAAGACCUUUUAGGGUUUUAUUUUGUAUUAGUAUAAAUAAGAUAUUUAGCCAUUAGGGCAAAAGUGGAAGAGAGAAUAGGAGGAGCACGCACACAGUACUUUGGAGGAUUCAAGUUUAUUUUCAAGGUGUUUUCUAUCCAUGUUCUUAAUAAUAUUUUGUUUUAUGGUUGUUAGUAACUAGUUUCGUUUGCUAGGGUGAGGCCACAAGCCUUAGUAAGAAUAUGUAGUUUCUUUUCAAUUUGCUUAUGAUAUAUAUUAUGCAUGCAAGUUUUGAAUUAUUAAUUACUGUAAUUUAAACUAUCUAAUUGUCUUCAUGAUUGGCCACCAUUUGGAUAUUUAGAAAAGUAAUUUGAUGCAAUUUUGGUGAAGGGCUGUCCCUGGAAUUGGUGCUGGCUUCUUGUGGUUAAUAUGUGUAACUUCUUAGGAUAGACGACACGUCUUAAGGGUUAUAUGGUUUUUCAAAAGGAUUUCACAAAACUUAAUGAGUCUUGCAUGUUCACAUUCGAUCUGGACACCACAUAUGGGUUGUAUAUUAGAUAUAUGUUCUAUGUUCGAGGUUCCUAGUAGGGCAUACUUUAGGAAAACCAAACCUUCAAAAUAUGCAUGUGUAAUUCAUAAGUAAUUGGAAGAACUACGUAGGAUUGUUAAGGUGACGGCGAAACCUUAGUGCUUAAAUUUAUUUUCAAAAACUAUUUUCUUUGGUUUUCUUUACUUUGCCAAUUUAUAUAAUUGUUUUCAGUUAAAUUCGUUUUUAAUAUUUUAGGUCAUAAAAUCAACCUCUUCUAAACUUUAUUUUCAAAUAAUUAACUAAGAUUUGGUUUUAACAUAAAUUAUUCAUUCAAUCCCUGUGGAAAACGACCUUACUUGAGCUGCUAUACUACGACAACCUUGUACUCUUGCAAGUAUUUUUAAGUGUUUUUAUCCCUACUUUUGCAAGUGGUAAAAUCCCUAUCACAAGGCACAACUCGAGAAUUGAAUCGCACAGUAAUUUUUCGUAUAAUUUAUGACUGCAUCUAACCUCCUCGUUAAACUGCCUACGUACCCUAAACAGAGAUCAAGCUAUUCGUAGUUCACCUCACUCAAACAUUCACCGCAUAUCUCACUACGUCUCAUCAUAAUACCACAAUUCAAGCAUGUAUCACCUCAAGGAACAUUCUACGAAGCACAAUAAUAUUCUCUAGUCAUCUUGCCAUUCACCCACACAUAUGCAUUCCAACACUAUCCAAUAAUCACACCAUUCAAUAACACAUACAAUACACCAAAAUGCAGGGCUAGAGUGACACAGUUCGACCGAAGCCUACAUCUCUGAAGCUGAAAUCGAAGCCAAGGAACCAACAUGUCAAAUGAUGCAAUUUCAGACCACUCAACGAAAUCCAUUAACAUCAGGUCCCGGACCACUCAACGGAACCAAAACACCAAGUGGGAUUCCGGACCACUUAGCAGAAUCUAUACCAAGAUAUGAUUCCGAACCACUCAACGGAAUCGCAGAGUAGAAGGGAUUCUGGACCUCUCAACGGAAUCCGAGUGGAUAUGAUUCCGGACCACUCAACAGAAUCGCGAAGUACAAUGCAUAUCCAACCACUCAAUGAAAUCUAAGCUGGAUACGAUUACAGUCAUACCUUCCGUCAAUUGUUGGUCAAUUUGUUGCAAUGACAUUGAAACUUUUUAAAGACGAGGUAUUGUUAAUGACCUAAUAAUUGAGGUAGUUUUAGGUAAUUUACCCUAUUUGUUUACUUAUUUUUUGGGUUUUUCUAUUAGAAAUACAUUUGUGGGUCAAUAAUUGGUAAAAACACUUUGAGAUGCCCUAUAAAGAUUUGCUUAAUGCUCACGAAAAAAAUUUCAUUUUCACACAAAAAACGUGGGUUAACACUCAAUAUUUUUAGGCCAUUUUGCAAUUUCGUACAGAAAUCAUUAUUAAGUCUGUUUGUUUUAACUUUCGCCUCACCACCAUGUUUUUAAAAUUAAUGUAAUGCUUUUCGUUGAUAUUUCUUGAGAGUGAAACCCCAUUUUAGCAACAUUUUAUGCCUCACAUAUAUGUUUUCAGUUGGUAGAACUACUUCCAGAUUCCUUAUAAAUAUUCCAUUAAUGUUAAAAUUUUGUAUUUUACCCUAAAAAGGUGUCACGAUUUUAAAACUUAUUUGUUUUCAACUUCGCCUCUCUAUGAUGUUUCAAAACUAAGUUACUUAAUUAUAAUUAUCUAGUUGUGAAAUUGAUAUUUUGGCAAAAAAUUAGGGGAAAGAUUUUAGGUUUGCCCAACGAAUAUAGAAGUGAUGGCUGACGAAUCGUUAUAUGUGGGUCUGACAACUUGCACCUAAUUCGUCAAGCAAAGCUGAAAAAAUUAUUUUUUUCCCUUAUGUUUUUAAUUUAAUUUCAAAUGGUAAAUCAUCGAAUUUGAUGAUCAGGACAAUUAAGUGUGUGGUUUUACUCUAAAUUACUGUUUUUCAAAACAAUUAUGAAAACCAAAGGUCCUAUAUAUAGCCUUUAAAUCUUGAUUUUUCAUUUCUAACAUGCGAAGGAUUUCUCAUUACCAAAUCUUGAAAUGUUUGUUUUGGAUGAUUUUUGGUAUAUGUGGUCUGGAGUAUAUACAAACAAGUUUGAUAGUUGGAUCGUGGAAACUAGUUUCGUAGAUUGCAAAUGCCGUCAAAACAAUAGAUUCAACAAACAUUUAGAGUUUAUUUUGUACUUGCAUUAAGUAGAACGUAAGCUUUUGAGGUAUCCAGUAGUGUAAAUAUUUCGAAGUUGAUGAUCGGGUUUGUUCCUUAUAUUCUUCUAGGAUUGAGGAAUUUAGUUUAAAAAAUUCAUCAAAAUCGGAGCUAAAUGAAUGUUAAAUUGUGAUUUCCAUUUCUAACCGUCGAUGAUUUCGUUUCAUUACCUAAUCUUCGAACGUUUACUUUUGAUGAAUUUUGGCAUCUCUAUGUCAUGUCACAUCAGAACUUAUUUUUUGGUUUAAAAAUAUUGUUGCUAUUUGAUAGACACAUAUUUAUUACAAUUGUUACCCUAUUAUUUAUAUUUGUUAGUGCCUCAUUGAAACUAUUUUUAUUAAAUUACUUUAGUUUUUGUAAUUUAUAAGGAUUAAGAUGCUUAUUGAUAAAAGUGGAAUUCAACAAGUUUUUGACACAUCUUAUAUGUUUUAGUCUUCCUAAUUACAUUGGCUUCAUCCAUUUAAUUAAAAGCAGAUAGGGUAGUAGUGGCAGGGAGGAUUUGAUUUGGUUAUUCUUCUCUAGUUUUAUUUUAUGCAAAAUUUCCUUCUUAGAAUUACUAUGAAUUCUUCGUUCAUGGGGUUCAAAAUUCUUAGCUAAGGCUAAGAGGAAGCCAUAAUUAUGAUUAUUCUAGUUAUUUGAUUGUUCAAUUUGUGAAUUCCAUAUUGAUGAUUAGUUUUCAUUCACUAGUUGGCUUGCAAUUUUGAUAUUGGGUUCUUUGUGCUUUUGACCAUAGCCUAGGAUUUUGAUAUUGAAAUUAUUUGCAUAUGAAUUUAUUUAUGACCAUUAAUUGGAUUCUAUUGAUGCUUCAUGAAUGAGAAUCAUGAACUUAUAUUUUGAUCCGACCGUAGACGAAUAUUGGUUUGUGUGGCUUCCUAGAAAAUUAGCUAUUUGUUUGACGUGACCAAGUUGAUAAGUGGUUAAUUUAUUUCUCACCAUACUUAAUUGGAUUUCUACAUGUUUGUGUAUACCGGACCAAGGAUAUAUGUAGACUACAGAAAUAGUUGAGUUUAAGCCGGACCACAGUAAAAUUCACAUCUCUUUGGGAAAUUAUUGGCAUGUGUACCUGACCACAGACAUAUGCACAGAAGUUGUUUUCAUUAAUUUGAUAAUUCAGGAGUUGACAAUUUGAUACUAGGGUAUGACAGUUAGUGGUAGAAUCAAAGCCUUAGUGUUUUCUUACAUUUGUUCUCAAUCAUAUUUCUAUUUAAGCAUUGUUAAUUUUAACUAUUCUUUGAUAAAAAUCCAAUCUUUAUUUCAAUUUGUUAAGUAAUAGUUAUAGGAUUAAAUUGUAAAAUCAACUCCGGUGGAUUUGAUCUCGUAUUUACAUAUUUCCACUACAACUGAUUCAAGCACUUAGGUGUAAAUUUGGUUUGAAUUAAUCUAUUUAUUAGGUUAGUUUAAAUUCACAUCAAGUUUUUGGCGCCGUUGCUGGGGAUUGUUUUUUCCAAUUUAAACUUUAAUUGUUGCUUAUCAUAGUUCGUUUAAAAUUUUAUUUGUUAGUAAUUUUUUUUUCUAUCCUUUUUUCCUUGUGUUCUUCUUUCUUAUGUUUUGUUUGGUUUUUUUAGGUACUGCUUAGUUUUGUUCUAUUACGGUAGAUGCAAAGACAUUGAUCACUCAAUCUAGCACUUAUUCCUAUUGAUCACGAACUUGAGCAGACUUUACAAAACCAGCAACGGAAACAUUUAUCUCAAUGAGAGGUGCUCAAAACUCCACAAAUUUUUGAAAAAGAAUCAGAGAUGGCUGAGCAAGAUCAAGAAAUUGUGCUGGUUUGAAGGUCGAUGAAGGAUUCUUUUGAUCCUUAGGAUUUGGAUCAGCCCUCGUGCAUUGCAUUCCAACCUAAUAUUGACAGAACUUGUAUGUUAUCUCCUCAGUUGCUCAAUAUGCUUCCCCACUUCAAUGGAGAAUCUCUAAAAGAAGAUCCUUAUGCACACAUUCAAGAGUUCUUCAACAUAUGUAAAACGCAGCACAUUAAGGGACUUAGUGCCGAUGAGAUUAAAUUGCUUUUAUUCCCUUUUUCUUUAAAAUGAGAUGCCAAAAAGUGAUUGCGUUCAUUACCUGCAAAUUCCAUCACUGCUUGGGGACAAUUGGCUAAAAAGCUCAUAAAGAAGGUUUUCCCUGCACACAAGAAAAAACAAUUGAAAAGAGAGAUUCAAUCCUUCGUUCAAAGAGAUGGCGACUCAUUCCAUGUGGUGUGGGAUCAAUUUAAUAAGUUGCUUGUCAAUUGUCCUAAUCAUAAUCUGCCCGGAUGAACAGGUACAAGCAUUUUAUGAGGGAUUAAAUGAUUCGAAUAAAGCCAUUGUGGAUUCCGCUUGUAAUGGUAUGUUAAUGAAGAUGAGUGACGAGGAAACGAUAGAAAUGUGUGAGGAACUUGUAGAGAACUCGCAACAAUUUAAUACAAAGGGACGUCAGGCUAAAAGAGGUGCAUAUGCAGUAAAUGCUAAUGAUGGUAUGCAAGUUGAGAUGGCUGCCAUGAACAGAAAUAUUGCAGCACUAAUCAAGACCUUAUCGCCUCAAAGUUCUCAACAAGCUCUCAAGUUUGAUGUAUGUGCAAUCUGUUCAGAAAAUGAUCAUGCUACAAAUACUUGUCCGAUAACUUCUUUUUCAAUAAAGAGCAAGUCAAUUUUGUUGGACAAGGAGGAUAUUCUUCGAAGCACAAUCCAUACUCAAAUACAUAUAAUUCGGGAUGGCAGGGUCACCCUAAUUUCAGUUAUGCAAAUCAGCGAAAUGUAUUGAAUCCUUCACAAGGGAACACACAACUUCAAGGGAUUGCUCCAGGAUUCUCUGAACUUAAGAAAACGUCUUUGGAGGAUAGCAUAGCUGUACUUGCACAAAGUCAGCUUGCGUUUCAAUAAAGUACCCAAGCUUUCCAGCAACAAACACAAGCUGCUAUUCAAACUACUCAAGCUUCGCUUUAGAAAUUGGAAAUUCAAGUGGGACAGCUUGCUAGUGCAGUAAAUGAAAGACAGAAACGCGAAUUUCCAAGUCAACCCAUAGCUAAUCCGAAAGGUGCAUAUGAGAUUAGCUCUAGUUACCCGUCGCAUGAGCAAGUCAAGUCUAUCACCAUACUCAAGAGUGGCACACAAGUAGAUAAUAAAGUUCAAAUGGCGAAUGGGGACCGAGAGACCAACCUGAAAAAGAAUGAAGCGGGUGCAUGUAAAGGGUAAAAAUGCUCAAGUAAACAGUUCAAAGUCCCUUAAUUUAUCAAAGUUUGAUCCCUUUGCAGCUUAUAAGGACAAGCCUCCUUUUCCUCAAGCUUUGAUCAGGCCAAAGAAGGAUAAUCAUUUCAGUGAGAUCAUGGAAUUGUUCAAAAAGGUCCAUAUCAAUAUUCCACUACUUGAGGCUAUCAGGCAAAUCCCUUCUGUUGGUAUAUGGUCCAGCCCAUGAUCAAUGUUCUAGAUUAUUCUAGUAAGCAAGAGAGAUGGCUGGAGCAUGCUAGACAAUUCUAGCAUGUUAUUAAGUUGAUGGAAGAAGCUAGAGAGUACUAGCUUCCUUGGUUGCAAAUGGAAAGAUCUAGAAGCCACACUUUUGUGGCUAGUCUAGAUCUUUCUAUGCUAGAGGUUUGAAGAAUACACUAGAAACUAGUAGAAUGCCAAACCCUCACCUAUAAAUAUGGGUGUGAUGUUGUAGUGAACCAACAAAUCAAGAGAAAGAGUGAGUAGCAAAGGAUCAAGUCCAAAGCUAGAGUUCCACUCCAAGAGUGAGAGUGAGAGUGUUCCACUACACAUUGUGUGAGUGAAGUUUAGAGUGAUAGAAAGUGUGUGUUUAUACUUUCUUGUAUCCAUCAAGCCUUGUCUUUGGCUUGGUAAGACUACUCUUGUUGUAUUCAUCUUUUUUCAUAUAGUGAAGAUUCCUUGUUUGGUGGACGUAGGCAUAAAUUGCCGAACCACAUAAAUUCUUGGCGUCCAUUUUCUACUUUACCUUGUGCAUUCUCUAUCUUGUAGUACCGACAUUCCUAAUAAGUGGUAUCAGAGCCCGGUUGGCUCGUACUACGAGAUGGAAGGAAGUGGCACUAUGAUCAAACUCACCAACUCCAAUUGGGUAACAUGGAAGCCAAGGAUGGAGGACAUUCUCUAUUGCAAGGAUUUGCAUGAGCCAAUUGAAGGAGAUGCCGCUAAGCCCGAGAGCAUGUCCGAUGCCGAGUGGAAGAAGAUGAAUCGCAAGGCUAUUGGCACAAUUAGACAAUGGGUGGAUGAUAGUGUUUUUCACCAUGUGUCUAAUGAAACCAAUGCUCGCGAGUUUUGGACGAAGCUUGAGUCCUUGUUCAAGAAGAAGACCCCAGCCAAGAAAGCCUUCUUGAUCAAAGAGCUCAUCAAUGUGAAGUACAAGGAUGGUUUAAGUGUAGCAGAACACUUGAACAAUUUCCAGAAUAUCAUCAACCAGUUGGCUACUAUGAAAAAUGACGAUCGAGGACGAGCUACAAGCGCUCUUGUUACUUGGAUCCUUGCCAGACAGUUGGGAGACCUUUGUGGUGAGUAUAAGUAACUCUGCUUCUAAUGGUGUUCUUACUCUUGAUAAUGUUAAAAAUAGCAUGCUCAAUGAAGAAACAAGGAGAAAGACUUCUGGCACAGAUAGCAGCCAAGUAUUUUGUCACAGAGAACCGCGGAAGAAGCAAGAGUAGAGGGCCUAGAGGUCAUGGCAGGAGUCCUAGCCGAUCCAAGUCAAGGUUCAGGGGUGCAUGCCACCAUUGUGGCAAAGAAGGCCAUAUGAAGAAAAAUUGUCGAGUUUGGAAGAGAGAGCAAAGGGAAGGAAACAAUCAGAAGAAAGAUGAUACUGGCAAUACCACUGCUGUCAUAUGUGGUGAUGUACCAGAAAUAUUGUCUGUUAGUGAAUGUCUGCAUAUGGGCAACUCUGACAGAGACAUUGAAUGGAUCUUUGACAAUGGAGCUUCCUUCCAUGCUACGUCCAAACGGGAGUUCUUCAGUACAUACAAAGAAGGUGACUUUGGCAUAGUGAAGAUGGGGAAUGAAAGCUAUUCCAAAAUUCUUGGAAUUGGUGAUAUCUGCUUAAGAACUAAUCUCGGCUGCCAAUUGAUGUUGAAAGAUGUGAGACAUAUUCCUGAUAUACGUCUCAAUCUGAUAUCCAUCGGUACCCUUGAUCGACAAGGAUAUUAUCACCAUAUUGGCGAAGGAAAAUUGAAGCUUACUAAAGGCUUAAUGGUGGUAGCAAGAGCACGACUUUGUUGUACGUUUGUACCGGUCAAAUGCCAAGGUUUUGAAAGGUGAGUUGAAUGCUGUGGAAGACUCAUCUCUAGACUUGUGGCAUAAGAGGCUAGGCCACAUGAGCGAGAAAGGCCUACAAGUUUUGGCAAAGAAGUCUCAUAUUCCCUUUGCCAAAGGUACGUCGUUAAACUCUUGUGAGCAUUGUUUAUUCGGAAAACAAAGAAGAGUUAGUUUUUCUGUUCCAUCUACAAAGAAAGGAAACUUGUUAGAUCUUGUUUAUUCAGAUGUGUGUGGUCCCAUGGAAGUCGAGUCACUUGGAAGAAAUAAAUAUUUUGUUACUUAUAUUGAUGAUGCUUCACGAAGGGUGUGGGUGUAUUUGUUGAAAUCCAAAGACCAGGUGUUUCAGACAUUCCAGGAGUUCCAUGCCAUGGUGGAGAGGGAAACUGGGAAACCUCUCAAGUGCCUUCGUAGCGACAACGGCGGCGAGUACACAUCUCACCAGUUUAGAGAGUAUUGUGUAAAACAUGGCAUACGUCAUGAGAAGACAGUUCCUGGAACUCCACAACAUAACGGUGUUGCUGAAAGAAUGAACCGAACCAUCAUGGAGAAAGUCAGGUGUAUGUUGAGGACUGCAAAGUUAUCUAAGCAGUUCUGGGGUGAAGCUGUAAGGACAGCCUGCUAUUUGAUCAACCGAUCUCCAUCAGUACCAUUAGGUCUUGAUGUUCCAGAGAGAGUAUGGACUGGUAAUGAUGUGUCUUACUCUCAUCUGAAGGUGUUUGGUUGCAAAGCUUUUGUGCAUGUGCCCAAAGAGCAGAGAUCGAAGUUAGACUACAAAGCUACACCGUGCAUCUUUCUUGGUUAUGGCGGUGAAGAUUUUGGUUACAGAUUAUGGGACCCAUACCAGAAGAAGUUUAUCCGAAGUAGAGACGUGGUCUUUUAUGAAGAUCAAACAAUUGGGGAUUCGGAUAAAGAGGCACAACCAGAUGGCGCAGUCAGAGGAGUUGAUCCAUUAGCUUCAGAUGAAGAAAGUCACGAUGACAUCCCUGAAGCAACUGCCAAUGAAGUGCCUGCAGAAUCAGAUAAUGCUGAUCAAGAGGAGCCUGAUCAAGAUGUGCCAGACCAUGAGAUUGCUGAUCAGGGGGAGCCUAGUCAAGAAGAGCAGAUUCAAGGAGAAUCCAAUCAGGGGGAGCCUCUAGCCCCGCAAGAGAAUGAAUAUCAGGUCAGAAGAUCCAGCAGAAGUCGAAGACCGUCUACCAAGUAUUCUUCAUCAGAGUAUAUCAUGUUGACUAAUUAUGGAGAGCCCGAAACUUAUGAGGAGGCCAGAGCUCAUAACGACAGUGAUAAAUGGAUGAAGGCAAUGGAGUCAGAGAUGGAUUCCUUAUUAAAGAAUAAUACCUAUGAGCUGGUGGAGCUUCCAAAGGGCAGGAAAGCAUUGAAAAACAAGUGGGUGUUCAAAUUGAAAAGAGACGACAACAUGACAAGGUACAAGGCUCGUUUGGUUGUCAAAGGUUUUGGUCAAAAGAAAGGAGUUGACUUUGAUGAGAUUUUGACUUCCAUUCGAGUUAUCCUUGGUAUGGCAGCAAGCAUGGAUCUUGAGCUCGAGCAGUUAGAUGUUAAAACUGCAUUUCUCCACGGCAAUUUAGAAGAGGAGAUAUAUACAUGGAGCAACCCAAAGGCUUUGAAGUCAAAGGUAAAGAAAAUUUGGUGUGCAAGCUCAAGAAAAGUUUUUAUAUGGUCUUAAGCAGGCUCCGAGACAGUGGAAUAAGAAGUUCAACUCAUUCAUGGUGAGUAAUGGGUACAAGAGAACUCAUGCUGACUCUUGUGUCUAUAUCAAACAAUUUUCUGGAGGUACAUUCAUCAUCUUAUUGCUUUAUGUUGAUGACAUGUUGAUUGUCGGACAAGAUGCUUCUAUGAUUAAAAAGCUCAAAGAAGAGUUAUCUAAGUCCUUUGACAUGAAGGACUUAGGGCCAGCCAAGCAGAUUUUGGGCAUGGAGAUAAUUCGUGACAGAAAAUCCAAGAAGUUGUGGCUGUCACAAGAAAAAUAUGUUGAACGGGUGCUUGAAAGGUUCAACAUGAAAGCAGCCAAAUCGGUAAGCUCACCUUUAGCCAAUCAUAUCAAGUUGAGCAAAGAGUCGUGUCCAAAAACAUAUGAAGAAAAGGAGAAAAUGGCAGUUGUUCCCUACUCUUCAGCAGUAGGAAGUAUCAUGUAUGCAAUGGUGUGCACACGGCCAGAUAUUGCUCAUGCAGUAGGUGUGGUGAGCAGGUUUCUCUCUAAUCCAGGGAAAGACCAUUGGGAAGCUGUUAAGUGGAUUCUCAGAUAUUUGAAGGGGACUUCUAAGAUGUGCUUGUGCUUUGGCGGUUCCAAACCAAUCUUGGAAGGAUUUACAGAUGCUGACAUGGGAGGUGACCUGGAUGGCAGAAAAUCUACGUCUGGGUACUUGUUUACUUUUGCAGGGGGAGCCGUGUCUUGGCAAUCCAAGUUGCAAAAGUGUGUUGCUUUGUCUACAACCGAGGCUGAAUACAUAGCCGCUACAGAAGCAUGCAAGGAGUUGUUGUGGCUGAAGCGGUUUCUCCAAGAGUUGGGUUUUAAGCAAAGUGAUUAUGGCGUUUAUUGUGAUAGUCAGAGUGCUCUGGAUUUGAGCAAGAACACUGCAUACCAUUCACGCACCAAGCACAUUGAUAUUCGUUAUCACUGGAUUAGAGAUGCUAUUGAGAACAAGAUGCUACAGCUGAAGAAGAUUCAUACCGAUAAUAAUUCUUCAGACAUGUUGACAAAGGUGGUCACAAAAUCAAAGUUGGAAUUCUGCAUUAAGGCUGCUGGGAUGGACUCCAGGUAACUUGGAGUCAUGAUCGGAAUUCCUCCCUCAUGGACUGGAGGGGGAGAUUGUUGGUAUAUGGUCCAGCCCAUGAUCAAUGUUCUAGAUUAUUCUAGUAAGCAAGAGAGAUGGCUGGAGCAUGCUAGACAAUUCUAGCAUGUUAUUAAGUUGAUGGAAGAAGCUAGAGAGUACUAGCUUCCUUGGUUGCAAAUGGAAAGAUCUAGAAGCCACACUUUUGUGGCUAGUCUAGAUCUUUCUAUGCUAGAGGUUUGAAGAAUACACUAGAAACUAGUAGAAUGCCAAACCCUCACCUAUAAAUAUGGGUGUGAUGUUGUAGUGAACCAACAAAUCAAGAGAAAGAGUGAGUAGCAAAGGAUCAAGUCCAAAGCUAGAGUUCCACUCCAAGAGUGAGAGUGAGAGUGUUCCACUACACAUUGUGUGAGUGAAGUUUAGAGUGAUAGAAAGUGUGUGUUAUACUUUCUUGUAUCCAUCAAGCCUUGUCUUUGGCUUGGUAAGACUACUCUUGUUGUAUUCAUCUUUUUUCAUAUAGUGAAGAUUCCUUGUUUGGUGGACGUAGGCAUAAAUUGCCGAACCACAUAAAUUCUUGGCGUCCAUUUUCUACUUUACCUUGUGCAUUCUCUAUCUUGUAGUACCGACAUUCCUAACACCUUCCUAUGCCAAAUUUCUCAUGGGUCUUUGUUCACAUAAGCACAAGUUGAAUGGCAAAGAAAAGGUUUUUCUUACCAAGAAGUUGAGUGAUAUCUAUCUAUGGAAAAAUCCAUCAAAGCUUUAGGACCCUGGAAUUCUUACACUAGCUUGUGUCAUUGGGAGUCAUAAAUUCGAAGAAGUAUUGGUUGAUCAUGGAGCAAGCGUGAAUUUAAUGCCAUAUUCAGUUUAUGUGGAAUUGGGUCUUGGGGAACUGAAACGAAGCCCAAUUACAUUGGAAUUUGCCGAUGGAUCUGUAAAGAAGUCAUGUGGUGCUAGUGAAGAUAUGUUGAUGCAAAUUGACAAAUUUUAUUAUCUGAUGGACCUUAUUGUUCUUGAUACAAGGCCUAUGCGUUAUUCAUCUACUGAAAUUCUGAUUAUUCUUGGAUGUCCCUUUCUAGCUACUGCAAAGGCUAAUAUUCAAUGUGACACUGGAGUUUUAACUUUGUGUUUUGGGGAUAUGAAGGCUAAAUUCGACCUGUAUCCUGCUCAUGGCCUUCAAUCUGGUGUUGAUCAUGUUGAAAGUAUUCAUCCUGUAGUUCGUGCGUACAAGAACAACUAGAGCAAAGUAGUGUCUGGCUGAAGACAGUAAACUUAGUGCUAUUGGGAGGCAACCCAAUUUCUUUUUCUUCGUUUUCUUUCUUUAAGUUUUACUUUUUGUUAGUUUUUCCAUUAGAUUGCUUCGCUGCUGCUGCUUAUUUGCUCGUUGAUGUUUGUUCUGUUUGUAGGUCUGGCUCUCUAUUCCAAUUUGACAAAGGAAAUUCGAACAAAGUGGUGUACUGCAGCAUGUUUGCUUGCGAUUUGGAUGAGAUUAAGUUGGUCAUUGUUGUCAUCCCCAAAUUUUUCCACAACAGCAAGCAUGCUCUGAGACCAUAUCAUUCAUGCACCAUUCACAUCCAUUUGAUGAUUUGCUAAAAAGAGCUGCAUUUACAAACAGGGAAUUUCCCUGACUUUUCUCUUUUUCUUUUGUUUUCUUUGUUUUAUACUCUUAUUCCAUAUCGCUUUGUGUCCUAAUUACAUGUUCAAUUCCAUAUUUUUUAACAUUGAGGACAAUGUUGGAUUCAAGUUUGAGGGUAGGAUAUUUUAGUUUGGUGUUUUUAAAAGUUGAAAAGAAAAAAAAAUAACAAAAAAAAAAUUAAAAAAAAACCUAAAAAUAUGUCUUUGUAUGUUUCUUUCUCCUUUCCUUUGAGUCGCUUUCCAAAUUUCCAUGACGAAAUUGAGUUGAUAACUUGUAUAACUUGAAUGAGAAAAGUGUGGUAACAUAUGGGGUUUUAGCUUUAUUCGCUUUAUAACAUGAUUCUAGCAUGAUAUGUUUGAUGCACAAUAACCUUUGGUUGAUAUUAUGUAAAUUUUAUUAAGUUGAGCAUGCUUAACUUGAAUAAAACCCGCAUCCAUGUGAGCUUUUGUGCCUAAAUGUAGUGUGUGCAUUUUUCAUACACUUUUGUUCUUUUCAUGUGUGCAAUCUUAUAUGUUAUGCAUCUCCAGAACUUGCUUUGAGACCUUUUCGAGACUUCGUGUCAUGUAUUGCUUCAACUUGGAGAAGAUAGUAGGCAUUAGGACUUUAACAUCAUUGCCAUAUAUGCCAGUGUCCUAUACGUUACUCCUAGUUAGCCCCCUUGAGCCUUUAAUGGAGCCUUUUCUUUGUGAGCCAAACUCCCUACCAUUCCUAACCCCUAUUUAUAUAUCCUACCCUUAAUUGUUCUGAGAAAAUGAUAGAGUGAUUGUUUCGCUGGAGCUUAAUUUGUUUGCAUAAAAGGGAUGUAUGGACGAAGGUGGUUGAUUAUCAAGGCUAGAAAUUUGCGCUUUAAUGUUAUUCACUAAGAGUUGAAAGCUGGAAGUGGUGUCAUUAAAAAAAAAAAAACAAAAAAAGAGGAAUCAAUGAAGAGGAUGUGAGAUUUUGUCCUGUACUUGCAUAAGGGUAAUGAAAGCAGCUCAAAUGUGUUGGUGAUGUCAAGUGCUUAUUUUCAUAUGAAUAUGGGGUAUGAGAGAACAACAUGUGAUGUUGUCUUUGCUCUGGUGAUUUACAGAAUUUGUAUUGUGCAUGAGAGAAUAUCUUAUACAAAAGAAGGAAAAGUAGACUGAAGAUGCUACGCUUGUUGAUGCUAUUUUUUAGAGUGAUUAGUGUUUUGUGCUUAUGGUAAUAAAAAACACUCUAAUAUUUUCUCAUAAUGUUUGUAUUCCCAAUCCUUUCAUUUGUUUAGCCAUUCACCGUAAGCCUCCAUUACAACCUUCGAUAAAGACCUACUUGAUCCAAGGAGAGUAAUUUUUGAAUUGUGGAGAUCAGAUUGAUCUGCAAGCUUAUGGUAGAGCAUUCAUGUAAUGAUCUUUUGAGUGUAUACACUUAACCUUAAACACCUUGAGUUGAGUGCUAAUUGAGCGUAUAUCUUGUGAGUUUAGGGUUGAAGUUGUGCGAAUUGAGCGUAUACUUGCAUUUGUGUUGUAUCAACUUUUGGCUAUUUUUACUCGAGCAUGUUAUGUCUCUAGAAUGUGUUAUUUUGUGACUAUGGUUUGAGCCUUAUGUGUUGUUAUACUUUAUUAUUAUUGGUAUGCCUGUGUGUAGACUCCCUAAGUUGUUUGGAAAGAUCAAUUUUUUUAAUUGUGUCUUUUUGUUUUGCUGGAGGACUAGCAAAAGAUAAGGUUGGGGGUAUUUGAUAGACACGUAUUUAUUACAAUUGUUACCCUAUUAUAUUUAUAUUUGUUAGUGCCUCAUUCAAACUAUUUUUAUUAAAUUACUUUAAUUUUUGUAAUUUAUAAGGAUUAAGAUGCUUAUUGAUAAAAGUGGAAUUUUACAAGUUUUUGAUACAUCUUAUAUGUUUUAGUCUUCCUAAUUACAUUGGCUUCAUCCAUUUAAUUAAAUGUUAUUUUAUUCUUAUGUUGAAGACCAAUAGGCGGUGGAGAUAUCUUAGGAAAGAACUUCAAAUUGACUGGAAUUCCUAUUUUUAGGAAGACUUGGUCGCAGAUAAAAGCAGAGCGGGUAGCAGCGGAAGAGGGGGAUUUUUCUGCUGGCGUGAAGUAGAGAGGGCAGCAGCGGCAGGGAGGAUUUGAUUUGGUUCUUCUUCUCUAGUUUUAUUUUAUGCAAAAUUUCCUUCUUAGAAUUACUAUGAAUUCUUCGUUCAUGGGGUUCUAAAGGGCUUGGUAGUACAGGUGGAGUUGGGAUUGGGAUGCUCUUUCUUUUUUAUUCUCUCUUGAUGAUCUAAUUUGCUUGCUGUGAAUGUGAUGCUUAGUUCAAACCUGCUAUCCUAUUUGUAAGAAAUUAAGCACAAGCUAGCUCAAGUUAUGGUCUUUAAUUAAUGUUAAGUUCGACAAAUCAGUUUCCCAUCUCUUUCAUUGAUAUGAACACGGCUGAUCUCAUUGCUGUGACGCAAUAUUUGUUAAAUUAGCUGAUCGGUUUGAUUUCUUUGUAUAACUCUUCUGCCAAUUCUGCAACUUGUAGAUGUAAUUCCCAUUACAAAAUAAAAAAAAUAAAAUCCAAAACUCAUAUAAGAUAAAUAAAGACUUUUUAUAUCAUAAAAUAAGACUUUCUAACUUGUACAUGACUAUAGUUACAAAAUCGAACACAUUGAUGGGUGCGCAUUUUCCAUCAACAUCUCUUCUAUGCGUGUAAACUGAGCGUGAAGUCUUUUUUUAGCAAUUAAAAGUUUUGUAUCAUUUGAUUGAUUUGGUUUGAUAAGACCUACAUCUAGAUGACUUGGUUCUGAAGACUAAUGUAAAACUUUAUGUUGAUAUUUCUUGAGGGUGAAACAUUGUUUGAGAAACAUUUUGGGCCUCAUUACAAUUUUUUUCAUUUAUUUUUAAGUUUCGGUUUAAAUAUUCUACAAUAAAUACAUUUGUGGCUUUAAUAACUGGUAAAACCACUUUCAAAUAUCUUGUUAAGUUUUUCUUAACGUCAUGGAAUUUUUUUUUACGAAAAUGAAACAUUUGCAUUUUUCACAAAAAAAAUGUGGUUUGUCAAUUUUGUAAAUUUGUAUAAAAAUCUUCAUUAAGUCCAUUUGUUUUCACAUUCACCUUACCAUGAGGCACUUAGAAUUAAUUUAUAACUUUCCAUCGAUACUUGAGUAUAGACCCUGGUUAAGGCAAAGAGUUGGGCUUCACUACAAUUUUUUUUCAUUUAUUUUUUAGGUUUUGUGUCACAUUUUGGCCUGGGCCCCCACCACAUCCCAAGCACGACUCAACCGUAACACGAUAUUGUCCGCUUUGGGUCCCGACCAUGCCCUCGCGGUUUUGUCUUUGCCGCAGUGUGAUGUUUCUAAGAUUAAUGUAAGAGUUUUUGUUGAUAUUCUUGAGUAUAUACCCCGUUUAGGCAAUGUUGGACCUCACUAUUGUUUUUUUAAUUAUUUUUUGGGUUUGGGUUAAAAUAUUCUAUUAGAAAUACAUUUGUGGCUCAAUAAUUGGUAGAAACACUUUCAGAUGCCCUAUAAUGAUUUUCUUAAUGCUCUUGAAAAAUAGAAAAUUUGCAUUUUUCACACAAAAAACGUGGGCUAACACUCAUUAUUUUUAGGCGAUUUUGCAAAUUCGUAAAAAAAUAUUAUCAAAUCUUAAGCCUUUUAUAAUUCUUGUUCUAAAUGGAUUGUUAGUCGUAUAAGAUUAUAAUUACAUGAUAAACACACUGAUGGGUGUGUAAUUUCCUGCAAUAUCUUCAAAGUGCGAUUAAAAUGAGCGAUUGUCGACUUUCAUAAAAUAGUAUGGCUAUAGGUCUUUUAAUAUUGCAAGCUUUUAUAACUCUUAUACUAAAAAUGUAUACAAGUUUAUAAAUGGAUUAACAGACUAAUAGUUUGGGUAUAAAUGAAGACUAAAUGAGGGACUUGAUUCUCAACUUGCACACUACAUGUCACGCCCCAAACCCGACAUACGUCCAGGAUCGACACAUGACGUCAUCAAAUACCCGUAUCUCAACCUACCCCGCCUCCGAGAUAUGUGCAUAGCAUAAUUCAAGAUCCAAAUCUCAUAGAAAUUUUUGUAUAUUUUAUGGCUGUAUCUAACCUCCUCGUUAGAUUGCCUACGUACCCUCAAUAGGGAUCAAGCCAUUCAUAGUUCAUUAUUCCACUUCAAUCGAACAUUCAACACAUAGACCCCUAGGUCUCAACAUAAUACCACAAUUCAAUCUUGUAGCACCUCAAGGAACAUUUAACAAAGUACAAUAAUAAUUUUUAGUCAUCUCGUCAUUCAUCCACUCAUAAGCGUUCAAACACCAUCCAAUUAUCACAUCAAUCAAUUGAACUUGACAAGCAUAAAAUUCCUAGACUCAAGGUAACAUAACAAACCCACAUGAAAAAAAUCAAGAUUUCCCUUCCAUCCUUCAUAUAAAUCACUAUGACUCAACAUGAUAUCUCAAUUCACAACAUACAUCAUAUUUCAGAACCGACAACGCACAAAACCAUCUUCUAGCCACAUUAAUUAACUAAUAUGGUCAAAAUAAUAACAAUCAUUCUCAUAUCUUCUAAAUUCAUAAACUAUGAAAUUAUAAUUGAAUCGUAGAAAAUCUCGAAGGAAUCCCACGGACGUACAACCGCUUUUAUACUUCAAUUCAUAAUAUUCUCAAACCCAUUAUUCACAAUAUGCUCAAACGAAGGCUAAAGUGACACAGUUAAAUCAAACUUCUCCGAAGAAAGGGAUUUUGGACCAUCACUCAACGGAAUCCGAGUGGAUACGAUUCCGGAUCAUCACUCAACGGAAUCGUGUAGUACAAUGUAUAACAACAACUAAAUGAAACCCAAAUCAGAUACAAUUCCGGAACAUCACUCAACGAAAUCACGGAGUAUAAAGGAUUCCAGACCAUCACUCAACGGAAUCCGAGUGGAUACGAUUCCGGACCAUCACUCAACAGAAUCGCAGAAGGCCAGCAACCAUAUAUACAAUGGCUCAAAGAAAUGAGACAAGUACAAGUUACUUAAUUUACAAAAGCUCAACCAAGGAAAUAAGGCACAAAUACUAAAUUUAGAACGAAUCAACGAAGCAGAAGAUGAAAUCAUAACGAAGCAACAAAUCCCCAUCACCACGGGUUAACAAUCUACCAUUAGUUCUCACAUUUCAUCACAACAUGCCAAUCAAAUCAAUCAAACCAUAUUUCAAUAUACGCAUGUCAAAUCUCAUUUCAUAAACUUAAAUCAAUGGCUAAGCAUUAAAAAUAACAAUUCAAUGGAAAACAUAUUUAUAAAACCAAGUCAUAUCGACAUAGGAUAACAAUUACGAAAAUAGGGUAAUCACCAAUAUCACAUAUUUUAAAGUCACUCAUAUUUCUAUACAUCACACUAAUCCCUAUGAAUUACAACGUAGUCUCCUACACCAUCAACUUCUCAUGGCCACCAACUAAUAUAUCACACAAGCAUAUAAGUUCUACAGAAUAUUUCAAAUAGGAUUCUAAGAUCGCAUAGCCAUAAAUUUAUCAUACUUAACCUUCACAUUACUAGAAAUAAUUAAACAUCCAUAUAUCACCAUUAUCAUCAAUACACAAGCCAAAUCAUGUUAAUAAACAUAAGUCUAUGGCUAAAUAUAUGAAAAAUCACAUUACAAUAGAAAUCAUAUUUAUAAGUCCAAAGCACGUUUACAAAUGAUAUUAAUAUAAGAAAUUAAGGUAAUAACCAUAUCACAAUAUUCAAGUCACUCUCCAACCAAUAUAGGUCCACUAGACUUCACUUAAGUCUCCCGUAGUACUAAUUUUAUUAUUGGGAACGUUUCGAGACAUGUUGACCAAAAGUCAACUCUCGGUCAAAGGUAGGGUCCACAAUUCUACACAAUUCAGUCUAGAAGAUCCACUCAUUGGAUUUCGGAUCCGUAACUUCCCAAAGCCCACAUUAUGCUCAUACUAAAUUCCCAUCGCGAUCCGGUGGUCAGAUCUUCAAACAAUUACUAGAAUUAAGUGGCGGUCAACAAUUUAUUUUACCAACAUAGAAAUCCAAUUAGGGAAGAUCUAUACGUCGAAUUCCCGAUCCGCAAGUUUCUAUGAUGCACAAAUAUUAUGUUCUAUCACGAAGUAAGGUUUGGUGACGAUCCAACGGUUAGAUCAUUCAUUCAUAAUUAGACCAAGUAAGGUAUCGUAAUGAAACUAAGUCCAAACAAUCAAAUUACGUCAUACGGAUAUCAAUUAUGAAGUCAAGGCAUUUAUUUUAACUUAAAAGGACAUCUUCAACCCACUUGCCAGGCUGCCGCCACACCUGCCGCCCCGACUUACCAGAAAAAUUCAACUAUUUUUAAAAAUUAUCAAAAUUUACAGGCAGGUAUAUCUCAGUGAGGGGAGCAACUUUCAUACCUGUGACUAAGGCCAAUUUGGCCAGGAAGAGAUCCAAUUCCAUUAAAACCCGUCGGAAACCCUAUAAAGGGUGUUCUUCUAAUCACCACCAAAUCGAACCCCAACGUCUCAACAAUUGACUGGGCAUGGUUCUUGGGUUCAAGGGAAGUAUUUUGGUGAUAAAAAUUGCACCAAAUCGUUUCAGGAAUAGUGGAUUCACCGUAGUGGUGCCUUCGGCUCAACAUGAACUUUCAUCGUGAAAUCACGACCAAUGACCACCAAACUUAGGUGGGAAUGGAAGCUGGGAUGACAUCAUGUUGAUGUCAAGUGAAAACUGGGCAAAAAUCGCCUGAAAAAUGGUGGAACUUGGCCAGAAAUCCCUCCAGGUCGAAACUGGGUACACAGGUCACGGGGGAUGGGUGCCCUGCACCUCUCUCCUUUCUUUCUUUUCUUUGCUUUUUCAUUGGUCACCCUCACCUCUCUCCUCUUCUGAUUCGUCUCCUCCCUCCUUGUUCCUCAUGUUCCUCCUUCUUCCCCCUCUCCCCCUCUUUUCUCCUGUCUCUCCCGCAACUCCCCCUUCUUUUUUUCCCUCCUUUUCUUUUUCCUGAUUGGUUUCCUUUUUUUUUUUUGAAGUAACUUCUAAAACUUCCGUGAAGUUCCUUUCUCGAUCCGAUUCACGUAUGGCCUUCGCUUAAGCGCUUGUGAGGUCAAGCCCCAUUAAAAACAUUAAGAGUGACCCUCGAAGUUCUACGGAUAUAACAAUUAUUUUCCAAAAUUCAAACUUUGUAAUUAGGUAAUUAAAAUCUAGAAUUAAUUUAAAUUCAUGAAAAUACUAUAAAUCCCGCCCAUACGAAAUACGUAGAUUACAAUAGUGAAAUUCAGGAACGGUAUUUCACACUACAUAGGUGUGAAGUCUUUUGGUAUAAUUAUAGACUUAAUGUCUCGUUCAUUAAAGUAUUGGUCUGUAAAAGAACUGGAUUUAGAGAACAAAAGUGCAAUUAAAUGAGAAAUAUAUUAUUCUUUCACAAAGCACAUGACUUAAUGUCUCGUUCAUUAAGGUAUUGUGCCUAACUAAUAUGUUUUCAGUUAAUUUUUAGGUUUCAGCUUAAAUAAUCUAGAGUGAUGAUAGACCCACCCCAUUAUUCUAUUUUUACCCAUCAUAAAAAUUAAAAAAAUUAAAAUAUUAUUUCUCCACCCACCAUUAUUCCUAAAAUAACUAAUUUCUAAUUUUUUAAACAAUAAUAUUAAUAUUUAAAAAUAAAAAAAUAAAAAAAAAACUUCAUGCUUCCUUAAUUGCCACCACCCUAAACACACCAGAACCUCCUCCCACCCCCAUCAAAAAGAAAAACCUUUGACACUUGCUUGGCGGCAUCUCCUUUGGAAAGAGAGAGAAACUAAAGGGAAAGGAAGAGAGAAACACAGGGGGAGUUUUCCAAUACAGAGGUAGAUUGCUCCAAAGCGAUUUAUUCCAACUAGAAUUGGGUAUUCUUUGAUUUUAAAAUCUGGGUUCUCGUCGUUGUUCAUUUAUGAGGAAAAGGAGGAGAUGAUGGAGGUGUGGUAGUACCAUAAUUGAAAGGGAGAGUGGGGUGCUAUUUGUUGCUAGGGAGGGUAAUGGAUGAUUGGGGAUUUGAUAGUCGUCAGUCCAUCGUGGAUGAUUUGGGAGGAUGAUGGAUUUAUUUUUACUUUUUUUAGUUUUAGGUUUUCUUUAUUCUCUUUUAGUUUAUUUAAUUAAAGUUAUAACAAAUUUAUAAAUGUGGAUCUAAAAGUCUUUUGCUAAAAGGAUAAUUGUGUGAUUAAAAUUUUGAUUAAAAGGUGGGUUGGAAAAUAACACAAGGGGGUGGUUUUAGUAGCACUCAUAAUCUAUUAGAAAUGCAUUUGUGGCUCUGUAAUUGGUAGAGUAACUUUCAAAUGCCUUAUAAAUAUUUAAUUAAUGUUCAGUAAAAUAUUUUUUGAAAAUAAUGAAUUGCAUUUUAGACAUAUAUAUAUAUAUAUAUAUGUCACGAUUUUUAGAUGGUUUUGAAAAUUUGUAAAAAAAAUAUCAUUUUUUUAAUACAUCGAUGUUUUUACACUAAGGGGAGGAGGAGUUCAGCUAUGCCACACAAAGGGCAGCCUAAUUUGGUAUCAAAUUCCCCAUCCACGAGAUUCAAACCUAAGACCUCUCACUUCCAAGUCGAGAGGAAUACCACCAAACCGUAGUACUGAGUGGCAAAAAAUCAUCAUUAAAUCUACUUGUUUUCACCUUCACCUUUCCCUGAUGUUUUAAAACUAAUGUAAGGCUUUACAUUAAUAUUCUUGAGUACAAGCCCCAAUUUAUGCAAUGUUUUGGGCUUUACUUGACACGUCCCAACCCCGAUAUCCCCACAUACCAAGGUAGGCAUGUGUUGGCCGACAUCCGAGGGUGACGAAGCCAUUUUAAACAUGCAUGCAAAAAAAAGAAUAUGCAAUUAGAAUGAAAAAUGCCAUUGCAAGAACGUGUUCAGAGCAUACAACUACUAAGAAUAAUAUGGAAGAAUUACUAAGAAAAGAUAUGAACAAGGAAAUGAUACCAAUACUGAGAAGACUUGCGGAUACCUAUGCCAAAAUGCCCUAACGCCGGGAUCAUGUGCCUCGAUCCUAAAUAAUAAUACUAAUAGUAGGAAAAAAAUUUAUUUUUGAAUAUAAUAACCCCCUGUUUUGAAAACACAUAUAUAAUACUACGUAGUAGGUUUUAUAAAAUCCCUAGCAUGCCAUGUAAAACAUUCGUAAAACAUGUAUGUAAAACCAAUGCUGUGAAAUGGUAAUAACACCCGAAGGCAAAUUCGUAAAUCUCAUUAGUGAGGUACUCAACUAGGGAUAUCAUACUCGCCCGAAGGCAAUACUUGUCCAUCACCCAAAGGUGAAGCUAAAUAACCUGUCCAUCACCUGAAGGUGAAGUUGUACAACCUGUCUAUCACCCGAAGGUGAAGUUGCAUAAAAUAGCAAACAUCCACACUGACACUAGCCGUGGCUAGUGAAGUUGUUCAACACUGCUUUCAGCAGUGAAGCUAGGGGUAUAUAAUAUAUCAUAUCUCACUCCUUCAUCCUCUGUGUCCUAUGGCCAUAGACAUCUAUACUCGUGCUGUGCGAAUGUGUCGUAUAAUAACCACUAGGUAAAUCUUGGUGUGCCAAAAACAUAUCUCCAAAACUCGUAUCAAAAUUCGAAGCUUGCUAGGUCAAACCUUAUCUUAUAAAUCCAAGAUAAAUCGUACUCAUGAAAUCCAUAAAAUAAUUCAUGCUCGUAAAACCGUAAUAUAAAUCAUGUUCGAAAAUCAUAGAAAUCCAUAUAUGCAAAUCCAAUAAUUCAAUACCUUUAAUCAAACGUAAUUUCGAUAAAUCAACUAUUUCGUAAACCAUAAUUAUAAAAGUCUAUAAAGCAUAUUAUAAAUCAUAUUCAAAUCAUGAAAUAUGGAAUGCAUGCUAGGCUAAUAUUUUAUAAAAACAAGUAAGUUAAGAAGGGGUCCACUCACUGAUUUUAUUGCCCAAGAACCGCUUGAACUAGCAAGGAUGACGUCGCUUCCCGCCAACAAGCCUAAACACAAUUAGGGACCAAUUAGUAAAACUAUACUAAAACGUUAGAAUUUAAAAUGGACGGCGAAUUUGGAUCCGGCACGUUGAAAAACCUAAGGAGGGACCUCUGGUUUUCCCCACACAUCGCCGUACGAGCGGCCAUGAGGCGCCGGCCCGGAAGGCCACGCACCGCCGCAUGAGCCAUCACACAUGGCAGUUGGCCGCCUUGACUCGCCGAAAAAUUCAACAAUUCUAAAAAUUUCCAAAUUUUAUACCUGAGUCGAGGUCCAAUUCGACCAGGAAACACCUCAAAUCGCCCUCGAUCCCGCCGGAACCCUAGAAAUGGAUGCUUUCCAAUUUGUCCUGAAAUCAAACCCGACACCCCCAAACUUGUUUAGGCUUUGUGCCUGGGUUCAAGGUGAGUGGUUUGAUGGUGGUGGUGGCGAGGUUUGUGUAACCAGAAAACUAGUGGAAACACGUCAGAAAGGUCACGCUACGGGUCGGGUCGGCGGGAAUGAACCGACUGAGGGGUGAUCCGGUGCUCCUCCACUCUCUCAUUUCCCCUCCUUUCUCUCCUCUCUGAUUGGUCACUCUCUCUCUCUCUCGUUUUCUCUUCUUUCUCAUUGGGCAUCUACCCUCAUUUCUCUCAUUUCUCUUUUCUCUCCUCCGUGAAUCUCUCUCUUUCAUAUUCUUUCUUUUCCAUCACAACCACACACAUGGCACAGAUUGAUGGCUCCAACAAAAUCUGGAGCCUUCCAAAUUUAUGGUCAAUUGACCAUUUUGCCCUCGACUUGGUUCGUUAAUAACUCCUUCGUUAUAACUUCAAUUUACGUUCCGUUUGCGCCCAUGUGUUCGUAGCGAUGAGUACUACGAGCAUAAGCCAAGAAAAUAGAUCUUACAUGACACGAAAAAGCGGUCAACAAAAGUCAACGUAUUUGCCUUGAAGGGUAUUUUCGUAAUUUCACAUUUUAAAAUACUUCAUUACGAUCAGGUUUGCACCAAAUAUUCCGUUAGCUAAAAAUACUUCAUAUCAUUUCCUAUAGUCUAUUUCCAAGUCUUCCUAACUUUUCCUCAACCCCUUUUGACCUGAGUCUCCCUUUCACAGUCGUCUCUUCUACCAUAGCAUUUUUAGAUAUUCGGUUCAUGUACCCAAACCACCUUAACCUAUUUUCUUUUAUCUUAUCUUCAAUGGAGACCACUCUUACUUUACCUCGGAUGUCCUCGUUGUUAAUCCAAUCGCUUUGACACCCAGACCCCAAUAACACAAGUUACGAGGCCGAGAUAUCAUGGCCGUCACUAAAUUGACCAUAUGGCCCCAUUCAGGGAUGACUUGACAAGCCAACUUAAUAACGAAGUCAUAGUAAGAUAAUUACGAUGUGAGUGAAUUUGAAUCAAAACAUUCAUAAAUAAUAAAUCAAAAGUUGCUACAAAGUUUUGUAAUCAUCCUCCCUACUUAGGAACAUAUAUUUAGGGUUUAGAUCCCAUUAUUAUCACAACACAUCAGAGCAGCUAGAAGUUUCAUACAACAGUAAACACAUAAAAGUGUAGUGCUAUGCAUAAUCAAGAGUGUGAUCAUGCAAAUAUUACUGACAAAAUAAAUAUGCAGUAGAGGAAUCAUCACCCAAAAUCCAAGGGAUGAAACCUCAUUGCCAAGCCCACUUGCCACCAUCGAAGUUCUCCUGAUUCUCGCUAUGUCCUGAGGGGUUGAUAAACAAAGUAUGAGUGGAUCAAGUUUUAUCUCAUCAAAAAUCAAUCAAAGAGAUGGGCCCACAUUCAACAAUAUCGAUAUAGCCCCAACUUGGUAAUUACUACCCACACAGUCUGUCAGGUGUGAGGUUUUAUCACAAAGGGUCUCGGUGUUAGAUGGAGUGGGGAUAUGAUAUUUAAACUUUUCUGUACUUAUAGAUAUAGCUGAUGUGGGAUAUUUCAAUACCUAUAUAUACAUAUACAUAUAUAUAUAUAUAUAUAUAUAUAUAUAUAUAUAUAUAUAUAUAUAUAUAUAUAUAUAUAUAUUAAAAACUACAUAUAUAAUAAUAGUACCAUAAUAGUGGUCACAAUCAAUUCAUCUCGCACAUCAUAUCAUGGAAAGUAAGUCAUUCAUAAAAUCAAAGUAAUAGAAUAUGACUUUAUCAAUAUCGUAGAUGGUUCGUAUAAUCAUGUAUACGCACGUCGGUGCAACUUCGAUUCCAAUUAUCUAUCUCUUUUAACAACUAAAUAUAUUUAUUUCAUAAAUGCUAUAAUUUGUAUAUAUAAAAAAAUGAUUUGAUCAUAUUAAUUCUGCACAGUCCCCUCAAGUUGGACAGUAAAUGCCAUAAAUCAGGCUUUUUAGUCAAAAUGGAGGAAUUUUAACUAAAAAAUUAUUAUUCCUAAUUUCCUAAAGCCCUUGGGAAGAUAUCUGCCAAUUGUACCCGAGAAGAAAUGCAGGAAGGAGAAAUUUAUAAAGACAAGGGAUACCUGCUCUUCGCUGCAAAAAAACGACACUUAAAAGGACAAUUUUCCCGAGUUUUUCACCGCCGUUUUUACCGUUUAAAAGGUCGUACCCAAUGCACAAGGCUCCAGCUUUACGCAGGGUCUGGGAGAGGUGAAUGUCGGCUAGCCUUACCCCUAUUUAUGGAGAGGCUGCUCCCAAGUAUCGAACCCGAGACCUACCGCUCAUGGCCGUUUUUACCGUUUGUUGCGAAAAAAAAAACUCUCCCCUUGCGAGCUCCGUUGUCAAUUCCCCUCGCGAACUUUGAGUCCCUCUGAAAAAAUGAUUAACUGAAAUUUGAAUAUUUCAAACUUUGUGUUUGGUUAUAUCUAACGAUCCCUAAUUCCAAAUUUAUGGUUUAGAUAUAUAAAAAAGAUAUCUCAGGUACUUCGUUGCUAUCCAUUAAGCUCCCCAAUUUCAAGUAAAGCAAAAAAUUCUAAUUGAGUUGAGUUUUGAACAUGCAGAUUAGUUAGACAACUGAAUUACCAAUCUUUAUUAUUAUUGCAACAAACACACAGAUUACACUAAAAGCUAGUGAAUCAUACACUUGCAGAUGACUUAUCCAAACACAAAGAUAAGACAUGAGUUUAUUAUUAUUGCUAUAAACACACAGAUUACAGUGAAAUUCAAAAACUAAAAACAAGGAAAAAAGUAGUGAUGAAAACCAAUGCCACUUUCGCGGGGAACACGAUUGCAUUCGCACAUGCAACAAGCCUUUUAAACCCAUAGGUGACCCAAAUGGGACGAGUGAAGUCUCGUGAGGGUUUCCAGAGACGUUACCCACAAACAUCAUGCAUACUGAUCAUCAACAUCUGACUUGGGAGACUGAGUAGAUAUCCACCCCUCCAGCAUCAGGUGUUUUUUGGUUGAGGCGUAAUUCGAAUCUGUUUUCAAUGAACGGCCUGGUUAAGAGGUCGCUUUGUAAGUGACGUAAUCGGCAGCGCGUGAUUAGGUUGUUGCUGUCAGGUGGUCCGACAUGCUCGACCUUGAAUAAUGUGCAAGCCCAAUUGUCUUUGGUUUCGUUUCGGUCAGCAGCUGCGGCAAGGACCAAUAGCCUGUUUUGGUCCACCCUUCUCAAGUAGUUGCCGUUGUAGGAGCAUUUGAUAUGCACGUAAUUCUUGUCGGCGUAGUCCUCAUUGUUUGGCUUCUCGGUGGUGAACUUUAUGAACCUGCUAUUUUCAUUGUCCUCAGAAAACUGGACAAUCUCAUGAAGGUCACUUUCUGAAUCAAGUUGAUAGCGCAAAUACUUGUUGUUGAUAUCUGCUUUCAGCAGAAAAGGGCUUGGUAGUACUGGUGGAGCCAUAUCGUAUAGUGUAGUUGGGAUUGGGAUGGCCUCUCUUUUUUGUUCUCUGUUGAUGAUCUAAUUUGCUUGCUGUGAAUGUGAUGCUUAGUUCAAACCUGCUAUCCUAUUUAUAAGAAAAUAAGAACAAGCUAGCUCAAGUUAUGGUCUUUUAUUAAUAUUAAUUACGACAAAUCAGUUUCCCAUCUCUUUCAUUGAUAUGAACAUGGCUGAUCUCAUUGGUAUGGCGCAAUAUUAUUUGUUAAAUUUGCUGUGCGGGUUGAUUUCUUUGUGUAACUCUUCUGCCAAUUCUGCAACUUGUAGACGUAAUUCCCAUUACAAAAUAAAAAAUAAAAAAUAAAUCCAGAACUCAUGUAAGAUAAAUAAAGACUUCUUAUAUCAUAAAAUAAGACUUUCUAACUUGUUUACAAGACUAUAGUGACAAGAUCAAACACAUUGAUGGGUGAGCAUUUUCCUUCAACAUCUGUUCUGUGCGUUUAAAUUGAGCGUGGAGUCUUUUUAGCAAUUAAAAGUUUUGUAUCAUGUAAUUGACUUGGUUUGAUAAGACCUACAUCUAGAUGACUUGGUUCUGAAGACUAAUGUAAAACCUUAUGUUGAUAUUUUUUGAGGGUGAAACAUCAUUUGAGAAACGUUUUGGGCCUCAUUACAAUUUUUUUCAUUUAUUUUUUAAGUUUCGGCUUAAAUAUUCUACAAAAUACAUUUUUGGAUUUAAUAACAGGUAAAACCACUUUCAAAUAUCUUGUUAAGUUUUUCUUAACGUCACAGAAUUUUUUUUACGAAAUUGAAACAUUUGCAUUUUUCACAAAAAAUGUGUUUUCUCAGUUUUGUAAAUUUGUAUAAAAAUCUUCAUUAAGUCCAUUUCUUUUCACAUUCACCUUACCAUGAGGCACUUAAAAUUAAUUUAUAACUUUCCAUCGAUACUUGAGUAUAGACCCUUGUUAAGGCAAAGAAUUGGACUUCACUACAAUUUUUUUAUUUUUUAUUUUUUUUAGGUUUUGGCUGAAAUAUUCUAUUAAAACUAAAUUUGUGGCUCAAUAAUUGGUCAAACUCCUUCCAAACGCUUUAUAACUUUAUAAAUAUAUUGACCUAAUGCUAACGAAAAAUAUUUUGUGAAGAUUAAGGAUUGGGAUUUCUCACAAAAAAUGUGGUUGCUCACUAUUUUUCCUUAGUUUUGCAAAUUUGUGCACAAAUCAUCAGUCAAUCUAUUAGUUUUCAUCUUUGCCUCAGUGUGAUGUUUCUAAAAUUAAUGUAAGAGUUUUUGUUCAUAGUCUUGAGUAUAUACCCCGUUUAGGCAAUGUUGGAUCGCACCACUGUUUUUUUUAUAUUAUUUUUUGGGUUUGGAUUAACGUAUUCUAUUAGAAAUACAUUUAUGGCUCAAUAAUUUGUAGACCACUUUCAGAUGCCCUAUAAAGAUUUUCUUAAUGCUCUUGAAAAAUAGAAAAUUUGUAUUUUUCACACACAAAAACAUGGGCUAACACUAACGAUUUUUAGGUGAUUUUGCAAAUUCGUACAAAAAUAUUAUCAAAUCUUAAGCCUUUAUAAUUCUUGUUCUAAAUGGACUGUCUGUCAAUCGUACAAGAUUAUAAUCACAUGAUAAACACACUGAUGGGUGUGUAAUUUCCUACAAUAUCUUCAAAGUGCGAUUAAAAUGAGCGAUUGUCGACUUUCAUAAAGUAGUAUGGGUAUCGGUCUUUUGUUAUUGCAAACUUUUAUAACUCUUGUACUAACAAUUUGUACAAGUAUAAAUGGAUUAACAGACUAACAGUUUGGAUAUAAAUGAAGACUAAAUGAGGGACUUGAUUCUCAACUUGCACAGUACACAGGUAUGAAGUCUUUUGUUAUAAUUAUAGACUUAAUGUCUAGUUCAUUAAGGUAUUGGUCUCUAAAAGAACUGGAUUUAGAGAACGAAAGUGCAAUCAAAUGAGAAAUAUAUUAGUCUUUCAAAAACACAUGGCUGCAGAUGUGUAGUCGUCUUUUAUUUAUUUAUUUAUUUGAACAAACAAUUGUAUCUACACUAAGGGAUAGAAGAGUGGGCUAAACCUUAGAAUGGGCUUACAACAAUAAUGUGGUUCAACUUCACCUUUGACGAUAAUUGAAUCUAAAACCAUUCACUUAGAAAUAAAGAGGUAUACCACCACACCGUAGUAUUAAGUAACAUGACAGCAUACAGCUAUAGGUGUGGAGUCUUUGUUAGCAUUAAAAGUUUUGUAACAAGUAAUUGACUUGGUGUCAUAAGGCCUACAUCUAGAUGACUCGGUUUUAAAAACUAAUGUAAGAGUUUCUGUUGAUAUUUCUUGAGGGUGAAACACCGUUUGAGAAACGUUUUGGGCCUCAUUACAUUUUUUCACUUAUUUUUUAGGUUUCGGCUUAAAUAUUCUACUAUAAAUACAUAUGUGGCUCAACUAUUGGUAAACCCACUUCCAAAUGUCUUGUAAAGAUUUUCUUAAUGUCACGAUAAAUAUUUUACGAGAGUUAACACUCAUUGUAUUUUAUUGGUUUUGCAAAUUCUUAUGAAAAUCAUCAUUUAGUCCAUUUGUUUUCACAUUCGCCUUACUGUGAGGUACUUAAAAUUAAUGAAUAACUUUCCCACAUUAAGGCAAGGAUUUGGGCCUCACUACAAUAUUUUUUUUUUUUCAUUUAGAAUUUUUAGGUUUCGAGUUAAAUAUACCAUUAAAACUAAAUCUGUGGCUCAAUAAAUUGUAGAAACUUGUCCAAAUGCAUUACAAAUAUAAAACUUUCGAAAUGCAUUACAAAUAUUCUCUUAAUGCUAACAGAAAAUAUUUUGGGAAGAUAAAAGAUCUGCAUUUCUCAAUAAAAUGUGGUUGCUCACUGUUUUUAGUCGGUUUUGCAAAUUCAUAUAAAAUCUUUAUUAAAUCUAUUUGCUUUCACCUUCGCCUCACAAUGAUGUUUCUAAAAUUAAUGUAAGACUUUUUUAUGAUACUCUUGAAUAUAGACCCCGUUUAGGCAAUGUUCGGCCUCACUGCUAUUUUUUUACUUAUUUUUUGGGUUUUGGUUUAAAUAUUCUAUUAUAAAUACAUUUGUGACUCAAAAAUUAGUAGAACCACUUUGAGAUGCCCUAUAAAGAUUUUCUUAAUUCGCACAAAAAAAAUAGAAAAUUUGCAAACAUAAAAGACGUUGGUCAUGAUUUUAGGCGAUUUUGCAAAUUCGUACAAGAAUCAUUAUUAAAUAUAUUUUUUUCAACCUUAUCCUCACCAGAAGGCUUUAAAAUUACUGUAAUAAUUUCGGUUAAUAUUUCUUGAGAUGAAACCCCAUUUUAGCAAUGUUUUAUGCCCAACUAAUAUGUUUUCAGUUAAUUUUAGGUUUCAACUUAAAUAAUCUAUUAGAAAUGCAUUUGUGGCUCUAUAAUUGGUAGAACAACUUUAAAAUGUCUUAUAAAUAUUUAAUUAAUGUUCAGUAAAAUAUUUUGGGAAAAUAUAAAAUUGCAUUUUAGACAAAAAAAAAAAAGCCACGAUUUUUAUACGGUUUUGAAAAUUUGAACAUUGAUAUUUUUACAUUAAGGGGAGGGUGAGUUUGGCUAAGCCACACAAAUGGCAACCUAAUUUGGUAUCAAAUUCGCCAUCCACGAGAUUCAAACCUAAGACCUCCUAUUUCCAAGUGGAGAGGAAUACCACCAGAUCGUAGUACUGAGUGGCAAAAAAUCAUCAAUAAAUCUACUUGUUUCACCUUCACCUUUCCUUGAUGUUUUAAAACUAAUGUAAGGCUUUACGUUAAUAUUCUUGAGUUCAAGGCCGAAUUUAUGCAAUGUUUUGGGCCUUACUACAACAGCAACACACAACAACAACCAAGCCUUGUGCCAUUAAGUGGGGUCUACUGUACACCACAAUGAUCGUGUUUGCACCAAAUCUUUCGCUAGCUAGAAAUACUGCAUAUAAUUUGCUAGUCUGUUUCCAAGUCUUCCUAACUUUUCCUCCACCCCUUUUGCCUUGAGCCUCUAUCUCAUAGUCGCCUAUUCUACCAUAGCAUUUGUAGAUAUUUGGUUCAUGUACCCAAACCAUCUCAACCAAUUUUCUUUCAUCUUAUCUUCAAUGGAGACCCCUCCCACUUUACCUGUCAUGCUCCGAUCCCGACAUUCUUCCAGGAUUGACAUGUGACGUCACCCAUAACAUGUAUAUAUAACAUACCCCGCCUCCCAGAUAUGUACAAGGCACAACUCAUAGUCCAACUGCGUAGUAGUUUUUCGUACACUUUAUGGCUGCAUCUAACCUCCUCGUUAGACUGCCUACGUACCUUAAACAGGGAUCAAGCCAUUCAUAGUUCGUCUUUCACUACACUCAAACAAUCAUCACGAGGAACAUUCGACAAAGCACAAUAAUAUUCUCUAGUCAUCUUGCCAUUCAUAUACACAUAUGCUUCCAAACACCAUUCAAUAAUCACAACAAUCAACAACACAUACAAUAAAUAGAAAUGCAGGGUUAGAGCCACAUAGUUUGGCCGAGGCCUACAUCUCUGAAGCUGAAAUCAAAUCCAGGUAACAAACAAGUCAAAUGAUGCAAUUUCGGACCACUCAACGAAAUCCAUUAACAUCGGGUUCAGAACCACUCUGCGAAAUCGCAGAGUAUAAGGGAUUCUGAACCUCUCAACGACAUAAUAGUGGAUACGAUCCUGAACCAUCAUUUAAUGGAAUCGUGGAUUAGAAGGGAUUUCAGACCAUCACUUAAUGGAAUUGAAAUGGAUAUGAUUCCGAACCAUCAUACAAUGGAAUUACGGAUUAGAAGGGAUUCCGAACCAUCACUCAACGGAAUCCAAGUGGAUACGAUUCCAGACCAUCACUCAAAGGAAUCAUGGGUUAGAAGGGAUUCUGGACCAUCACUCAAUGGAACCCCAGCGGAAACCCAGUUCCGGAUUACUCAAUGGAACUGAGCGGAAGUCCAAGGAAUAUAGCAAUGGCUUGAAGAAACAAUACAAGAACCAAUUACUCAAUUUGGAAGGGCUGAACAAAACAAAAGUGAAAUAAGGAAACAAGAUGGGAAACAAGUUCGGUGUCGAUCCAACGGUCAAAUCGUCAAUUCAUAUAAUAACCAAGUGGCGGCCGACUAGGCGGUCAACUAUGACACUAUAUUAAAAUAUCAAGAUUUCACUAAUGGAUGUCAUAUACGGAAUCAGGGUAUCAAAUUUAGCCUAGGAUGGUCAGGUGGGGUCUCGGCCCACACGCCGAUGCACGUGGUGGCCAGCCGCGCCCGACCCGCCGAAAAAUUCAACUAUUUCAAAAAAAAAUACUAAAUAUUAUAGGCAUGUAGAUCUCAAUGAGGGAAGUAAUUUUCAUAACUGAGCUAAAGUCCAAUUCCGAUGGAAAGUGCUCGGAAUUUCCCUCGAUCCACCGAAACACUAGAAUUUGGGUGUCCUCGAUUCGACCUCCAUAGUAGCUUCGAUGCCUCCUCCACUGCUUAGGAUUUGUUCCUAAGGUUGUGGGGAGCCUUAUGGUGGUGGUGCUUGACGAAGUUACCUUCGGAUAGGAUAGAUCGCCACCACGAACCUUGUCGCACCCAUUGUGCGGGUUUAACAAUUUUAAGGUCAAAUUCCAUUUAUUUUGGGGUGGAAUGGAUAGAGGGGAGGCCAUGGAGUGUUUCCCCAGGAGGUUGUUUGACCUGGUUCGCCCAAAAAACUGAUGAAAAGCCGUUAGAAAUGGCUACCUGAACUGGGUUGGGUCACGCAGGAAAAUGGGUCAAAGAGGGGAUCUGAUUCCCCCAUUCUUUCCUCCCUCCUUUCCCCUUCUUGCUCUCUUCCCCCAUUGGUCACUCCCCCUCCUUUUCUUUCCUGCAACCUCAACUUCCUCUCUCUUGCUGUCAUCUGGCAGCUUCUAAUUUUUUUAUUUUUUUCAGAAACUUCUAACGUUUCCUUUCUCGUCCCGAUUCACGAACAGCCUUCACCUAUGCGCUCGUGGGGUCGAGCUCAAUUAGAAAACAUUAAGCGUGACCUCCAAAGGUCUACAGAUUUUAAAUGAUUAUUUUCAAAAAUUCAAACUUUGUAAUUAAUAAUUAAAAUAUAAAAUUAAUUUAAAUUCACGAAAAUACUAUAAAAUCCUGCGAAUACAAAAUACGUAAAUUACAAUAGUGAAAUCUAAUAGCGGAAUUUCACAUUACCUUGGAUGUCCUCGUUGUUAAUCCAAUCAUUUUGACACCCCGACCCCAAUAACACAAGUUACGAGGUCGAGAUAUCUUGGCCGUCACUAAAUUGACCAUAUGGCCCCAUUGAGGGAUGACUUCACAAGCCAAAUUAAUAACGAAGCCAUAGUAAGAUGAGUGCGAGUAAGAUGAGUGCGAUAUUAGUGAAUUUGAAUUCAACACAUUCAUUAAUAAUAAAUCGAGGUUGCUGCAAAAUUUCCUAAUCAAUCUCCCUACUUGGGAAAUAUAUUCAGGGUUUAGAUCCCAUUAUUAUCACAUCAUCAGAGCUGUCACGCCCCGAUCCCGACAUACGUCCAAGAUCAAUACGUGACGUCCCUAAAUGCCCGUAACUCAACAUACCCCGCCUUUUGGAUAUGUACAAAUUAUAAUUCAAGAUCCAGAUGCAUAAUAAUUUUACGUAUACUUUAUGGCUGCAUCUAACAUCUUCGUUAGACUACCUACGUACUCUCAAUAGAAAUCAAGCCAUUCGUAGUUCCACUAUCGUCAACUCUAAUCUUUCCAUAAAAUACUUCUAACAAAAAAUCAUAAGCACCAUAUUACACAUCAACCUUACGUCAACAACAAUUAUCAUCUUUCAUACACGCAUGUAAUGUAACCCAUUCUCACACAGAUACUUUCCAAUUCAUCCAUCAUAUAGAUCACUCUGUUUCACAUAAUACCGCAAAUCAUAGUAUGUAACAUAUCAAAUAACCAACAAAGCACAAUGUUAUUCUCAAGUCACAUUAAUCAAUUACUCUAAUCAUAAUAAUCUCAAUCAUACCCAACGUCAUUCCACAAUCACUUCAAUUAAUUAAUCAUGAAUCAAAGAUACAUGAUCUUAGCAUUUAAUUGUUUAAUCAAUGAAUACAGUAACAUAUCAUUUCACAAAUUUAACCAAGGAACUCUAUCAACUCCGAAAGAGUUACCCAUACAUCCAACGGAUCAUUUGGAACAAAUCACAACAGCUCAUAAUCAUAAUCUCAUACAACACCAUGAAAAGUAAGGCUAGAGCGACAUAGUUCAGCCGAAGCCUACAUCUCUAAAGCUAUCUCGAUCCAAACUCAAUAAAACCCAAGGUGAACACAAUCCCGAACCAUCUCUCAACAGAAUCACGAAGUAUGAAGGAUUCCGAACCAGCUCUUAACGAAAUCCAAGUGGAUACGAUUUCGGACUAUCACUCAACGAAAUCGCGGAGCACACUGCAUAACCACCACUAAGUGAAACCCAAGUUAGAUAUGAUUCUGGAACAUCACUUAAUGGAAUUGUGGAGUAGAAGGGAUUCCAGACCAUCACUCAACGAAAUCGGGGAGUACAAGGGAUUCCGGACCAUCACAACGAAAUCCAAACCAGGAUACAAUUCAAGAUCACCACUCAACGGAAUCGCGGAGUAGAAUGUGUAACACCAAUCAAUAAAACAAGACAUGGAUCAAGUUACUCAAUGUACAAAGACUCAACGGAAUGAGGAUGAAUAAUGGCACGUGGGUUGAAACAUGUUUCGAAGGCAACCAACCCCAAAACAAUGGUUAAUGGUCCACUUUUAGCCCUCACAUUUCAUCACCUCAAUCCAAUCAUACAAUACAAACCAUAUUUCCAAUGCACAAGUCAAAUCAUACAUAAUGAAAAGAGAUCAAUGACCAAAAAUAAAAUAACACUUCAAUAGAAUUCACAUUUAAUUAACAUGGGUCUAUGGCAUAUAUAUAUAUAUAUAUAACAUGAGCCAAAGAAAUCAUUUUUCUGCAGCUUACGUAACAGCCCAUUUCCAAUUCAUAUAACAAAUCUCAAAAUACUUCCAGGUAGCCUAGAAGCAUGUAUACAACAUCCAAAACUAACAUGACUCAAAAUUAACAAGAAAUUGACCUUUUGAACCAAACCCUUGAUCAAGAAAUUUGAUCUACACACCCAAUCUGAAAUACCCAACUCUAAUUCAUGUUAGACUAGUUCAUUGAAUGAUAGAAACCCUAAAUAGAAUUAAGAACUCCAAUAUAUCAUGGCAGUUUCAAUUCAACUUAAGAAAGUUAAAUUUGAAAAUCAAGAUAAUGAAGUAACAAGGAAUUUUACCCUUUAAAUGUCUGAAUCCUUCCUUCACAAUCACGUUCUCUAUCUCCUCUCUCUCCGAUUUUUGCUUGAAGAAAGAAGGAUUUUCUUCCAACAGCAAUGGAAGAGCCACCUCCUCUCUGUUUCUUUUUCUUUCCUCGCAAAGCCAGGAAGAAUGUGGAAGAACGUUCUUUUCCCCCUUUUCUUUCGCAACUCCCUUUUUCCUUCUCUCCUCCCUCCCUGUUUCUUUUCCUUCUUCCCCCCGUUGGUCCCUCAUUUUCCUCCUCUGUUUCUUUUUUUUUUCCCCUCUUUUUCUCGCCAUUCUCGUGGCUUUCCUAUUUCUUGUCUCCUUCAGCCACUCCCGUGGCUUUUUCUUCUCAUUUUUUUUUUUGCAACAACUUCAAACGUCCGUAACUAUACUGUUAUAAUCCGAACUCGCAAACGGCUUUCGCCUAUGCGUUCAUGAUCUCGAUAUCUAUUCAACAAUAUAAAUUGUGACCUCGAAUGGUCUACGGAUUUUAAAUAAUUAAUUUCCCGAAAAAUAAUAUAAAAUCUCUAUAAUACCAAUACGUAGAUUAUAAUAAUGAAAUCCAGGAACGGGAUUUCACAAGAGCAGCUAGAAGUUUCAAGAAACACAUAAAAAUGUAGUGCUAUGCAUAAUCAAGAGUGCGAUCAUGCAAAAAUUACUGACAAAAUAAAUAUGCAAUAGAGGAAUCAUUACCCAAAAUCCAAAAAAUGAUACCUCACUGCCAAGUCCACUUGCCAUCACUGAGGUUCUCCUGAUUCUCGCUAUGUCCUAAGGGGUUGAUAAACAAAGUAUGAGUGGAUCAAGUUCUAUCUCGUCAAAAUCAAUCGAAUAACCUCCAUUUUGAAAUAUGCUAUUGUAAAAUUAUCAAAGAUACGGGCUUAGGGCCCACAUCCAACAAUAUCGAUAUAGUCCCAACUUGGUAAUUACUACCCUUACAAUCCGUCAGGUGUGAGGUUUUAUCACAAAAAGCCUUGGUGUUAGAUGGGGUGAGGAUAGGAUAUUUAAACUCCUCUGUACUUAGAGAUAUAGUUGAUGUGAGAUAUUUUAACACCUAUAUAUAUUUAUAUAGUAAAAACUACAUACAUAAUAAUACUACCAUAAUAGUGGUCACAAUCAAUUCAUCUCGCACGUCAUAUCAAAGAAAGUAAGUCAUUCAUAAAAUCAAAGUAAUAGAAUAUGAUUUUAUCAAUAUCGUAGAUGAUUCUUAUAAUCAAGUAUACACACGUUGGUGCGACUUCGAUUCCAAUGAUCUCUCCCUUUUAACAACUAACUAUAUUUAUUUCAUAAACGCUAUAAUUUGUAUUUAUGAAAAAAUGAUUUAAUCAUAUUAAUUCUGCAUAGUCCCGUCAAGUUGGAUAGUAAAUGUCAUAAAUAAGGCUUUUUAGUCAAAAUGAAGUCCUUGAGAUUUGCCUAACUCAUCACCUUGGUCCUUGAGAUUCAAAAUCAAUAGAAGUGGUCCUUGAGAUAGUCCACCACCAAUCAUUAUGGUCCUUCGGUGAAAAAUUGUGUUAAAUAAGAAUGAAAAUGAUAAAAUUACCCUCAAUGUAAUAAACAAUAGGCCAACAUGAUUUGACAAAAUUUGAGGGUAUUUUUGUCAUUUUAUCCUUAUUUUAUGGAGUUUUUUCACGGAAUAACGAAAAUGAUUGAUUGUGGACAAACUCAAGGAUUAAUUCUAUCGAUUUCAAAUCUCAGGGACCAAAACGAGGAGUUAUGCAAAUCUCAAGAACCAUUUUAACUAAAAAAUUAUUAUUCCUAAUAUCCUAAGAGUGUUGCUACUCCCACCCCGAUGUCUUAUUUCUCCACCCACUCUAAAUUAAAUAUUUUGUUUACAAAUUUAUCCUCUUGCAAAAUGGCUUUGAAGGACCUAAACAAAAAAGGAUUUUGACAAAGUAAGACCCAAAAAAAUUCAAUUUGAAUAUAUAUAAAAAAAAAGUUUAGAAAAAAAAUUCAAUUUGCUUGCUGUGAAUGUGAUGCUUAGUUCAAACCUGCUAUCCUAUUUAUAAGAAAUUAAGCACAAGCUAUCUCAAGUUAUGGACUUUAAUUAAUAUUAAUUUCGACAUAUCAGUUUCCCAUCCCUUUCACUGAUAUGAACAUGGCUGAUCUCAUUGGUGUGGCGCAAUAUUUGUUAAAUUAGCCGUUCGGGUUGAUUUCUUUGUAUAACUCUUCUGCCAAUUCUGCAACUUGUAGACUUAAUUCCCAUUACAAAAUUUUAAAAAAAAAAAUCCAAAAUUAAUGUAAGAUAAAUAAAGACUUUUUAUAUCAUAAAAUAAGACUUUCUAACUUGUAUACAAGACUAUAGUGACAAGAUCAAACACAUUGAUGGGUGCGUAUUUUCCAUCAACAUCUGUUUUGUGCGUUUAAAUUGAGCGUGGAGUCUUUUUUAGCAUUUAAAAGUUUUUUAUCAUGUAAUUGACUUGGUUUGAUAAGACCUACAUCUAGAUGACUUGGAUCUGAAGACUAAUGUAAAACCUGCUAUCCUAUUUAUAAGAAAUUAAGCACAAGCUAGCUCAAGUUAUGGUCUUUAAUUAAUAUUACUUUCGACAAAUUAGCUUCCCAUCCUUUCAUUGAUAUGAACUUGGCUGAUCUCAUUGGUGUGGCGAAAUAUUUGUUAAAUUAGCUGAUCGGGUUGAUUUCUUUGUAUAACUGUUCUGCCAAUUCUGCAACUUGUAGAUGUAAUUCCCAUUACAAAAUAAAAAAAAUAAAAUCCAAAACUCAUAUACGAUAAAUAAAGACUUUUUAUAUCUUAAAAUAAGACUUUCUAACUUGUAUCAAGACUAUAGUGACAGGAUCGAACACAUUAUGGGUGCGCAUUUUCCAUCAACAUCUGUUCUGUGCGUGUAAACUGAGCGUGGGGUCUUUUUUAGCAAUUAAAAGUUUUGUAUCAUGCAAUUGACUUGGUUUGAUAAGACCUACAUAUAGAUGACUUGGUUCUGAAGACUAAUGUAAAACCUUUUGUUGAUAUUUCUUGAGGGUGAAACAUUGUUUGAGAAACGUUUUGGCCCUCAUUACAAUUUUUUUCAUUUAUUUUUUAAGUUUCGGCUUAAAUAUUCCGCUAUAAAUACAUUUGUGGAUUUAAUAACAGGUAAAACCACUUCCAAAUAUCUUGUGAAGUUUUUCUUAAUGUCACCGAAAUUGUUUAAGGAAAAUGAAACAUUUGCAUUUUUUCACAAAAAUUGUGGUUUCUCAGUUUUGUAAAUUUGUAUAAAAUUCUUCAUUAAGUCCAUUGGUUUUCACAUUCGCCUUACCAUUGGGCUUCACUACAAUUUUAUUAUUUUAUUUAUUUUUUAGGUUGUGGCAGAAAUAUUCUAUUAAUUAAAUUUGUGGCUCAAUAAUUGGUAAAACUCUUUCCAAAUGCUUUAUAAAUAUAUUGUCCUAAUGCUAACGAAAAAUAUUUUGUGAAGAUUAAGGAUUUGGAUUUCUCACAAAAAAUGUGGUUGCUCACUAUUUUUCUUUAGUUUUGCAAAUUCGUACAUAAAUAAUCAUUGAAUAUAUUAGUUUCUUGAUAUUCUUGAGUAUAUACCCCGUUUAGGCAAUGUUGGACCUCACUAUUGUUUGUUUUUAUUAUUUUUUGGGUAUGGGUUUAAGUAUUCAUUAGAAAUACAUUUGUGGCUCAAUAAUUGGCAGACCACUUUUAGAUGCCCUAUAAAGAUUUUCUUAAUGCUCUAGAAAAAUAGAAAAUUUGCAUUUUUCACAUAGAAAAAUGUGGGCUAACAAUCACGAUUUUUAGGCGAUUUUGCAAAUUCGUACAAAAAUAUUAUCAAAUCUUAAGCCUUUAUAACUCUUGUUCUAAAUGAACUGUUUGUCAAUUGUACAAGAUUAUAAUUACAUGAUAAACACACUGAUGGGUGUGUAAUUUCCUGCAAUAUCUUCAAAGUGCGAUUAAAAUGAGCGAAUGUCGACUUUCAUAAAGUAGUAUGGGUAUAGGUCUUUUAAUAGUGCAAGCUUUUAUAACUCUUGUACUAACCAUUUGUACAUGUUUAUAAAUGGAUUAACAGACUAACAGUUUGGGUAUAAAUGAAGACUAAAUGAGGGACUUGAUUCUCAACUUGCACAGUACAUAGGUGUGAAGUCUUUUGGUAUAAUUAUAGACUUAAUGUCUAGUUCAUUAAGGUAUUGGUCUCUAAAAGAACUGGAUUUAGAGAACGAAAGUGCAAUCAAAUGAGAAAUAUAUUAGUCUUUCACAAAGCACAUGGCAGCAGAUGUGGAGUCGUUUUUAUUUAUUUAUUUAUUUAAACAAACGAUUGUAUCUACACUAAGGGGUAGAAGAGUGGGCUAAAUCUUAGAAUGGGCUUACAAUAAUAAAGUGGUUUAACUUCACCUUUGCCGAUAAUCGAAUCUAAAACAUUUCACUUACAAAUGAAGAGGUAUACCACUAGACCGUAGUACUAAGUAGCAUGCCAGCAUACGGCUAUAGGCGUGGAGUCUUUGUUAGCAAUUAAAAGUUUUGUAACAAGUAAUUGACUUGGUGUCAUAAGGCCUACAUCUAGAUGACUCGGUUUUUAAAACUAAUGUAAGAGUUUCUGUUGAUAUUUCUUGAGGGUGAAACACCGUCUGAGAAACAUUUUGGGCCUCAUUACAAUUUUUUUUUCACUUAUUUUUUAGGUUUCGGCUUAAAUAUUCUACUAUAAAUACAUAUGUGGCUCAACAAUUGGUAAAACCACUUCCAAAUGUCUUGUAAAGAUUUUUUUAAUGUCACGAAAAAUAUUUUAUGAGAGUUAACACUCAUUGUAUUUUGUUGGUUUUGCAAAUUCUGAUGAAAAUCAUCAUUUAGUCCAUUUGUUUUCACAUUCGCCAUACUGUAAGGUACUUAAAAUUAAUGAAUAACUUUUCCACGUUAAGGCAAAGAUUUGCGCCUCACUACAAAUUUUUUUUUCAUUUAGAAUUUUUAGGUUUCGAGUUAAAUAUACCAUUAAAACUAAAUUUGUGGCUCAAUAAAUUGUAGAAACCUUUCCAAAUGCAUUACAAAUAUUCUCUUAAUGCUAACUGAAAAUAUUUUGGGUGUUGCAGUCCUAUUAGAUUAGGAAUACGAUUGUGUAAAUCCUAGUAUAUCUUGGAAUAUCUCUUAUAUACCUAUUAGGAGUAGAUUACCUAUUAAAUGUUGUAAUCCUAAAGGGUAAGGAAUUAACCUUCUUACUAUUAUAAAUAAAGGCACAAUGAGGUGAAAUAACACACACCCAUAAUUACACAUCUCUCUCUUCUUCUUCUCUAUUGCCGUACCUUUCUCUCUCUCUAUGGCCUCCAUAAUUGUUCAGCAAAUUAUACCUACAACACGUUAUCAGCACGCUUUGACGCUGCUCUAAAGAGAGUUUAUUCUUAAAUCAGGAGAGUAUUGCGUUUUAAUCAUUCUUUUUGUGAUUAAUUUAUUAUUUUAUUGAAUUGAUCUACAUGCUAUUGAUUCAUCUUUCUUUGUUGAACGUGAUACAAUGCAUUAGAGAUGCAAUUCCAGCUUUCCAAGAAUGAACUUCUACAAAUUCAAAGGCUUUUAUUGUUUUCUGCCAAUCAGAUAAGCUUAAAAUGAAGGAAGAUAUUUGAAAUGACCUUGAAGCAUGAAAACAUUCCCCAUGACGCAUGAACCCCCUAUGUUUAUAUUUUGCUUCCGAUCUAUAUAUUGUAUAUGUUCAUAUAUUUGUCAAUAUAUAUAUAUAUGUAUAUAUAUAUAUUUGUUACAUGCUUAUGCAAUUAAAUUGCUAUGUGGAAUUGUGAGUCAAAGCAUAUAAAUAAAUUAGAAGCAUAUUAGGGUUUUUCAAACCCUACAUAUCGAAAAAAAUUCUUUAGGAAAAACACUAAGCCAAUGUACCAAGCCAGCAGCUUGUCAGCGUCACCAAUGACUUCAAUCUGACAUCUAUCUAACAUUAGCAGCCUCUGUUUGUGCUUGAGAACCAAGCCUGGACCUGGGUUUCCUUCUGAUGGCCUAUAACUCUUGGCCCACCAACUAGCAUGCUUAUACUUGCGGGGCUAGUUCUGCAUCGAAGCUAAAGCCUAAACGUGUUGGGCUUCAUCGUGAAACCCCAACAGCGCAAAGCUACAGGGCUCUUUCUAACACAGCUCGUGUCCCAAAAAUUACAAGCCUGUAGCUUGCUUUGCAAGAUGGGCUGCACAUCUGCUUUUCCUCUGCCCACUAUCAACCAAAAUGUGUUGCUUUCUCUCAGCCUGCUGCCACAUGCACCUAUGACCCAAGCUAAAAAAGCCUGUAAUUUUUGCAGGACCGUGUAUUGUAGCCAACCAAAGUGUGUUGGGCUGCAUUCGUUUUUCGACCCAAUGCUAAUUUUUGGCAUUCUAAAUAAUUUUAACCCGAAUGUUAUAAUUAUUUUUGCUUCUACAAUUGACCCCGAAUGGUCUUGAUAUAUUGAAUUAAUUAAAAGUGACAUGCAGUCCAUUAAUCUGAUAAUUAAUCCAAAAUUAUUGGACUAAAUCCCACUUUUGGACAUUAACGAUUCAAUAAUUUAUUUCUUUUCUUUGAACCGUUGACUCACUUUCGUAGUCCCGAAGCACUCACACUUGAGUUCCCGAAAAAACUCAAAUCCACUACACGUAGUUGUAUAUUGCAUUUUGUGUUUCUUGCAGGAACCUCUCUUUUAUGAACUAAAUGUUCAUAAACUUAAUUGAACCUGUACUUUCAAAAUUAGUGCCUUUGAAACCCGAAGUUUUCAUAAAACAAUACACCCAUGAAAACUUGAUCUUUUUCAUGAAAACUAUGUCUUAGAACUCGAAUGUUCUCACUUUGAUGCUUAUGGAUGAUUAUUUCCCAUAGUAACAAUCACACUUGUUCCCUCCAAUUCAGUGGAUUGUCGAACCGUCACAAGUUUGAUUUUCCUGAUUUGGACGUUUCUAAUAAAAACCACUUUAUGUGAGGUAUAAGACGUGAAUCUUCACUUGACUAUCAAGAAGCUGAGAAACCAUUAAAGCCAACAAUGGCAUGGAAGAGCUGAAUAAGCCUCCACCAUGAUCUUCAUUCGAAGACUUAUGCUCAAAGCAUUACAAAUGGAAAUACCUCCCGAUCAAGGAUUCCAUUGCUUUUUGGCUCGUUUCUACGGACUGUCUAAUCAUGAAAGACAUUGCCUAAAGCACACCAUGACUACGUCCAUGAAUGAGUACAAUUCUGAAGUUUAUAAAUCUGAUUGAAUUUUGACUGGAGAAUACUUUUCUCAUCCUUUCUUGUUUCUAACUCGCCUAUGAAGUAGCAGUGUAAAUAGCGGAAGUUUACCAAAUUCUCGGAUUUGAUUACUACCACAAAUGUGAGAGAAAUGUAUGGACCCAAUUCGGCUGGAGUCUACCGAAUAGCUCAACCCAGUUCGAUCAAAGCCUACCGAAUGGUGAUCCACUGCUUCGGCAGGGAUACACCGAAUGGCAUAUUCUCUCACAAUCCAAUUUCGAGUUUGUUUUUACAACAUAUGGUAGAAUCAGGGCUGGCCAAGGUGUGGCAUCAUGCCCGAAGCAUGAUCCUUGGUACCUAAGACCUAAAACUUCAAGAACAAGGGAAAAUAUUCCUGAACCUUAACCCUGCAGAAUCUAUUUCAGUCUCGAUGGAAUAGACCAUUGGUUAUGCACAUGUUCGUGCCCCUACCAAUGUUGUUAAGGAGUACCAUUCUAGUAGUCAAUACGUGAGACUAAUUUUGCUCCACCAAACACCAUUGGAAGAGCAGAAUUUUGACAUGGAUAGCCUUGUUGGCUGAAUCCCCUUAGUAAACCAUUGAAUUUGCGAACAUUUUUCCAUGUUCUUGGAUUCAUGUUUAGUGUAUGUUUUGCUUAUGGAUAAUCUUAUUGAUGUUGUCCUCGAAUAUGAGUUAAUUGAAUCAUGUUUCUUAAUACAUGUGACCGAUUCAAUUAAACAUGUGAUUGGUAGGAAUGUGGGAAAGUUAGUUGUCUGGAUGAAUACGUACUACGCACACUAACCAUUCAGGUCUAUCCAACUUGAUUAAGAGCAUUUGGCACACUCCUUGUUGUAUGAAUGGUACUGAAUCACCAUUUAGGGGACCUUAAAUUCUCCCUGACGUUUAGUUUUUAAGCAUAUUCAAGUUGACAAUGAUCAUAAAUGAAACCACUGAAGCAAUAAGAGUGAAAUAUCUUUGCAACACCUCCAAACAUGAGCUUUAAGCUUUGAUUUGGGGCCAAUAAGUAGUCUCCCAAUUGGGAACACACCACAUGUGGACGGCUUAGAGCUGGGUGAUUGAGCAGUUUAAUUGUUUUGGCACGACCUUUUAGGACACUUAGGUCGAACAAUGAUGCUACGACGCAUCUCCUUAUCUGAAGUAAGGAUCUUAUGCCUACAAGCACACUUUGCGAAGCCUACUCAUUAGGGAAAUUGAUGUUUUUUAUAUUAUUCCUUGCAAAGAUACGAAAUCACCCUUUUUCAUAAGUGGAUUCAAGGGAAUAUAUGUGGACUAAUCCAACCAAAAUGAAGACCAUAUAAAUACUUAUGAUUUUGGUUGAUGAAUCGACAAACUGGUCACAUGUUUGUCCAUAAACAUUGCUGCUAAACCUCUUGGCCGAUUAAGGGCUCACCACCCUACUUAUUAUCCCUUAAGGUUUGAGAGACUGGAUAAUGCCGAAGAGUUUAUAUCAAUGGUUUUCGAUAAAGUAUUGCAUGUCGUUUUGGGUUUAUAAUUGAAUAUUGAAUUCCCAUGUUCAUCCCAAAUAGCCUCGCCUAGCGAUCAUAAAGCGCAAUUUGAAUGAUUGCCCGAAUUUUGGUACACAUACCAAGUCUUUAGUUUCUGCCUAGGGCUAUGUAAUCUUGUACGCAAUUAUUUUGGUCUGCCUUGAGGCCCAUUGCCACCCAACCUAUAUGACGUUAUAGUUGGUUACUGGGUACGAACCUGACUAUUUUCGUAUUAACGCAUUUGGGUAUGCAUUCUCUGUGCUAAGUUGCGCCGCCGUAACAUACCACCAUAUGUCGUCAAAGAAGGAUGUGUAUCUUUUGUCGAUCAUGAUUCUCCUACACACUAGCUCUCUUCGAGCCCUUGCACACGAUCUCUUUACCGCUCAUUUACGGGUUGUCACUUUAAUGAGACAAUCUUCCCACCAUUAGGGGGAGAUAAGAACGUCAACGUUCCUGGAAAACAACACGAAUUUACGUGGACGUUACCCACUAUGUCUCAUCUCGAUCCCCAUACCACACAAGUGUGAUAAGCAAGUGCGAUGAAUUCUAGCUUUCAGAAUGUUACUCCAGACGUAUUCUCCUGAUCUAACUAAAGUGACAUACCAGCUGUAAACAUGUCUGCAAGGAUAGACAUACUUAACGGACGUCGAGUCAACAUCCCUGGAAGGUGUACCGCCCUUGUUGGACGGUUUGGAUGCCCAUGUUGGAUGGUCCAGUACAUCGGCAGAUAGCCAAUCAAUCUGUCUUGGCCUGGAGCACAAUAGAUCACUCGGUUCGUAGGAUUCACUUCCCUGGAAGAGGAAGACAAGGCACAACAAUGAAUCUAAACUCGAUCAUUAUCUUAAAUAAUUUCCAUCUCAUGAGAUUAAUUCAGAUUUCUCCCGAGACUUAAAGUUCUUGGUCCAGUAUACUAGUUGGGAUGAGCUAAAUGGAAUUGAAAUGAGAUUAUCAUCGAUGAUGCUUUCACUUAUAUGGUAGCUACAGACAUAAAUGAAAAGCGACAAUAUCAAACUGUGUUCCGUUGAUUAAAUGUAGAACUGAGCGGACAACUAAAGUUACAAUCCAAGUCAAAUUCCUUACCAAAGUGUGUAUUGGACAUGUCGUUCCUACACUGCCCAAGGUAAUCCUGUUGUGUUAUAAGUGGGAAAGGAAGCGUUAUGAGAUGAAUGAAAUAGUGCAAUAUGAUGCACGCCUUACGACGCAAGGUUUCUCUCAAACAUCAUGUGAUUAAUAACAGCAUUAUGAAAUGUGGUUAGUGUUUUCUCCAUGGGGAUAUAGAUACAAAGAAUUACGUGUAAGUUCUUGAAGAAUUACAUGGACUGUUUCAAAUGGUUCCAAAACCACAAAACACCCUCUUAACUCGUUUUGAGGCGUUCACUUAUGGAUUGAAAAAUCUGACGGAUGUGGUAUACCCGUCUAAAUGAUUAUUUGAUUAGUCAGGGAUGAAUUAUGCCCUUGCGUGUUAAACUAUGAAGCCUUUUUCCAAAUUGUUAGAGUUACAGUUUAUGUCGUUGACAUGAAUCUCACUAAGACUCCGAAAGAGCUUGAGAAAACUGCUUUGCACCUAAAGAUGGAAUUUGAGAUGAAGGAUCUUGGAAAAACUCGUUAUACCUUAACCCAAAGUUGAAGCAUUGUUCUGACGGUAUUUUUGGUCUACUGGUCAAACUACACUUCGAAUGUGUUACCUUUGAGUAUACCUAUGAUCGUCCAUAAGUUAUAUGAAAAUGAAACCCUUGAAAAGGUUAUGGAAUUAGAAAUUCCAUAUCUAAGUUCAACGUUGUGCUUCGUUGUACUUAGCUCAUUGUAUUUAGACAUGACAUCUCAUUCGUUGUUGAUCUUGGUAAAGAUGCAGCAUCGUGCCUACACGCAACCACUGAAUUGGUAUUAAAGACAUACCCUGAAGGUACCACAUGGGCAAAUCCCAUUGCAUCUUAGCCGAUCUAACCCCUCUGAUCCUUGAAAUGAUGUUUGCUUUGUUUGUUAUGCUGACGCAUGUUACUUAUCAAACUCACUCAAGGCAAAAUCCCCAAAUGGUUAUGUCUUUACCGUUAGGGAUAUCGCAAUAUCUUGGAGGUCCAUGAUAUGACCUUAGUUGUGAAAUCUUCGAAUCGUUCCAAGACUCACCUUACUUCACUGUGUCACAAGUGAGACAUGGUUAGGAGUUCUUGUUGAGCAUAUUCGAAGUACUUGCUAUGUUUUCAUCCAUCGUUGAGUCCUAACGACGAUCCAUGAAGAUUAUGCCGCAUGUAUCAACCCGACCAAGCCAUGAUACAUCAACGAAGUCAACACCAAGACAUAUUGCGUCCACAUCUACAUCAGCAAAGCGUCAGGAGAUUGAAAUCGUGCAAGCCGAUCCCAGACAACUUGUCGACCUCUACACGACGUCACUGCCGAAGUCAACCUUCCAGAAGCUUGUCCAAGGAAUUGGUAUACCUAACUAUUCAUAUGCAAUGCUUGUAGUUCUCAUUUGGAAGUUAUGUCAAACUCCAAGGGAGUAUCCAAAAGUAUACUCAAUCUUAAUGUACUCUUUUUCCCUACGAUUAAGAGCAUUUUUCCCACUGGGUUUUUGCUACCUAACUAGGUUUUAACGAGGCACCCAUCUGGGCUGAUCAUACCCUUGAGAGCUCUUCUACUUGCUUCCAAAUGACGUAUAGUUUUAACUUAAUGCAACUUCUCACUUUUCUCCUUAGUCUGUGGGUUUUUCUCCCACCUUGGGUUUUACCAUAGUGAGGUUUUGUGAGUUUUACUUGUUAUGCAUUCUUCAGUUGUUUUGAGACUCGCAUUCGCUCAUUGUGCCGACGACUUCAUCAAUUGUACUUGCUUCAUCAUUGAUGACCUAUUGCACCAUUUACUUGAGUAUUUACACACUCAAGGGAGAGUGUUGCAAUCCUAUUAUAUCUUGGAAUAUCUCUUAUAUUCCUAUUAGGAGUAGAUUGCCUAUUAAAUGUUGUAAUCCUAAAGGGUAAGGAAUUAACCUUCCUACUACUAUAAAUAAAGGCACAUCUCUCUCUUCUUCUUCUCUAUUGUCGCACCUUUUUUCUGUCUCUAUGGCCUCCAUAAUUGUUCAGUAAAUUAUACCUACAACAUUGGGAAGAUAAAAGAUCUGCAUUUCUCACAAAAACGUGGUUGCUCACUGUUUUUAGUCAGUUUUGCAAAUUCAUAUAAAAAUCUUCAUUAAAUCUAUUAGUUUUCACCUUUGCCUCACAAUGAUGUUUCUAAAAGUAAUGUAAGACUUUUUGUUGAUAUUCAAGAAUAUAGACCUUGUUUAGGCAAUGUUCGGCCUCACUGCUAUUUUUUUACUUACUUUUUGGGUUUUGGUUUAAAUAUUCGAUUAGAAAUACAUUAGUGACUCAAAAAUUAGUAGAACCACUUUCAGAUGCCCUAUAAAGAUUUUCUUAAUGCUCACAAAAAAAAAUAGAAAAUUUGCAAACACAAAAAACGUGGGUCAUGAUUUUAGGUGAUUUUGCAAAUUCAUACAAGAAUCAUUAUUAAAUAUUUUUGUUUCAACCUUAUCCUCACCAUGAUGCUUUUAAAAUUAGUGCAAUAAUUUCGGUUAAUAUUUCUUGAGAGUGAAACCCCAUUUCAGCAAUGUUUUAUGCACAACUAAUAUGUUUUCAGUUAAUUUUUGGGUUUCAGCUUAAAUAAUAUAUGAGAAAUGCAUUUGUGGCUCUAUAAUUGGUAGAACAACUUUCAAAUGCCUUAUAAAUAUUUAAUUAAUGUUCAGUAGAAUAUUUUUUGAAAAUAAAAAAUUGCAUUUUAGACAAGAAAAAAAGUCACGAUUUUUAGACGGUUUUGAAAAGUUGUAUAAUUUUUUUAAUACAUCUAUAUUUUUACGCUAAGGGGAGGGGGAGUUUGGCUAAGCCACACAAAUGGCAGUCUAAUUCGGUCAAAUUCGCCAUCCACGAGAUGUGAACCUAGGACCUCCCACUUCCAAGUGGAGAGGAAUACCACAAGAUCGUAGUACUGAGUGGCAAAAAAUCAUCAAUAAAUCUAAUUGUUUUCACCUUCGCCUUUCCAUGAUGUUUUAAAACUAAUGUAAGGCUUUACAUUAAUAUUCUUGAGUACAAGCCCCAAUUUAUGCAAUGUUUUAGGCCUUACUACGACAGCAACACACAACAACAACCAAGCCUUAUGCCAUUAAGUGGGGUCUACUAUACACCACUAUGAUCGGGUUUGCACCAAAACUUUCGUUAGCUACAAAUACUUCAUAUCAUUUCCUAGUUUUUUUUCCAAGUCUUCCUAACUUUUCCGCCACCCCUUUUGCCUUGAGCCUCUAUCUCAUAGUCGCCUAUUCUACCAUAGCAUUUGUAGAUACUCGGUUCAUGUACCCAAACCAUCUUAACCAAUUUUCUUUCAUCUUAUCUUCAAUGGAGACCACUUCUACUUUACUUGUCAUGCCCCGAUCCCGACAUUCGUCAAGGAUCGGCGCGUGACAUCACCCAUUACAUGUAUAUAUAACAUACCCCGCCUCCGAGAUAUGUACAAAGCACAACUCACAGUCCAACUGCAUAGUAAUUUUUCGUACGCUUUAUGGCUACAUCUAACCUCCUCGUUAGACUGCCUACGUACCUUAAACAGGAAUCAAGCUAUUCGUAGUUCGUCUUUCACUACACUCAAACAAUCAUCACGUAAAUCACUAUGUCGCAACAUAAUACCACAAUUCAGGUAUGCAACAUCUCAAGGAAUAUUCGACGAAGCACAAUAAUAUUCUCUAGUCAUCUUGCCAUUCACACACAUAUGUUUCCAAACACCAUUCAAUAAUCACAGCAAUCAAUAGCAUACACAAUACAUCGAAAUGCAGGGUUAGAGCCACAUAGUUUGGUCGAAGCCUACAUCUCUAAAGCUGAAAUCAAAUCCAAGUAACAAACAAGUCAAAUGAUGCGAUUUCGGAUCACUCAAUGAACUCGCAUAGUAGAAGGGAUUCCAAACCUCUCAAUGGAAUUCGAGUGGAUACGAUCCCGGACCAUCACUUAACAGAAUCGUUGAUUAGAAGGGAUUUUAGACCAUCAUUUAAUGGAAUCCAAGUGGAUACGAUUCCAGACCAUCACUUGACAGAAUUGCAAAUUAAAAGGAAUUCCGAACCAUCACUCAACGGAAUCCAAGUGGAUAUGAUUCCAGGCCAUCGCUUAAUGGAAUCGCAGGUUAGAAAGGAUUCCGGGCCAUCACUCAAUGGAACCCUAGCGGAAACCCAGUUUCGGAUUAUUCAACGGAAUCGAGCGAAAGUCCAAGGAAUAUAACAACGGCUUGAAGAACAAUACAAGAACUAAGUACUUAAUAUAGAAGGUUGAACGAAAUGAAAGUGAAAUAAGGAAACAAGAUGGGAAACAAGUUUUGUGUCGAUCCAACAGUCGGAUCAUCAAUUCAUAUAAUAACCAAGUGGCGGCCGACUAGACGGUCAACUAUAAAACUAUAUUAAAAUAUUGGGAUUUCAUUAAACGGAUGUCAUAGAUGGAAUCAGGGUAUCAAAAUUAGCCUAGGAUGGUCAGGUGGGGUCUCGUCCCACCCGCCGAUGCACGCGGUGGCCAAUCGCGCUCGACAUGCCGAAAAAUUCAACUGUUUCAAAAAAAUUACCAAAUUUUACAGGCAUGUAUAUCUCAAUGAGCGGAGUAAUUUUCAUACAUGAGUUGAAGUCCAAUUCAGAUUGAAAGUGCUCUGAAUUUCCCUCGAUCCAUCGAAACCCUAGAAUUUGGGUGUCCUCGAUUCGACCUCCAUAGUAGCUCCAAUGCCUCCUCCACAGCUUGGGAUUUGUUCCUAAGGUUGAGGGGAGCCUUAUGAUGGUGGUGGUUAACAAAGUUACCUUCGAAUUUGAUAGAUCGCCACUACGAACCCUGUUGCACCCACCAUGCGGGUUUCACAAUUUCAAGGCCAAAAUCCAUUUAUUUUGGGGUGGAAUGGGUAGAGGGGGGGCCAACGAGUGUUUCCCUAGGAGGUUGUUUAACGUGGUUCGCCGAAAAAACCGACGGAAAACCAUUAGAAAUGGCUACCCGAACUGGGUCGGGUCACACACGAAAAUGGGGGAUCUGAUUCCCUCAUUCUCUCCUCACUCCUUUCCCCUUCUUGAUCUCCUCCCCCAUUGGUCACUCCCCCCUCCUUUUCAGAAACUUCUAACGUCCAUAACGUCUCCUUUCUCGUCCCAAUUCAUGAACAGCCUUCGCCUAUCCGCUCGUGGGGUCGACCUCAAUUAGAAAACAUUAAGAGUGAUCCAAAAGUCUACGGAUUUUAAAGGAUUAUUUUCAAAAAUUAAAACUUUGUAAUUAAGUAAUUAAAAUAUAAAAUUAAUUUAAAUUCGCAAAAAUACUAUAAAAUCCUGCGAAUACAAAAUACGUAAAUUACAAUAGUGAAAUUCCAAAUGUCACAUUACCUCGGAUGUCCUCGUUGUUAAUCCAAUCAUUUUGACACCCCAACCCCAAUAACACAAGUUACGAGGUCGAGAUAUCUUGGCCGUCACUAAAUUGACCAUAUGGCCCCAUUGAGGGAUGACUUCACAAGCCAACUUAAUAACGAAGCCAUAGUAAGAUAAUUACGAUGUGAGUGAAUUUGAAUCAAAACAUUCAUUAAAAAUAAAUCAAAAGUUGCUACAAAUUUUCCUAAUCAACCUUCCCACUUGGGAACAUAUAUUUAGGGUUUAGAUCCCAUUAUUACAUCACAUCAGAGCAGCUAGAAGUUUUAUACAACAGUAAAUACAUAAAAGUGUAGUGCUAUGCAUAAUCAAGAGUGUGAUCAUGCAAAUAUUACUGACAAAAUAAAUAUACAGUAGAGGAAUCAUCACCUAAAAUCCAAAGGAUGAUACCUCAUUGCCAAGCCCACUUGCCACCACUGAGGUUCUCAAUUCUUGCUAUGUCCUGAGGAGUCAAUAAACAAAGUAUGAGUGGAUCAAGUUCUAUCUCAUCAAAAUAAAUCGAAUAACCUCCGUUUUGAAAUCACCUAUUGUAGAAUUAUCAAAAAGACGGGCUUAGGGCCCACAUCCAACAAUAUUGAUAUAGUCCCAACUUGGUAAUUACUACCCGCACAAUCCGUCAGGUGUGAGGUUUUAUUACAAAAUGCCUCUCGGUGUUAGAUAGAGUGAAGAUAGGAUAUUUAAACUCUUCUGUACUUAGAGAUAUGGUUGAUGUGGGAUAUUUCAAUACCUAUAUAUAUAUAUAUAUAUAUAGUAAAAACUACAUACAUAAUAAUACUACCAUAAUAGUUGUCACAAUCAAUUCAUCUCGCACGUCAUAUCAAAGAAAGUAAGUCAUUCAUAAAAUCAAAGUAAUAGAAUAUGAUUUUAUCAAUAUCGUAGAUGAUUCUUAUAAUCAUGUAUACGCACGUUGGUGCGACUUCGAUUCCAAUGAUCUCUCUACUAAAUAUAUUUAUUUCAUAAACGCUAUAAUUUGUAUAUAUAAUAAAUGAUUUGAUCAUAUUAAUUCUGCAUAGUCCCCUCAAGUUGGAUAGUAAAUGUCAUAAUUAAGGCUUUUUAGUCAAAAUGGAGUCCUUGAGAUUUGCCUAACUCAUCACCUUGGUCCCUGAGAUUCAAAAUCAAUAGAAGUGAUCCAUGAGAUAGUCCACCAUCAAUCAUUUUGGUCCUUCAGUGAAAAAUUGUGUUAAAUAAGAAUUAAAAUGACAAAAUUACCCUCAAUGUAAUAAACAAUAGGCCAACAUGAUUUGACAAAAUUGAGGGUAUUUUUAAUAUUUUAUCCUUAUUUUAUGGAGAUUUUUCACUGAAUGAUGAAAAUGAUUGAUUGUGGACAAACUCAAGUACCAAUUCUAUCAAUUUCAAAUCUCAAGGACCAAAGCAAGGAGUUAUGCAAAUCUCAAUAACCAUUUUAACUAAAAAAUUAUUAUUCCUAAUUUCCUAAAGCCCUUGGGAAGGUAUCUGCCAAUUGUACCCGAGAAGAAGUGCAGCAAGGAAAAAUUUAUAAAGACAAUGGAUACAUGCCACUUCGCUGCAAAAAACGAUACUUAAAGGACAAUUUUCCCGAGUUUUUCACCGCCGUUUUUACCGUUUGCUGCAAAAAACAAAUACUCUCCCCUUGCGAGCUCCGUCGUCAAUUCCCUUCACGAACUUUGAGUCCCUCUGAAAAAAUGAUUACCUGAAAUUUGAAUUUUUCAAACUUUGUGUCUGGUUAUAUCUAACGAUCCCUAAUUCUAAAUUUAUGGUUUAGAUAUAUAAAAAAGAUAUCUCGGGUACUUCAUUGCUAUCCAUUAAGCUCCCCACUUUCAAGCAAAGCAAAAAAUUCUAAUUGAGUUGAGUUUUGAACAUGCUGAUUAGUUAGACAACUGAAUUACUAAUCUUUAUUAUUAUUGCAACAAACACACGGAUUACACUAAAAGCUAGUGAAUCAUACACUUGCAGAUGACUUAUCCAAACACAAAGAUAAGACAUGAUUUUAUUAUUAUUGCUAUAAACACACGGAUUACAGCGAAAUUCAAAAACUAAAAACAAGGAAAAAAGUAGUGAUGAAAACCAAUGCCACUUCCGGGAACACGAUUGCAUUCGCACAUGCAACAAGCCUUUUAAACCCAUAGGUGACCCAAAUGGGACGAGUGAAGUCUCGUGAGGGUUUCCAGAGACGUUACCCACAAACAUCAUGCAUACGGAUCAUCAACAUCUGACUUGGGAGACUGAGUAGAUAUCCACCCCUCCAGCAUCAGGUUGUUUUGGUUGAGGCGUAAUUCGAAUCUGUUUUCAAUGAACGGCCUGGUUAUGAGAUCGCUUUGCAAGUGACGUAAUCGGCAGCGCGUGAUUAGGUUGUUGCUGUCAGGUGGUCCGACAGGCUCGACCUUGAACAAUGUGCAAGCCCAAUUGUCUUUGGUUUCAUUUCGGUCAGCAGCUGCGGCCAGGACCAAUAGCCUGUUUUGGUCCACCCUUCUCAAGUAGUUGCCAUUGUAGGAGCAUUUGAUAUGCACGUAAUUCUUGUCGGCGUAGUCCUCAUUGUUUGGCUUCUCGGUGGUGAACUUUAUGAACCUGCUGUUUUCAUUGUCCUCGGAAAACUGGACAAUCUCAUUAAGGUCGCUUUCUGCAUCAAGUUGAUAGCGCAAAUACUUGUUGUUGAUAUCUGCUUUCAGCAGAAAAGGGCUUGGUAGUACAGGUGGUGGAGCCAUAUCGUAUAGUGUAGUUGGGAUUGGGAUGCUCUCUCUUUUUUAUUCUCUGUUGAUGAUCUAAUUUGCUUGCUGUGAAUGUGAUGCUUAGUUUAAACCUGCUAUCCUAUUUAUAAGAAAUUAAGCACAAGCUAGCUCAAGUUAUGGUCUUUAAUUAAUAUUAAUUUCGACAAAUCAGUUUCCCAUCUCUUUCAUUGAUAUGAACAUGGCUGAUCUCAUUGAUGUGGCGCAAUAUUUGUUAAAUUAGCCGUUCGGGUUGAUUUCUUUGUACAACUCAUCUGCCAAUUCUACAACUUGUAGACCUAAUUCCCAGUACAAAAUUAAAAAAAAAUUAAAAUCCAAAACUAAUAUAAGAUAAAUAAAGACUUUUUAUAUCAUAAAAUAAGACUUUCUAACUUGUAUACAAGACAAUAGUGACAAGAUCAAACACAUUGAUGGGUGCGCAUUUUCCAUCAACAUCUGUUCUGUGUGUUUAAACUGACCGUGGAGUCUUUUUAGCAAUUAAAAGUUUUGUAUCAUGUAAUUGUCUUGGUUUGAUAAGACCUACAUCUAGAUGAGAUGCUUCUGAAGACUAAUGUAAAACUUUAUGUUGAUAUUUCUUGAGGGUGAAACAUCGUUUGAGAAACGUGUUGGGCCUCAUUACAAUUUUUUCAUUUAGUUUUUAACUUUUGGUUUAAAUAUUCUACUAUGAAUAAAUUUGUGGCUUUAAUAACUAGUAAAACCACUUUCAAAUAUCUUAGUAUCGGCUUUCAGAACAAAGGGGUUUGGUAGUACAGGUGGAGCCAUAUUGUAUAGUGUAGCUGGGAUUGGGAUGAUCUCUCUCUCUUUUUUGUUUUUUUUUUCCCUUUAAUUUGCUUGCUUUGAAUGUGAUGCUCAGUUCAAACCUACUAUCCUAUUUCUAAGAAAUUAAGCACAAGCUAUCUCAAGUUAUGGACUUUAAUUAAUAUUAAUUUCCUCAAUCAGUUUCCCAUAUCUUUCAUUGAUACGAACAUGGCUGAUCUCAUUGGUGUGACGCAAGAUUUGUUAAAAUAGCGAUCGGAUUGAUUUUUCUUUGUAUAACUCUUCUGCCAAUUCUGAACUUGUACAUAUAAUUCCCAUUAUAAAAUAAAUAAAUAAAAUUCAAAACUCAUAUAAAAUAAAUAGAGACUUUUUAUAGCAUAUAAAAUAAGACUUUGUAACUUGUACAUAGUUAUUGAUAACAUUCAUCUAAGAACUAACAGAUGAAUGUAUGCAAGCAAUAUUGAAGAAAUACAGAGAGAAAGAUCGAAAGGAAUAGAGAGAGAAAUAGAGAAAGAAAUGAGUGAAAGCUUUGUUAUUUCAUAAGAACAAAAGAUCAUCACAAAAGAACCCUGAUUCCUUCUUAUAUAGUCUGCCCAUGUAGCUUAUCAGCUAAGCCACCUGUGUAACUAAUUCUUAACAAACUAACUAACUCCAAUAGCUGAUAUGGCACUUAUGAUGAUGUGUCAAUCACUAUAUAUCUUCAACAUCCCCCCGCAAUCUCAACUGGGAUUUUCUAGCUUGAGAUUGUAAAAAUGUUAGACAAAUGAAGGACUGUGAAGACCUUUGGUAAGAACAUCGGCAGUUUGCUCCUCAGUUGGGAUAUACAACACCUCCAAAUCGCCUUCAUGCACCCGUUCUCGUACAAAAUGGUAGUAUGUAUUAAGGUGUUUAAUUCUUGAAUGAAACACCAUAUUAGCACUGAUCGGAUCAUAUUUAUAUAUAUUUUUACUUCGAAUUCACUCGUCUUUUCUUAGUUAGUUCCUUAUAUUUUUGAGCUAUUUACGUUAUUUUUGUGUUUAUAGGAUUUGUUAUGCAAAGAAAAUAAAAAUAGAACAAAUGAAAUUUUAUGUAAUAAAUUCGUCAAAACUGUCUGUGUAGAUCAUCUUUUAAAUAAAAUUAAUAAAAAUAAUAAUAAUGGUAAGUCAUGAUGAUGUUUGAAACAUCAUCAUGAUUCAUGUUUUGUAGAAGAAGAAAGGAACGGCAAAGAAGGAGAAAAUAAAGAAUAAAAGGAGGGAGAGCGUCGGUGGAAAAGAAAAAGGAAUAAAAAGCUGCCUUUACCAACAGAGAGAGUGGGGAGGGCAGAAAGAAAAACACGGCAUAAAGAAUAAGAAUAAGAGGAAGUGAACAGCAGUGCGAAGAAGAAAGGAAGAAUAAGAAAAUAAAGAUAAGAGGCAGAGCGGAAGAGAGAGGAGGGGGGAGAUAAGUCAGAGGGACGCGGAACGAAGAGAGGAAAGCAGCAAAGCUGCCAGCGGAAAGAAAAGGUUGCCCUUGCAGCCUUGAAAAAAAAAGCAAAAAAUAAAGGAGAGGUCAGGAGGGGAGAGAGGUUAGAGUGCGAAAACAGAGAGAGAGAAGGCGGGAGCAGCGCAGCAGAGCACAGCAGCAGGUGCAGGGAAGUCAGGAGCUAGGCAGAUCUUCUUUUCUUGGUUUUAUCUUCUCAAACCCAUGUUUUACUUUUGGUUUAAUUUGAUAAUAAUGUGUAACUAAAUUUAUUUUGGCUAGAGGUUAAUUCAAAGCCAUGAAUAUAUUUGUAAUAUGAAUUGAUUACCUUCAGUUGUGAUUUCUGAGUUGUGAUUUAAUUUGCUUAACUGCUUGAUUGAUAACUUAUUUUUGUAUGUCGAUUAAGAAUGCAUACUUAAUUUACAUGCAUGAAUUUGAUGCUAGAAUAUAAGUGAAUUUCACCUAAUCGUUAUGAACUUAUAUUCACAAGUAGUGAAGGUUGUUAUCCACAAUCGUGUUAAGUGAAUUCUAGGCUGGAUUAACAUGCGUAUUCCAUAGUUAUGAAUGCCUAGUCAAUGUUUAUGAUUUCCGUUGAACUUAAUGAUCUUUGUUGAAUGUCUCUAUCAUGCGUAUUCCAUAGUUAGGGACUUUGAUGAGGAAUAAUUUGGUUGUAAUGCGUAUUCCAUUCAAUCCAAUGAAUCUAGGGAAAUCUAAGAGUUAAUUUAAGCGGACCUAAUUAACUUGGAACAUUGUCAUUCACAAUUUAUUGAAAGAACAACUGAAAAUCAAUUUAGGUUGCAUAUGUGUCAUGUGUGGAGAAGAACCCUCUAGCUAGUCCGUCACCUAUCCUUUCACCUUAAUUUCAUGCUUUUGUCAACUCUGUAAUUUAUUUAAGUUUAAUUUACUUCUCGUCAAAACCAAACCCCCCCAUUAUUAAAUUAUAUUAUUUAGUUAAUUUUCAUUGUUGUUAGUCAUUUAAUUCAAUUUCCGUCCAUUUCAGUUUCUAGUGUCUAAUUUGAUUGUUUUCAUUAUUUUGAGUCAUUCUAAGUGUGUUUCGAGUUAUUAGAGUUUUUAGCCUAGUUUUGUGUCCUUGAGUCUUGUUUAAUAUUUUUAAAUUAAUUUAGAAUAGAUUAGCAAUCCCUCCUAAUCCCCGGCCUAGAACGAUACCCUACUUACAUCUAUAAUACAAUUGUCAAAAAGAGGGUUUAAUUGGUGUGUCAAGUAAUUUUCACAUCAAGCACUUAAGGCAAUAGCAGACAUAUUGUCACAGUGAAUCGUUGGUGGAGCAUCCAAAAAUACACUCAAAUCCUUCAAUAUAUUUCGAAUCCAAGCUAUAUCUACGGCAGUAUGUGCUAAGGCUUUAUAUUCAGCCUCAGUAGAACUCCUGGAUAUCGAGUUUUGUUUCUUCGAUUGCCAAGAAAUUGGAUUACUACCCAAGUACACGACAUAACCAGUGAUAGACCGACGAGUAUUCAAGUCUGUAGCCCAAUAAGAAUCAGAAAAUGCAGUAAGCUUUGAAACUGUGUUUGCAGAAAAAGCAAUACCAAUGUUCAUGGUUUCUUGAAGAUAACGAAUGAUUCAUUUAACAACGCCAAAAUGAACAUCAGUUGGUGAGGACAUCAACUGACAUACUGUGUUUACAGCAAAGGCAAUAUCAGGCCUAGUAAAGGUCAUAUAUUGUAAAGAUCCCACAAUACUUAUGUAAGGUUGGAUCUGUCAAUAAUUGUCCCUCAGAGUGUAACAUUUGAUGAUGAGGUUUACAAGGAGUGGUUGCUGGUUUACAUGAUUCCAUACCUGCUUUAUGGACGAGAUCUUUGAUAUACUUAGACUGAUUAACAAAAACACUGCCAUUUGCUUUAUAUUGAACUUGUAAACCCAAAAAAUAUGUAAGUUGUCCCAUAUCCUUUAACUCGAAUACCUCAGAUAAUUAUUGAAUCACUUUUUGGAUCUUCAAAGGAUUAGAACCAGUUAAGAUGAUAUCAUGAACAUAAAGUAAUAAGAUAAUGAUAUCAGAGUCAUCCUUCUUGACAAACAAACUUGUAUCAGAAGUUGAUGCAUGAAACUCCAUAACUGUCAAAUAACUUGUAAACUUUGAAUUCCACACUCGUGGAGCCUGUUUCAAGCCAUAUGAUGUAUCAAUAAAUCCUUGUGGUUGCUGCAUAUAAACUUCUUUUUGUAAAUCUCCGUGUAGAAAAGCGUUCUUGAUAUCUAAUUGGCGAAGAGGCCAAUGAUUCAUUGCAGCUAAAGAAAGAAUAAUCCUUAUAGUAGUAUGUCCGACAACAGGACUAAAUGUGUCCAAGUAGUCAAUACCAUGUUCUUGGGAGAACCCUUGAGCUACAAGCCUUGCUUUAUACCUGGAGACACUGCCAUCAAAGUUUUUCUUCACUUUGUAUUCCCAUUUGUUUCCUACAAUUGUUCUGUCUUCAGGUGCAGGAACCAAUAGCCAAGUUCCUUGUGCUCGAAGUGAAUCAUAUUUCUCCUGCAUUGCCUUUUGCCACUGUGAAAUAGUAGGAGCUUUCCGAAAUGUCUUAGGUUCUGAAGCAUCAGUGAUCUCAGAAAGAAAGGAAUAGCCACCCGUGAAAGGUUCUUCAUCAGUGAUUUGGAGACAACAAAGCUCAGGACAUUGUGCUACUAAAGCAGCAUAAUUUUGUCCCUCAAUUGUUCCACUCUUCAAUCUAGGGACCAUUGAGUGAGUCAAUGGUGUAGUAUGUAAAAUGAGAUCAAAUAGAGAUAAAUCAGGAAGGAUUACCUCAAGUUGUGACUCAGAGUGGACAAGCAACAAGGAUUGUGUACCAGAGUGAUGAUGUGUAAGAGAGUGAUGAUGUGAAGAGCUUGGAGAUGCAUAUAGAAGAUUGGUUUCAGUCGAAUUUGUAUCUUGAUCACUAGGUUGAAUCACCUGUGUAUUGUCCGAACUAGAAAUAUUCAAUUAACCAACCACAUUUAUACUUUCACAAUUUGCAGGAAUACUGUGAUGUGAACCAGUAUCAUUUGCUGAUAUAUGUAUAGAACUAGCUGCUUGUGAAUCAUGCUGUAUUUAUGUAUGAGGCAGGACUCUUGCACUUGGAACUUGUAACUGAAUCAAAACAGGUGUCUGAGAACACCUAUAUGUAGCUGUAGAAUCCUUAGAUGGCAAAACUUGUUUAAACGGAUAUACAUCUUCAUCAUGUAGUACAUGCCCUGACAGAAUGAACUUUCUAGUCUUGAUAUCAUAACAAAUAACUCCUUUAUAUCCAUGAGCAAAACCAAGAAAUACACAUUGAGCUGACUGUAGCUCCAAUUUAUUCUUAUUGAAUGAUCUUAUCAAGAUAGAGCAGCCAUAAGAAACUCUUAACUUUGGAGGAAUAUGAAGUUUCCAAAUAAGAUUCCAUCGCCGGAAAAGCACAAGGCCUAAUGGCCCAAAAAUAAGCAGAUUUAACUGAAAAAUUACCAUCAUUUAUUCCACUUCAGAUACACUUGGCAGUCAAAGCAUCAAAACUAAUUGGAAUGCUAAGAAUUUGUUCAACCACCUCUUUAGUAAAACAAGUAAUAGUGGAUCCAAACCAUUAUUGUAACAAUAGUUAGCUACAGUAGCCUUAUAUGUAUUGUCGGCGUUACCACACAAUCCCGAUAUACGUCCAGGAUCGACAUGUGAUCUCAUCAAAUACUCAUAUCUCUAACUUACCCCACCUCCGGAAUAUGGCAAAGUGAUGAGUCAAUAUUUACCAUAUAUUUUACCCUAAUCUUAGUAUUAAUUUAUUAGUUAUUUUGGUAGAAUUUUGAUACUUUGUUAUAUAUUUCUAAUAUAGGACAUUCGACUUCAUCUGGAGAAAAAAGUAACCAAACGGAUGAUUUUUGGAGUGAUUCCAAUUGGAGGAUGUUUGUGAGUCUUCGAGAUGAUUAUAUCAAAAUUCCAAAUUUUUCUACCAAGUCGUUUGACCGUGGCAAUGAAAUUAAGGCCCUGCGCGCAGCUUUCUCAGAUUGACAUUUCGGGACAUUUUGCGUAUUUUGAAAGUCAAGAUGUAAUAUUUUGAGGAAGAUUUCUUCUGAGGAUUUGUAUGGGACGUCUCCAUCUUUCAAAAGAGACAUUUUGGGACCAAAUCGGAGUUGAUUUGGUUGGUCAGAAGUCUGAUUUUCUGAGAUCUCCGAAUUCUAGUUCAAAUAGGAAACCUUUUAUUUUCUGUUUUAUUAUUUUAUUAUGUUUCAUAGUUUUAUUGUAAGACCUUUUAGGGUUUUAUUUUGUAUUAGUAUAAAUAAGAUAUUUAGCCAUUAGGGGAAAAGGGGAGGAGAGAAUAGGAGGAGAAUGCACACAAUACUUUGGAGGAUUCAAGUUUAUUUUCAAGGUGUUUUCUAUCCAUGUUCUUAAUAAUAUUUUGUUUUAUAGUUGAUAGUAACUAGUUUCGUUUGCUAGAUCGAGGCCAUGACCCUUAGCAAGAAUACGUAGUUUCUUUUCAAUCUGCUUAUGAUAUUAUGCAUGCAAGUUUUGAAUUAUUAAUCAUCGUGCUUUAAACUAUCUAAUUGUGUUGAUGAUUGGCCGCCAUUAGGAUAUUUAGAAAAGUAAUUUGAUGCAAUUUUGGCGGAGGGCUGUCCCUAGAAUUGGUGCUGGCUUCUUGUGGUUAAUAUGUGUAACUUCUUAGGAUGGAUGACAUGUCUUAAGGGUUAUAUGGUUUUUCAAAAGGAUUUCACAAAACUUUAUGAGUCUUGCAUGUUAACUUUUGAUCUGGACACCACAGACAGGUUGCAUGUUAGAUAUAGGUUCUAUGUUGGAGGUUCCAAGUAAGGCAUACAUUAGGAAAACCUAACCAUCAAAAUAUGCAUUUGUAAUUCAUAAGUAAUUGGAAGAACUACGUAGGAUUGUUAAGGUGAUGGUGAAACCCUAGUGCUUAAAUUUAUUUUCAAAACUAUUUUCUUUGGUUUUCUUUACUUUCCCAAUUUAUAGUGGAUCCAAACCAUUAUUGUAACAAUACUUAGCUACAGUAGCGUUAAGCAUAUUAUCGGUGUCAUGCCCCGAUCCCGACAUACGUCUAGGAUCGACACGUGAUGUCACCAAAUACCCACAUCUCUAACUUACCCUGCCUCUAUGGCAAAGUGAUGAGUCAAUAUUUUACCAUAUAUUUUACCCUAAUCUUAGUAUUAAUUUGUUGGUUAUUUUGGAAGAAUUUUUAUACUUUGUUAUAUAUUUCUAAUGUAGGAUAUUCUACAUCCUCGGGAGAAAAAAGUAACCAAACAGAUGAAUUUUGGAGUGAUUCCAAUUAGAGAAUGUUCGUGAGUCUUUCAAGCUGAUUGUAUCAUAAUUCCAGAUUUUACUAUCAAGCUGUUUGACCGUGGCGAUGAAAUUAAGGCCCAGCACGCAACUUUCCCAUAUUGACGUUUCUGGACGUUUUGGGUAUUUUGAAGGUCAAGAUGUUAUGUUUGGAAGAAGAUUCCUUCUGAUGAUUUGUAUGGGACGUCUCCAGCUUUCAAAAGAGACCUUUUGGGAUGAAAUUGAAGUUGAUUUGUUUGGUCAAAAGUCUGAUUGUCUGAUAACUCCGAAUUCUAGUUCAAAUAGGAAACCUUUUAUUUUCUGUUUUAUUAUUUUAUUAUGUUUCCUAGUUUUAUUCUAAGACCUUUUAGGGUUUUAUUUUGUAUUAGUAUAAAUAAGAUGUUUAGCCAUUAGGGUAAAAGAGGAGGAGAGAAUAAGAGGAGAACACACAUAGUACUUUGGAGGAUUCAAGUUUAUUUUCAAGGUGUUUUCUAUCCAUGUUCUUAAUAAUAUUUUGUAUUAUGGUUGUUAGUAACUAGUUUCGUUUGCUAGGGCGAGGCCACGAGCCUUAGUGAGAAUAUGUAGUUUCUUUUCAAUUUGCUUAUGAUAUAUAUUAUGCAUGCAAGUUUUGAAUUAUUAAUCACUGUGCUUUAAACUAUAUAAUUGUCUUGAUGAUUGGCCACCAUUAGGAUAUUUAAAAAAGUAAUUUGAUGCAAUUUUGGUGGUGGGCUGUCCCUGGAAUUGGUGCUGGCUUCUUGUGGUUAAUAUGUGUAACUUCUUAGGAUGGACGACACGUCUUAAGGGUUAUAUGGUUGUUCAAAAGGAUUUCAUAAAACUUAAUGAGUCUUGCAUGUUCACAUUCGAUCUGGACACCACAGACAGGUUGCAUGUUAGAUAUACGUUCAAUGUUGGAGGUUCCAAGUAGGGCAUACUUUAGGAAAACCAAACCUUCAAAAUAUGCAUGUGUAAUUCAUAAGUAAUUGGAAGAACUACGUAGGAUUGUUAAGGUAACGGUGAAACCCUAGUGCUUAAAUUUAUUUUCAAAAACUAUUUUCUUUGGUUUUCUUUACUCUCCCAAUUUAUUUAAUUGUUUUCAGUUAAAUUCGUUUUUAAUAUUUUAGGUUAUAAAACCAACCUCUUCUAGACUUUAUUUUCAAAUAAUUAAUUAAGAUUUGGUUUUAACAUAAAUUAUGGCUUUUUUUAUUAGCACCCCACAAAAUGUUGAAUGCACCCCACAUUAAAAUUUAAUAUUAAAUGACUUAUUUACCCCACUAUGCAAUGACAAUUUUGACCUUAUUAGGUUUUAAAAAAAUAAAAUAAAAAUAUCUAAAUACACCCCAAAUCAAUGUUUUAGAACCUUCACAUGAGGUAAGACUAUGUUUCAUCGGUGGUUUGGUUAAUUUCAUAUUGCUUUUUUUUUUUUCUUCCGUUGGUUAUUCAUUUUCUUCUUUGCAGGUUACAAAUCCAGCCAGUGGUCCUCCUAGAGAAGGUUUGGUUAUAUCCCUUGAAAUGAACAAUGGAAAGCGACAAAAUAUUUUGGAGGUUAGACCAGAAAAUGCAUCGCAGGUUUGUUGGCAUGUACCACUCUGCCUAUUGAUAUUGAGUUGUAUGGUUCUUAACAAAUAAUUGAGGUGUAUGAUUCUUAGUAAAUAAAUGAGGAUUUGAUAAUAUUUUUUGGUGUAUUUAAAUAGGAUAGCAUACAAGGCAAUACCUCUAUAGGGGACAGUGAGGUUGCAACAACGAGCGUCGUUGAUUACACAAACGCAUUUAAAACAGACGAGGUAACUAUUUUUAGUAUAUUGAAUGUGCAUCUGUGAAUUUCAUGGAAACUCUUGCAUUCUUUUAUGCAACAUAGUGCAUUAGGUUCAUAAUAGGGACUAACAUAUGGGUUGGAAUCUUAGCAUGUCUACAAACAUUUUGUUAGUGGCAAAUGUCAAUGAUCUUGUAUGUACAGGUGUUCAAAAGUAAAAAUGAUUUCCUUGAUUGGACUCGCGCACAAGGAAAAAAGAAUAAUAUGGUUAUUGUCAUUAAGAGGUCUGAUGCGGGAAGGGUUGACCGAAUGAGGAAGAGAGCUCGAAUAACAUUUGCUUGUGAGAGACAUGGCGAGUAUCGAUCCAUAUUGAGGAAGUCUGAUAUUAAUGACCAAAAUUCUGAUGCAAAUAAUAAGAAGAAGAAAGAACCCAGGAAUACUGGUAUUAAAAAAUACGGAUGUCCAUUUAUGUUGAAAGGAGUCAACGUUGGAGAAGGAGAUGAAUGGAAAUUGGAGGUUGAGUGUGGGGUGCAUAACCAUACUUAUUCACAGUAUCUUGAAGGGCAUUCUUUUGUCGGACGAUUAACUAAAGAGCAAAAUGAACUUUUAGUUGACAUGUCUACAAGUUUAGUGAGACCCAAAGUUAUUUUGAACACCAUAAAGACAAAAGAUCCACUUAAUGUAACAACGAUGAGGACAAUAUACAAUGCAAGACACUAUCAUCGGACAAAAGAAAACGCAGGGAAAUCAGAAAUGCAACAGUUGUUAUGUAAGUUGGCUGAGUACAACUAUAUUGAGCAUCAUCAAAGUAUUGGUAUUGAUAAUGUUGUUAGUGACUUGUUUUGGACUCAACCAAUUAAUGUCGAUAUCUUACAUUGUUUCGCACAUGUACUUAUCAUGGAUUGCACGUACAAGACUAAUAGGCAUCGUUUCCACUCCUGGAGAUUGUAAGGGUAACUUCAACUAAUAUUACAUUGUCGGUUGCAUUUGCUUUCAUUGACCAUGAGAAGGAAGACAAUUACACAUGCGCAUUGACAAGAUUGAAGACUCUAAUGAAUGAUGAUUGUAUUCCUGGUGUGAUUGUCACUAGGGGUGGGUUCGGUUUAAAUCGGUUCGGUUUUUUGCCAAAACCGAAACCAAACCAAAAUUUCGGUUCGGUUCAAUUUUUUUUCUGUUUUUUUCGGUUCGGUUUUUUCCGGUUCGGUUUCGGUUCGGUUUUGGUUUUUUGUUUUUAUUUUUUUUCAAAGAAUGAAAAACAUUGAAAUUUUAAAUUUUAACAUAUCCAACACAAUCAUAACAUAAACAUUCUAACUAGAAUCAAAGACAAUGAAAAUAAACAUUUAAAGUUGAACUAAAAUCAUCAAUCAAGUCUUUCAAAGUCCAAACUAACAACCUCACAACACAAAAAUCACACAAAAAUCGUACAAAUGACUUAGAAAAGUUAAAUUGUAUGAUGUUGUUCAAAGAUCAGUGUUGUUUGCUUGUAACUGCAUGUUGACAACUUGAUUAGUAAAGGUAAUACGUGGGUGGAUUUAUUUAGUGUGUGUUGGAUUCUUUUCCAUCACAAAUUACCCAAGUAAUCUACCCGAAAUAAAUGUUUAUGGAUUAUGUUACAUGUUAUAUGAGAGUAGAUUUGGAAAAGAAAGCUGGCGUAGAAGUAGACAGUGCUAUGGAGAUGGAUGUAGGUACUUCGGGAAGAGGUUUGGUUCCGGAACCUUAUAUGGGGGAGAAAUAAUAGGUUAGGGUUUAGAGUUUUUAUAGGCCUUUUUUUUAAUAUUUUGAGCUUAAAGUUUGGCAACACAUUGGGUUAGCACAUUUUAACUUACAAAUUGGGUUUAGAAAAUAAUACCCAAAACAAAUAAUUAAAUAAAAAAUUUAAUUUAAUUAAUUCGGUUCGGUUCGGUUCGGUUUGGUUCGGUUUCUAGAUCACUAAAACUGAACCGAACCAAAAGAAUUCGGUUCGGUUCGGUUUUUUCAAUUCGGUUCGGUUUUUUUGUUCGGUUCGGUUUUUUCGGUUUCGGUUCGGUUUGGUUUUCGGUUUUUUUCGGUUUUCGGUUUUUUGAACCCACCCCUAAUUGUCACUGAUCGAGACUUAGCAAACUAAACUGAAAUAUAUUGAUUGCAAGGCAAGAGUACAAUUGUAAAAACAAGGUUUACUUUUUAAUGGAGGUUGUGUAGGAAAAAUUACAUUCAAAUUCAUUGCGGACCUCUUUUUUUUCUAAGACCAAAUCAAAGAAAAAAAUAAUUGAAUCAAUGAAUUACUAUAGCAGCUCCAUUUCUGACAAUGGCAAGAGGUCUCUGUGCUAAUCAAACUACCCCGAAAUUUUAUCCUAAAACUAUACUCGAGCUCCACCUUAUCUGCAAUCUCAAAUGCCUUCUCAAUAUCAUUUCAUGAUAAACCUGCUAUCCCUAUUUAUAAGAAAUUAAGCACAAGCUAGCUCAAGUUAUGGUCUUUAAUUAAUAUUAAUUUCGACAAAUCAGCUUCCCAUCUCUUUCAUUCAUAUGAACAUGGCGCAAUAUUUGUUUAAAUUAGCUGUUCGGGUUGAUUUCUUUGUAUAACUCUUCUGCCAAUUCUGCAACUUGUAGACGUAAUUCCCAUUUCAAAAUUUUAAAAAAUAAAAUAAAAUCCAAAACUAAUGUAAGAUAAAUAAAGACUUUUUUAUAUCAUAAAAUAAGACUUUCAAACUUGUAUACAAGACUAUAGUGACAAAAUCAAACACAUUGAUGGGUGCGCAUGUUCCUUCAACAUCUGUUAUGUGCGUUUAAACUGAGCGUCGAGUCUUUUUUAAGCACCUUUAAAAGUUUAACAAACUAACUAACUCCAAUAGCUGAUAUGGCACUUAUGAUGAUGUGUCAAUCACUAUAUAUCUUCAACAUCCCCCCGCAAUCUCAACUGGGAUUUUCCAGCUUGAGAUUGUAAAAAUGUUUGACAAAUGAAAGACUGUGAAGACCUUUGGUAAGAACAUCGGGAGUUUGCUCCUCAGUUGGGAUAUACAACACCUCCAAAUCGCCUUGCUGCACUCGUUCUCAGUUUAUAUCAAGGUGUUUAAUUCUGAAAUGAAACACCAGAUUGGCACUUAAGGCAAUAGCAGACAUAUUCUUACAGUGAAUCGUUGGUGGAGCAUCCAAAAAUACACCCAAAUCCUUCAAUAUAUUUCGAAUUCAAGCUAUAUGUGCCGCAGUAUGUGCUAAGGCUUUAUAUUCAGCCUCAGUAGAACUCCUGGAUACCGAGUUUUCUUUCUUCGAUUGCCAAGAAAUUGGAUUAUUGCCUACGUACACGACAUAACUAGUGAUAGACCGACGAGUAUUCAAGUAUGCAGCCCAAUCAGAAUCAGAAAACGCAGUAAGCUUUGAAACUGUGUUUGCAGAAAAAGUAAUACCAAUGUUCAUGGUUCCUUGAAGAUAACGAAUGAUUCGUUUAACAAUGCCAAAAUGAACAUCAGUUGGUGAGGACAUAAACUGACAUACUGUGUUUACAGCAAAGGCAAUAUCAGGCCUAGUAAAGGUUAGAUAUUGUAAAGAUCCCACAAUGCUUCUGUAGGAGGUUGGAUCUGUCAAUAAUUGUCCCUUAGAGUGUAACAUUUGAUGAUGAGGUUUACAAGGAGUGGUUGCUGGUUUACAUGAUUCCAUACCUGCUUUAUGGACGAGAUCUUUGAUACACUUAGACUGAUUAACAAAAACACUGCCAUCUGCUUUAUAUUGAACUUAUAAACGCAAAAAAUAUGUAAGUUGUCCCAUAUCCUUUAACUCGAAUACCUCAGAUAAUUAUUGAAUCACUUUUUGGAUCUUCAAGGAUUAUAACCAGUUAAGAUGAUAUCAUCAACAUAAAGUAAUAAGAUGAUGAUAUCAGAGCCAUCCUUCUUGACAAACAAACUUGUAUCAGAAGCUGAUGCAUGAAACUCCAUAACUGUCAAAUGACCAUAUACAUAAUAACUGUCAAAUAACUAUAUACAUAAUAACUCCAUAGAGUGAAGAUAGGAUAUUUAAACUCUUCUGUACUUAGAGAUAUGGUUGAUGUGGGAUAUUUCAAUACCUAUAUAUAUAUAUAUAUAUAUAUAUAUAUAGUAAAAACUACAUACAUAAUAAUACUACCAUAAUAGUUGUCACAAUCAAUUCAUCUCGCACGUCAUAUCAAAGAAAGUAAGUCAUUCAUAAAAUCAAAGUAAUAGAAUAUGAUUUUAUCAAUAUCGUAGAUGAUUCUUAUAAUCAUGUAUAUGCACGUUGGUGCGACUUAGAUUCCAAUGAUCUCUCUACUAAAUAUAUUUAUUUCAUAAACGCUAUAAUUUGUAUACAUAAUAAAUGAUUUGAUCAUAUUAAUUCUGCAUAGUCCCCUCAAGUUGGAUAGUAAAUGUCAUAAUUAAGGCUUUUUAGUCAAAAUGGAGUCCUUGAGAUUUGCCUAACUCAUUACCUUGGUCCCUGAGAUUCAAAAUCAAUAGAAGUGAUCCAUGAGAUAGUCCACCAUCAAUCAUUUUGGUCCUUCAGUGAAAAAUUGUGUUAAAUAAGAAUUAAAAUGACAAAAUUACCCUCAAUGUAAUAAACAAUAGGCCAACAUGAUUUGACAAAAAUUGAGGGUAUUUUUAAUAUUUUAUCCUUAUUUUAUGGAGAUUUUUCACUGAAUGAUGAAAAUGAUUGAUUGUGAACAAACCCAAGUACCAAUUCUAUCAAUUUCAAAUCUCAAGGACCAAAGCAAGGAGUUAUGCAAAUCUCAAUAACCAUUUUAACUAAAAAAUUAUUAUUCCUAAUUUCCUAAAGCCCUUGGGAAGGUAUCUGCCAAUUGUACCCGAGAAGAAGUGCAGCAAGGAAAAUUUUAUAAAGACAAUGGAUACAUGCCACUUCGCUGCAAAAAACGAUACUUAAAGGACAAUUUUCCCGAGUUUUUCACCGCCGUUUUUACCGUUUGCUGCAAAAAACAAAUACUCUCCCCUUGCGAGCUCCGUCGUCAAUUCCCUUCACGAACUUUGAGUCCCUCUGAAAAAAUGAUUACAUGAAAUUUGAAUUUUUCAAACUUUGUGUCUGGUUAUAUCUAACGAUCCCUAAUUCUAAAUUUAUGGUUUAGAUAUAUAAAAAAGAUAUCUCGGGUACUUCAUUGCUAUCCAUUAAGCUCCCCACUUUCAAGCAAAGCAAAAAAUUCUAAUUGAGUUGAGUUUUGAACAUGCUGAUUAGUUAGACAACUGAAUUACUAAUCUUUAUUAUUAUUGCAACAAACACACGGAUUACACUAAAAGCUAGUGAAUCAUACACUUGCAGAUGACUUAUCCAAACACAAAGAUAAGACAUGAUUUUAUUAUUAUUGCUAUAAACACACGAAUUACAACGAAAUUCAAAAACUAAAAACAAGGAAAAAAGUAGUGAUGAAAACCAAUGCCACUUCCGGGAACACGAUUGCAUUCGCACAUGCAACAAGCCUUUUAAACCCAUAGGUGACCCAAAUGGGACGAGUGAAGUCUCGUGAGGGUUUCCAGAGACGUUACCCACAAACAUCAUGCAUACGGAUCAUCAACAUCUGACUUGGGAGACUGAGUAGAUAUCCACCCCUCCAGCAUCAGGUUGUUUUUGGUUAAGGCGUAAUUCGAAUCUGUUUUCAAUGAACGGCCUGGUUAUGAGAUCGCUUUGCAAGUGACGUAAUCGGCAGCGCGUGAUUAGGUUGUUGCUGUCAGGUGGUCCGACAGGCUCGACCUUGAACAAUGUGCAAGCCCAAUUGUCUUUGGUUUCAUUUCGGUCAGCAGCUGCGGCCAGGACCAAUAGCUUGUUUUGGUCCACCCUUCUCAAGUAGUUGCCAUUGUAGGAGCAUUUGAUAUGCACGUAAUUCUUGUCGGCGUAGUCCUCAUUGUUUGGCUUCUCGGUGGUGAACUUUAUGAACCUGCUGUUUUCAUUGUCCUCGGAAAACUGGACAAUCUCAUUAAGGUCGCUUUCUGCAUCAAGUUGAUAGCGCAAAUACUUGUUGUUGAUAUCUGCUUUCAGCAGAAAAGGGCUUGGUAGUACAGGUGGAGCCAUAUCGUAUAGUGUAGUUGGGAUUGGGAUGCUCUCUCUUUUUAAUUCUCUGUUGAUGAUCUAAUUUGCUUGCUGUGAAUGUGAUGCUUAGUUUAAACCUGCUAUCCUAUUUAUAAGAAAUUAAGCACAAGCUAGCUCAAGUUAUGGUCUUUAAUUAAUAUUAAUUUCGACAAAUCAGUUUCCCAUCUCUUUCAUUGAUAUGAACAUGGCUGAUCUCAUUGGUGUGGCGCAAUAUUUGUUAAAUUAGCCGUUCGGGUUGAUUUCUUUGUACAACUCAUCUGCCAAUUCUACAACUUGUAGACCUAAUUCCCAGUACAAAAUUAAAAAAAAAUUAAAAUCCAAAACUAAUAUAAGAUAAAUAAAGACUUUUUAUAUCAUAAAAUAAGACUUUCUAACUUGUAUACAAGACUAUAGUGACAAGAUCAAACACAUUGAUGGGUGCGCAUUUUCCAUCAACAUCUGUUCUGUGUGUUUAAACUGACCGUGGAGUCUUUUUAGCAAUUAAAAGUUUUGUAUCAUGUAAUUGUCUUGGUUUGAUAAGACCUACAUCUAGAUGAGUUGCUUCUGAAGACUAAUGUAAAACUUUAUGUUGAUAUUUCUUGAGGGUGAAACAUCGUUUGAGAAACGUGUAGGGCCUCAUUACAAUGUUUUCAUUUAGUUUUUAACUUUUGGUUUAAAUAUUCUACUAUGAAUAAAUUUGUGGCUUUAAUAACUAGUAAAACCACUUUCAAAUAUCUUAGUAUCGGCUUUCAGAACAAAGGGGUUUGCUAGUACAGGUGGAGCCAUGUUGUAUAGUGUAGCUGGGAUUGGGAUGAUCUCUCUCUCUUUUUUGUUUUUUGUUUUUCCUUUAAUUUGCUUGCUUUGAAUGUGAUGCUCAGUUCAAACCUACUAUCCUAUUUCUAAGAAAUUAAGCACAAGCUAUCUCAAGUUAUGGACUUUAAUUAAUAUUAAUUUCCUCAAUCAGUUUCCCAUAUCUUUCAUUGAUACGAACAUGGCUGAUCUCAUUGGUGUGACGCAAGAUUUGUUAAAAUAGCGAUCGGAUUGAUUUUUCUUUGUAUAACUCUUCUGCCAAUUCUGAACUUGUACAUAUAAUUCCCAUUAUAAAAUAAAUAAAUAAAAUUCAAAACUCAUAUAAAAUAAAUAGAGACUUUUUAUAGCAUAUAAAAUAAGACUUUGUAACUUGUACAUAGUUACUGAUAACAUUCAUCUAAGAACUAACAGAUGAAUGUAUGCAAGCAAUAUUGAAGAAAUACAGAGAGAAAGAUCGAAAGGAAUAGAGAGAGAAAUAGAGAAAGAAAUGAGUGAAAGCUUUGUUAUUUCAUAAGAACAAAAGAUCAUCACAAAAGAACCCUGAUUCCUUCUUAUAUAGUCUGCACAUGUAGCUUAUCAGCUAAGCCACCUGUGUAACUAAUUCUUAACAAACUAACUAACUCCAAUAGCUGAUAUGGCACUUAUGAUGAUGUGUCAAUCACUAUAUAUCUUCAACAUCCCCCCGCAAUCUCAACUGGGAUUUUCUAGCUUGAGAUUGUAAAAAUGUUAGACAAAUGAAGGACUGUGAAGACCUUUGGUAAGAACAUCGGCAGUUUGCUCCUCAGUUGGGAUAUACAACACCUCCAAAUCGCCUUCAUGCACUCGUUCUCGUACAAAAUGGUAGUAUGUAUUAAGGUGUUUAAUUCUUGAAUGAAACACCAGAUUAGCACUUAAGGCAAUAGCGGACAUAUUGUCACAGUGAAUCGUUGGUGGAGCAUCCAAAAAUACACUCAAAUCCUUCAAUAUAUUUCGAAUCCAAGCUAUAUCUGCGGCAGUAUGUGCUAAGGCUUUAUAUUCAGCCUCAGUAGAACUCCUGGAUACCGAGUUUUGUUUCUUCGAUUGCCAAGAAAUUGGAUUACUACCCAAGUACACGACAUAACCAGUGAUAGACUGACGAGUAUUCAAGUCUGUAGCCCAAUAAGAAUCAGAAAACGCAGUAAGCUUUGAAACUGUGUUUGCAGAAAAAGCAAUACCAAUGUUCAUGGUUUCUUGAAGAUAACGAAUGAUUCAUUUAACAACGCCAAAAUGAACAUCAGUUGGUGAGGACAUAAACUGACAUACUGUGUUUACAGCAAAGGCAAUAUCAGGCCUAGUAAAGGUCAGAUAUUGUAAAGAUCCCACAAUACUUAUGUAAAAGGUUGGAUCUGUCAAUAAUUGUCCCUCAGAGUGUAACAUUUGAUAAUGAGGUUUACAAGGUGUGGUUGCUGGUUUACAUGAUUCCAUACCUGCUUUAUGGACGAGAUCUUUGAUAUACUUAGACUGAUUAACAAAAACACUGCCAUUUGCUUUAUAUUGAACUUGUAAACCCAAAAAAUAUGUAAGUUGUCCCAUAUCCUUUAACUCGAAUACCUCAGAUAAUUAUUGAAUCACUUUUUGGAUCUUCAAAGGAUUAGAACCAGUUAAGAUGAUAUCAUGAACAUAAAGUAAUAAGAUAAUGAUAUCAGAGUCAUCCUUCUUGACAAACAAACUUGUAUCAGAAGUUGAUGCAUGAAACUCCAUAACUGUCAAAUAACUUGUAAACUUCGAAUUCCACACUCGUGGAGCCUGUUUCAAGCCAUAUAAUGACUUGACCAAUUUGCAAACAUGAGAAAGAUAUGAUGUAUCAAUAAACCCUUAUGGUUCCUGCAUAUAAACUUCUUUUUGUAAAUCCCCGUGUAGAAAAGCGUUCUUGAUAUCUAAUUGGCGAAGAGGCCAAUGAUUCAUUGCAGCUAAAGAAAGAAUAAUCCUUACAGUAGUAUGUCCGACAACAGGACUAAAUGUGUCCAAGUAGUCAAUACCAUGUUCUUGGGAGAACCCUUGAGCUACAAGCCUUGCUUUAUACCUGGAGACACUGCCAUCAGAGUUUUUCUUCACUUUUUGUUCUGUCUUCAGGUGCAGGAACCAAUAGCCAAGUUCCUUGUGCUCGAAGUGAAUCAUAUUUCUCCUGCAUUGCCUUUUGCCACUGUGAAAUAGUAGGAGCUUUCCGAAAUGUCUUAGGUUCUGAAGCAUCAGUGAUCUCAGAAAGAAAGGAAUAGCCACCCGUGAAAGGUUCUUCAUCAGUGAUUUGGAGACAACAAAGCUCAGGACAUUGUGCUACUAAAGCAGCAUAAUUUUGUCCCUCAAUUGUUCCACUCUUCAAUCUAGGGACCAUUGAGUGAGUCAAUGGUGUAGUAUGUAAAAUGAGAUCAAAUAGAGAUAAAUCAGGAAGGAUUACCUUAAGUUGUGACUUAGAGUGGACAAGCAACAAGGAUUGUGUACCAGAGUGAUGAUGUGUAGGAGAGUGAUGAUGUGAAGAGUUUGGAGAUGCAUAUAGAAGAUUGGUUUCAGUCGAAUUUGUAUCUUGAUCACUAGGUUGAAUCACUUGUGUAUUGUCCGAACUAGAAACAUUCAAUUAACCAACCACAUAUAUACUUUCACAAUUUGCAGGAAUACUGUGAUGUGAACCAGUAUCAUUUGCUGAUAUAUGUAUAGAACUAGCUGCUUGUGAAUCAUGCUGUAUUUAUGUAUGAGGCAGGACUCUUGCACUUGGAACUUGUAACUGAAUCAAAACAGGUGUCUGAGAACACCUAUAUGUAGCUGUAGAAUCCUUAGAUGGCAAAACUUGUUUAAACGGAUAUACAUCUUCAUCAUGUAGUACAUGCCUUGACAGAAUGAACUUUCUAGUCUUGAUAUCAUAACAAAUAACUCCUUUAUAUCCAUGAGCAAAACCAAGAAAUACACAUUGAGCUGACCGUAGCUCCAAUUUAUUCUUAUUGAAUGAUCUUAUCAAGAUAGAGCAGCCAUAAGAAACUCUUAACUUUGGAGGAAUAUGAAGUUUCCAAAUGAGAUUCCAUCGCCGGAAAAGCACAAGGCCUAAUGGCCCAAAAGUAAGCAGAUUUAACUGAAAAAUUACCAUCAUUUAUUCCACUUCAGAUACACUUGGCAGUCAAAGCAUCAAAACUAAUUGGAAUGCUAAGAAUUUGUUCAACCACCUCUUUAGUAAAACAAGUAAUAGUGGAUCCAAACCAUUAUUGUAACAAUAGUUAGCUACAGUAGCCUUAUAUGUAUUGUCGGCGUUACCACACAAUCCCGAUAUACGUCCAGGAUCGACAUGUGAUCUCAUCAAAUACUCAUAUCUCUAACUUACCCCACCUCCGGAAUAUGGCAAAGUGAUGAGUCAAUAUUUACCAUAUAUUUUACCCUAAUCUUAGUAUUAAUUUAUUAAUUAUUUUGGUAGAAUUUUGAUACUUUGUUAUAUAUUUCUAACAUAGGACAUUCGACUUCAUCUGGAGAAAAAAGUAACCAAACGGAUGAUUUUUGGAGUGAUUCCAAUUGGAGGAUGUUUGUGAGUCUUUCGAGAUGAUUAUAUCAAAAUUCCAAAUUUUUCUACCUAGCCGUUUGACCGUGGCAAUGAAAUUAAGGCCCUGCGCGCAGCUUUCUCAGAUUGACAUUUCAGGACAUUUCGGGACAUUUUUUCAAUUCGGUUCGGUUUUUUUGUUCGGUUCGGUUUUUUCGGUUUCGGUUCGGUUUGGUUUUCGGUUUUUUUCGGUUUUCGGUUUUUUGAACCCACCCCUAAUUGUCACUGAUCGAGACUUAGCAAACUAAACUGAAAUAUAUUGAUUGCAAGGCAAGAGUACAAUUGUAAAAACAAGGUUUACUUUUUAAUGGAGGUUGUGUAGGAAAAAUUACAUUCAAAUUCAUUGCGGACCUCUUUUUUUUCUAAGACCAAAUCAAAGAAAAAAAUAAUUGAAUCAAUGAAUUACUAUAGCAGCUCCAUUUCUGACAAUGGCAAGAGGUCUCUGUGCUAAUCAAACUACCCGAAAUUUAUCCUAAAACUAUACUCGAGCUCCACCUUAUCUGCAAUCUCAAAUGCCUUCUCAAUAUCAUUUCAUGAUAAACCUGCUAUCCUAUUUAUAAGAAAUUAAGCACAAGCUAGCUCAAGUUAUGGUCUUUAAUUAAUAUUAAUUUCGACAAAUCAGCUUCCCAUCUCUUUCAUUCAUAUGAACAUGGCGCAAUAUUUGUUAAAUUAGCUGUUCGGGUUGAUUUCUUUGUAUAACUCUUCUGCCAAUUCUGCAACUUGUAGACGUAAUUCCCAUUUCAAAAUUUUAAAAAAUAAAAUAAAAUCCAAAACUAAUGUAAGAUAAAUAAAGACUUUUUAUAUCAUAAAAUAAGACUUUCAAACUUGUAUACAAGACUAUAGUGACAAAAUCAAACACAUUGAUGGGUGCGCAUGUUCCUUCAACAUCUGUUAUGUGCGUUUAAACUGAGCGUCGAGUCUUUUUUAGCAAUUAAAAGUUUUGUAUCAUGUAAUUGUCUUGGUUUGAUAAGACCUACAUCUGGAUAAGUUGCUUCUGAAGACUAAUGUAAAACUUUAUGUUGAUAAUUCUUGAGGGUGAAACAUCGUUUGAGAAAUGUUUUGGACCUCAUUACAAUUUUUUCAUUUAUUUUUUAACUUUUGGUUUAAAUAUUCUACUACAAAUACAUUUGUGGCUUCAAUAACUACUAAAACCACUUUCAAAUAUCUUAGUAUUGGCUUUCAGAACAAAGGGGUUUGGUAGUACAGGUUGAGCCAUGUUGUAUAGUGUAGCUGGGAUUGGGACGAUCUCUCUCUUUAUUUAUUUAUUUUUUUCCUUUAAUUUGCUUGCUUUGAAUGUGAUGCUCAGUUCAAACCUACUAUCCUAUUUCUAAGAAAUUAAGCACAAGCUAUCUCAAGUUAUGGUCUUUAAUUAAUAUUAAUUUCCUCAAUCAGUUUCCCAUUUCUUUCAUUGAUACGAACAUGGCUGAUCUCAUUGGUGUGACGCAAGAUUUGUUAAAAUAGCUGAUCGGAUUGAUUUUUUCUUUGUACCCGAGAAGAAAUGCAGGAAGGAGGAAUUUAUAAAGACAACGGAUACCUGCUCUUCGCUGCAAAAAACGACACUUAAAAGGACAAUUUUCCCGAGGUUUUCACCGCUGUUUUUACCGUUUGCUGCCAAAAACAAAUACUCUCCCCUUGCGAGCUCCGUUGUCAAUUCCCCUCGCGAACUUUGAGUCCCUCUGAAAAAAUGAUUAAGUGAAAUUUGAAUUUUUCAAACUUUGUGUUUGGUUAUAUCUAACAAUCCCUAAUUCCAAAUUUAUGGUUUAGAUAUAUAAAAAAGAUAUCUCGGGUACUUCAUUGCUAUCCAUUAAGCUCCCCACUUUCAAACAAAGCAGAAAAUUCUAAUUGAGUUGGGUUUUGAACAUGCAGAUUAGUUAGACAACUGAAUUACCAAUCCUUAUUAUUAUUGCAACAAACACACGGAUUACACUAAAAGCUAGUGAAUCAUACACUUGCAGAUGACUUAUCCAAACACAAAGAUAAGACAUGAGUUUAUUGUUAAAUUGUGGCCAAGUGGCCAUCACCUUUUGUAUUAAACAAAUAAAAAGAAAAAAAAAAGGGAGACAUCAUGAUGUUGUUUCUUACUUUGUGAUAAUGACAAAUGAUGAUGUUGGAGAAUUAUUUUUUAUUUGGCCCAUGUGGGAAGUCACGGGGUGACUUGAAGGAUUUAUUUAGCAGCAAUUGCUGCUUGUGUGGUUAAGAGAAGAAAACAGAGAGCAGAAGAAAAAGGAAAGAGAGCUGCCGAGAGCAAGAGAGUUGCAGAGAGCCCAAACAGAAAAAGAAGCUGCUGCUUCAUUUGAUUAGUAAUCAUCAACCAAAGUAGUUGUUGUUGUAAUAGUUUUGAGCUAUAUGUAUAGAGAAGAAAUUAUUCAUUAUAUUUCUUUCUCUAUUUGUUUCUUUGGUGUGUGAGAGUUAUUGGGUGUAUUGGGCUUUUGGGUUGUGAGAUUGUCAACACUUUGUAAACUCCCAUUUGGUUGAUAGUGGAUUAUUGGGUGAGCUCCUACUGCUCCGAGGACGUACUCCAGUUACACUGACUGUUGAGGAACCUCGUUAAAAUCUUGGUGUUCUUUUAUAUUUUGUUCUUGCAUUUUCAUUUGAUAAAUUUCCUGUGGGUUAGCUUGAGUUGGUUCCAACGGGUUUGGUGCUAUCCUAGCACAACAAUUGGUAUCAGAGCACUGGUUGCUCUUGGGUACUGUCUAGUUGCCAAAGAUGUCAGACGGGCAAGAUGAGAAUCCUUUUGGAAGCACCUCCGGGUUUGCAAGAACUACGGUGCAAAAUGCAAAGUUCGAAGUGGAAAAGUUUGAUGGCACAAACAACUUCGGGAUGUGGCAAUGUGAGGUCAAAGAUGUGUUGGCUCAACAAGAUCUACUUGCCGCUUUGGGAGAGAAGCCGGAAGCUAUGUCGAAGCCGGAAUGGGAGAAAUUAAAUUUGUGGGCUUGCUCUUCAAUUCGGUUGUGCCUUGCAAAAACUCAGAAGUAUUUUUUGUGAUGCGGGAGACAUUGGCAAGUGUGUGUGGCAAAAAUUGGAAGACAAGUAUAUGACGAAGAGUGCAGAGAACCGGCUACACUUGAAGAAAAAACUCUACCGCUUCCAAUACAAAGAAGGUACAAAAAUGAUUAGACACCUUGAUGCUUUUAAUAAGUUGAUUGCCGACUUGUUAAAUUUAGAUGAGGAUAUUAAGGAUGAAGAUAAGGCCUUAAUAUUGUUGAAUUCCUUGCCGGACUCUUAUGAGCAUUUUGUUACCACUAUUAUGCAUGGUAAAAAAACUGUGAAAUUUGAAGAUGUGUCAAAUGCCUUGAUGAAUUAUGAAAUGAGGCAUAGAGAUAAAAAUCAUGAUAGUACCUCUGAAGCUUUAUUUGUUAGAGGUAGAUCAUCGGAGAGGAGGUCAUCUUCUAGCAGGAAAAAAUCACAAUCUCGACCUAGAGGAAACUCUAAAGGUAGAAAACCUUUGGAAAGGGAUGAAUGUGCCUUUUGUCGUAAUAAGGGCCAUUGGAAGAAAGAUUGUCCUAAAUUGAAGAACAAAGGCAAAGAAAGUUCUGAAGCUAAUGUUGCUGAGGUUGAAACAGAUUUUUCUGAUUUUGCUUUAACCACUUCCUCAUCAUUUGAUUGUGCUACUAAGUGGGUGUUGGAUACGGGUUGUACUCAUCAUAUGACUCCUCACAAGGAUUGGUUUUCAAGCUUGAAAGAGUUUGAUGGUGGCGUUGUGUUCAUGGGAGAUGACAAUCCUUGCACAACAAAAGGGAUUGGUACAGUUCGUUUGAAGUUGCAUGAUGGCAUGGUUAAAGAGUUGACAGGUGUUCGGUAUGUACCGAAUUUGAAGAAAAAUCUUAUUUCUUUGGGUACUUUGGAAUCCAAGGGUUUCAGGUUUCAUUCAGAUGGACAGACAUUGAAAGUUACUUAUGGUGCACAUGUUGUGAUGAAAGCUCCUAGAUGUGGCCAUUUGUAUUUAUUGCAGGGAAGCACUGUGACAGGUGAAGCAUCUGUAGUCUCUGAAAAUAUGGGCACAUCUGAUUCAGAUACUACUAGAUUGUGGCAUAUGAGAUUAGGCCGUACCGGUGAGAAAGCUCUACAAGGGCUUGUGAAACAAGGUCUUCUAAAAGGUGCCAUGACUUGUAAGCUUGAUUUCUGUGAGCAUUGUGUCUUGGGGAAGCAAACUAGAGUGAAGUUUGGUACUGCUGUACAUCAGACGAAGGGCAUUCUUGAUUAUGUGCAUUCGGAUGUUUGGGGUCCUACAAAGACUCCCUCUUUGAGUGGUAGACAUUGGUUCGUGACCUUUGUUGAUGAUUAUUCAAGAAGGUCUUGGGUCUACACUAUGAAGCACAAGAGUGAGCUGUUAAGCAUUUUCUUGGGUUGGAAGAAAAUGGUUGAGAACCAGACUGGGAGAAAGAUUAAGAUUUUGAGAUCGGAUAAUGGUGGUGAAUACACAUCCGAUCCUUUCUUUAAAGUUUGCAAAGAGGAAGGAAUUGUGAGACAUUUCAGUGUUCGGGGAACUCCACAACAAAAUGGAGUUGCAGAAAGAUUGAAUCGAACCUUGCUUGAGAAGGUUAGAUGUAUGUUGUCUCAGUCGGGUUUAAGCAAGUCAUUUUGGGCAGAGGCAGUUAAUUAUGCAUGUCACAUCUCAACCGGUUACCCUCAGCUGCUGUUCAGGGUAAGACACCAAUGGAGGUAUGGACUGGAAAACCUUCUUCUGAUUAUGACUAUAUCCGUAUUUUUGGUUCACCUGCUUAUUUUCAUGUAACUGAAAAUAAACUUGAUCCAAGAGCCAAAAAGGCUAUCUUUCUUGGUUUUAGUAGUGGUGUCAAAGGUUACAGGUUGUGGUGUCCAGAGAUGAAAAAACUUGUAAUCAGCAGAGAUGUGACAUUUGAUGAAGAAAGUAUGUACAAAGUCUCUGAGAAGAAUGUGAAAGAUGUCCAACAGGUGGAGCUUGAGAAAGUUGCCUCUGAUACUUCAAAUCCUAUUUCCGCUGAUGUCGAAGCCACUACAAGUGAAGAAGUUGGAGACCAUGAGAAUGUUGAAGAAGUUGAACUUGAAGAUUCUAUUCAAGUUGAAGAGCAAGUUUCACCUCAAGAGUCUAUUGCUAAGAACAGAGGAAAAAGACAAAUUACCAAGCCAGCUCGGUACAGUGACUAUGUUGCUUUUGCUCUUCCUAUUAUCACUGAUGAGAUUCCAUCCAAUUUUGAGGAAGCUAUUGAGAGUGAGGAGAAGAAAAGGUGGUGCAAUGCCAUGGGUGAUGAAAUGAAUUCUCUCUUGAAGAACAAGACUUGGGAGUUAGCUAAAUUGCCUAAGGGCAAGAAAGCUAUCGGUUGCAAAUGGGUGUAUGCCAAGAAGGAAGAUGCUGAUGAGAAAAGCAAUGUGAGAUUUAAAGCAAGAUUAGUUGCUAAAGGGUAUGCACAAAAGGAGGGCAUUGACUACAAUGAAAUAUUUUCUCCAGUUGUGAAGCGCUCCUCAAUUCGUAUUAUGUUAGCUCUUGUUGCACAAUAUGAUCUUGAGCUUGUGCAACUUGAUGUGAAGACGGCUUUCCUACAUGGUGAUUUGAAUGAAGAGAUCUAUAUGUGUCAACCGGAUGGGUAUUGUGAAAGGGAAGGAAAAUUUGUUUUGCAAAUUGAAGAAAUCGCUUUAUGGCUUGAAGCAAUCUCCAAGGCAAUGGUAUUUGAGGUUUGAUAAAUUUAUGAGAGGCCAAAAUUAUUCUAGAAGUCAAUAUGAUCAUUGUGUGUACUUCAAGAAGUUGCAAGAUGGGUCUUUCAUUUAUUUAUUGAUAUAUGUUGAUGAUAUGUUGAUUGCCUCAAAGAAUGUUGAGGAGAUUGAGAAAUUGAAGAAACAAAUGAAGAAUGAGUUUGAGAUGAAGGAUCUUGGUGAAGCAAAUCCUUGGCAUGGAGAUCACUAGAGAUAGAGAGAAGGGUUUGGUCAGUUUGAAUCAAAGACAAUACCUUGAGAAGUUGAUUCGGAAGUUUGGAGUUCAUGAUUCAACCAAACCGGUUAGUACCCCUUUGGCUCCUCAUUUUAAAUUGAGUUCUCUACAGUGUCCUAAAACUGAUAAAGAGAAGCUGCAAAUGAAAAAUAUACCAUAUGCAAAUUUGGUUGGUAGUUUGAUGUAUGCAAUGGUAUGCUCUAGACCGGAUAUUGCUCAUGCAGUUGGCAUGGUGAGUCGAUAUAUGCAUAAUCCAGGUAAAGAGCACUGGCAAGCAGCUAAGUGGAUAUUGAGAUAUCUCCAUGGUACUCGAGAUGUUGGUUUAUGCUUUGAGAGAGAUGACUCUGGUAUUGGUCAUUUUGCAGUUGGUUAUGUUGAUUCAGAUUAUGCAGGUGAUCUGGAUGGAAGGAAGUCUACUACAGGCUAUGUGUUUACUAUGGCUAAAGGACCAGUUUGUUGGAGGUCCAUUUUGCAGUCGUCUGUUGCCUUGUCUACUACAGAGGCUGAAUAUAUGGCAGUUGCUGAAGCUAUAAAGGAGGCCAUUUGGAUACAUGGGCUGAUUAGAGAUUUGGGGGUUGAUCAGAAGCAGGUGGAGGUACAUUGUGAUAGUCAGAGUGCCAUUUAUUUGGCUAAGUAUCAGGUUCAUCAUGCGAGGACCAAGCACAUAGAUGUGCGUUAUCACUUUGUUCGUGAAAUUGUUGGUGAAGGGGAAAUCAUUCUCCAGAAGAUUCCAACUAAAGACAACCCCGCUGAUAUGUUGACUAAGGUUGUUGGUGUAGCCAAGUUUGUUCACUGUUUGAACUUGGCUCACAUUAUGCCUAUAUAAAGAAGGCGUUGAGCAGUAGGAGUUUUGGAGCAUUUGGCUCGGCAUGAGUUGUUCUCUUGCUAGUGUUCGGGAGUGAUGUUGUGUGCUAAUUGUGUUGGUUGGCUUAUCAUGGCGUUUUCGGAACUUGGCCAAGGUGGAGAUUGUUAAAUUGUGGCCAAGUGGCCAUCACCUUUUGUAUUAAACAAAUAAAAAGAAAAAAAAAAGGGGAGACAUCAUGAUGUUGUUUCUUACUUUGUGAUGAUGACAAAUGAUGAUGUUGGAGAAUUAUUUUUUCUUUGGCCCAUGUGGGAAGUCACGGGGUGACUUGAAGGAUUUAUUUAGCAGCAAUUGCUGCUUGUGUGGUUAAGAGAAGAAAACAGAGAGCAGAAGAAAAAGGAAAGAGAGCUGCCGAGAGCAAGAGAGUUGCAGAGAGCCCAAACAGAAAAAGAAGCUGCUGCUUCAUUUGAUUAGUAAUCAUCAACCAAAGUAGUUGUUGUUGUAAUAGCUUUGAGCUAUAUGUAUAGAGAAUAAAUUAUUCAUUAUAUUUCUUUCUCUAUUUGUUUCUUUGGUGUGUGAGAGUUAUUGGGUGUAUUGGGCUUUUGGGUUGUGAGAUUGUCAACACUUUGUAAACUCCCAUUUGGUUGAUAGUGGAUUAUUGGGUGAGCUCCUACUGCUCCGAGGACGUACUCCAGUUACACUGACUGUUGAGGAACCUCGUUAAAAUCUUGGUGUUCUUUUAUAUUUUGUUCUUGCAUUUUCAUUUGAUAAAAUUUCCUGUGGGUUAGCUUGAGUUGGUUCCAACGGGUUUGGUGCUAUCCUAGCACAACAUUUAUUAUUAUUGCUAUAAACACACGGAUUACAGCGAAAUUCAAAAACUAAAAAUAAGGAAAAAAGUAGUGAUGAAAACCAAUGCCACUUUCGCGGGAACACGAUUGAAUUCGCACAUGCAACAAGCCUUUUAAACCCAUAGGUGACCCAAAUGGGACGAGUGAAGUCUCGUGAGGGUUUCCAGAGACGUUACCCACAAACAUCAUGCAUACUGAUCAUCAACAUCUGCCUUGGGAGACUGAGUAGAUAUCCACCCCUCCAGCAUCAGGUUGUUUUUGGUUGAGGCGUAAUUCGAAUCUGUUUUCAAUGAACGGCCUGGUUAUGAGAUCACUUUGCAAGUGACGUAAUCGGCAGCGCGUGAUUAGGUUGUUGCUGUCAGGUGGUCCGACAGGCUCGACCUUGAACAAUGUGCAAGCCCAAUUGUCUUUGGUUUCAUUUCGGUCAGCAGCUGCGGCCAGGACCAACAGCCUGUUUUGGUCCACCCUUCUCAAGUAGUUACCAUUGUAGGAGCAUUUGAUAUGCACGUAAUUCUUGUCAGCGUAGUCCUCAUUGUUUGGCUUCUCGGUGGUGAACUUUAUGAACCUGCUGUUUUCAUUGUCCUCGGAAAACUGGACAAUCUCAUUAAGGUCGCUUUCUGCAUCAAGUUGAUAGCGCAAAUACUUGUUGUUGAUAUCUGCUUUCAGCAAAAAAGGGCUUGGUAGUACAGGUGGAGCCAUAUCGUAUAGUGUAGUUGGGAUUGGGAUGCUCUCUCUUUUUUAUUCUCUGUUGAUGAUCUAAUUUGCUUGCUGUGAAUGUGAUGCUUAGUUCAAACCUGCUAUCCUAUUUAUAAGAAAUUAAGCACAAGCUAACUCAAGUUAUGGUCUUUAAUUAAUAUUAAUUUCGACAAAUCAGUUUCCCAUCUCUUUCAUUGAUAUGAACAUGGCUGAUCUCAUUGGUGUGGCGCAAUAUUUGUUAAAUUAGCCGUUCGGGUUGAUUUCUUUGUAUAACUCAUCUGCCAAUUCUACAACUUGUAGACUUACUUCCCAUUACAAAAUAAAAAAUAAAAUAAAAUCCGAAACUAAUGUAAGAUAAAUAAAGACUUUUUAUGUCAUAAAAUAAGACUUUCUAACUUGUAUACACGACUAUAGUGACAAGAUCAAACACAUUGAUGGGUGCGCAUUUUCCAUCAACAUCUGUUCUGUGCGUUUAAACUGAGCGUGAAGUCUUUUUUAGCAAUUAAAAGUUUUGUAUGAUGUAAUUGUCUUGGUUUGAUAAGACCUACAUCUAGAUGAGUUGCUUCUGAAGACUAAUGUAAAACUUUAUGUUGAUAUUUCUUGAGGGUGAAACAUCGUUUGAGAAACGUUUUGGGCCUCAUUACAAUUUUUUCAUUUAUUUUUUAACUUUUGGUUUAAAUAUUCUACAAUAAAUACAUUUGUGGCUUUAAUAACUAGUAAAACCACUUUCAAAUAUCUUAGUAUCGGCUUCAGAACAAAGGGGUUUGGUAGUACAGGUGGAGCCAUGUUGUAUAGUGUAGCUGGGAUUGGGAUGAUCUCUCUCUUUAUUUAUUUAUUUAUUUUCUUUAAUUUGCUCGCUUUCAAUGUGAUGCUCAGUUCAAACCUACCAUCCUAUUUCUAAGAAAUUAAGCACAAGCUAUCUCAAGUUAUGGUCUUUAAUUAAUAUUAAUUUCCUCAAUCUGUUUCCCAUAUCUUUCAUUGAUACGAACAUGGCUGAUCUCAUUGGUGUGACGCAAGAUUUGUUAAAAUAGCUGAUCGGAUUGAUUUUUUCUUUGUAUAACUCUUCUGCCAAUUCUGAAAUUGUACAUAUAAUUCCCAUUAUAAAAUAAAUAAAUAAAAUCCAAAACUCAUAUAAAAUAAAUAGAGACUUUUGAUAGCAUAUAAAAUAAGACUUUGAAACUUGUACAUAGUUACGGAUAACAUUCAUCUAAGAAUUAACAGAUGAAUGUAUGCAAGCAAUAUCGAAGAAAUACAGAGAGAAAGAUCGAAAGGAAUAGAGAGAGAAAUAGAGAAAGAAAUGAGUGAAAGCUUUGUUAUUUCAUAAGAACAAAAGAUCAUCACAAAAGAACCCUGAUUCCUUCUUAUAUAGUCUGCACAUGUAGCUUAUCAGCUAAGCGUGUAACUAAUUCUUAACAAACUAACUAACUCCAAUAUCUGAUAUUUCACUUAUGAUGAUGUGUCAAUCACUAUAUAUCUUCAACAUCCCCCACAAUCUCAACUGGGAUUUUCCAGCUUGAGAUUGUAAAAAUGUUUGACAAAUGAAGGACUGUGAAGACCUUUGGUAAGAACAUCGGCAGUUUGCUCCUCAGUUGGGAUAUACAACACCUCCAAAUCGCCUUGCUGCACUCGUUCUCAGUUUAUAUCAAGGUGUUUAAUUCUGAAAUGAAACACCAGAUUGGCACUUAAGGCAAUAGCGGACAUAUUCUUACAGUGAAUCGUUGGUGGAGCAUCCAAAAAUACACCCAAAUCCUUCAAUAUAUUUCGAAUUCAAGCUAUAUGUGCCGCAGUAUGUGCUAAGGCUUUAUAUUCAGCCUCAGUAGAACUCCUGGAUACCGAGUUUUCUUUCUUCGAUUGCCAAGAAAUUGGAUUAUUGCCUAAGUACACGACAUAACUAGUGAUAGACCGACGAGUAUUCAAGUAUGCAGCCCAAUCAGAAUCAGAAAACGCAGUAAGCUUUGAAACUGUGUUUACAGAAAAAGUAAUACCAAUGUUCAUGGUUCCUUGAAGAUAACGAAUGAUUCGUUUAACAACGCCAAAAUGAACAUCAGUUGGUGAGGACAUAAACUGACAUACUGUGUUUACAGCAAAGGCAAUAUCAGGCCUAGUAAAGGUUAGAUAUUGUAAAGAUCCCACAAUGCUUCUGUAGGAGGUUGGAUCUGUCAAUAAUUGUCCCUUAGAGUGUAACAUUUGAUGAUGAGGUUUACAAGGAGUGGUUGCUGGUUUACAUGAUUCCAUACCUGCUUUAUGGACGAGAUCUUUGAUAUACUUAGACUGAUUAACAAAAACACUGCCAUCUGCUUUAUAUUGAACUUGUAAACCCAAAAAAUAUGUAAGUUGUCCCAUAUCCUUUAACUCGAAUACCUCAGAUAAUUAUUGAAUCACUUUUUGGAUCUUCAAAGGAUUAUAACCAAUUAAGAUGAUAUCAUCAACAUAAAGUAAUAAGAUGAUGAUAUCAGAGUCAUCCUUCUUGACAAACAAACUUGUAUCAGAAGUUGAUGCAUGAAACUCCAUAACUGUCAAAUAACUUGUAAACUUCGAAUUCCACGCUCGUGGAGCUUGUUUCAAGCCAUAUAAUGACUUGACCAAUUUGCAAACAUGAGAAGGAUAUGAUAGAUCAAUAAACCCUUGUGGUUGCUGCAUAUAAACUUCUUCUUGUAAAUCUCCAUGUAGAAAAGCGUUAUUGAUAUCUAAUUGGUGAAGAGUCCAAUUAUUCAUUGCAGCUAAAGAAAGAAUAAUCCUUACAGUAGUAUGUCGGACAACAGGACUAAAUGUGUCCAAGUAGUUAAUACCAUGUUCUUGGGAGAACCCCUGAGCUACAAGCCUUGCUUUAUACCUGGAGACACUGCCAUCGGGGUUUUUCUUCACUUUGUAUACCCAUUUGCUUCCUACAAUUGUUCUAUCUUCAGGUGCAGGAACCAAUAGCCAAGUUCCUUGUGCUCGAAGUGAAUCAUAUUUCUCCUGCAUUGCCUUUUGCCACUGUGAAAUUGUAGGAGCUUUCCGAAAUGUCUUAGGUUCUGAAGCAUCAGUGAUCUCAGAAAGAAAGGAAUAGCCACUUGUGAAAGGUUCUUCAUCAAUGAUUUGGAGUGAACAAAGCUCAGGACAUUGUGUUACUAAAGCAGCAUAAUUUUGUCUCUCAAUUGUUCCACUCUUCAAUCUAGUGACCAUUGAGUGAGUCGAUGGUGCAGUAUGUAAAAUGAGAUCAGAUAGAGAUAAAUCAGCAAGGAUUACCUCAAGUUGUGACUCGGAGUGGACAGGCAACAAGGAUUGUGUACCAGAGUGAUGAUGUGUAGGAGAGUGAUGAUGUGAAGAGCUUGGAGAUGCAUAUAAAUGAGUGGUAUCAGUCGAAUUUGUAUCUUGAUCACUAGGUUGAAUCACCUGUGUAUUGUUCGAACUAGAAACAUUCAAUUAACCAACCACAUUUAUACUUUCACCAUUUGCAGGAAUACUGUGAUGCGAACCAGUAUCAUUUGCUAAUAUAUGUAUAGAACUAGCUGCUUGUGAAUCAUGCUGUAUUUAUGUAUGAGGCAGGACUCUUGCACUUGGAACUUGUAAUUGAAUCAAAACAUGUGUCUGAGAACACCUAUAUGUAACUGUAGAAUCCUUAGAUGGCAGAACUUGUUUAAACGGAUAAACAUCUUCAUCAUGUAGUACAUGCCUUGACAUAAUGAACUUUCUAGUCUUGAUAUCAUAGCUAAUAACUCCUUUAUAUCCAUGAGCAAAACGAAGAAAUACACAUUGAGCUGACCGUGGCUCCAAUUUGUUCUUAUUGAAUGGUCUCAAUAGAGGAUAUAUUGCAGUACCAAAGACUUUAAGAUGUUGUACUUCAGGAACACAACCAAACACAACUUGAUAGGGAGAUUUCAUCUUCAAAUUUCUAGAUGGCAUCGUAUUGAUUAAGAAUGCAACAUGAGAACAAGCAUGAUACCAGAAAGCUGAAGGUAAUUGAGCAUCUAAUAGCAAACUAAUAGCAGUCUCAACUAAAUGUCUAUGUUUUCGUGUAGCAAGACCAUUUUGCUGUGGUGUAUGAGAGCAUGAAACUGGUGUAUAAUUCCUUUUAUCUCUAACAACUGUCUAAACACAUUACUCAUAUAUUCACCUCCACCAUUUGAUUGAAGAACUUUAACGGAAGCAUUAAACUGAUUCUCAAUAAAUGUCAGAGACUUGGUAAAGAUUGGAAAAGCAUCGGAUUUAUUAACCAUCGGAAAAAUCCAUACAAAUCAAGAGCAGUCAUCUACAAAGCUUAUGUAAUACCUAUAACCCUCUAUUAACCUCUGCAGUGAAGGACCCCAUAUAUCUGAAUGUAUCCUUUCAAAUACAACUUUUGACCUAUCGGGACUUACAGAGAAAGGCAACUUAGUCAUUUUUCCUUGAAUACAAGCAGUACAUAUAGAUGGAGACAAAUCUAUACUGGCUAAUACUUCAGACUUAUUCAACAUUGUAGUAAGCACUUCUUCAGAUGGAUGACCCAACCUUUUAUGCCAAACUGUAGUCUUUAGCUUCUUUCCAACAAAAGUUGCACAUCUUUCAAUACUUGGUACUCUGGAUCUUGACAACACUGUUAUUGGUAUCUUGAAGAGCUCCCCAUCAUCACUCUGGCCUUGGUACACAAUCCUUCGAGUUGCUUUGUCCUGUAUCAAGAAGAUCAGAUCAUCACAUACAAACCAGCAAUUAUUAUCUCUGCAUAAGUUCUUAACAGACAACAAAUUCAUUGUAAUGUGUAGAACAUGUAGCACAUUUUGCAGAAUUAAUGACUUUUGUUGAGUGUUAAGGACAGAGGAACCAAUAUUUUUAACCACCAAACCUUCUUCAUUACCAACAGUGAUCAUGGCAUCACCAUUAUAAGGAGUGAUAUAAUUUAAAACUUCGACAUUUGAUGUCAUGUGGUGAGUUGCACCUAUGUCAACUACCUAUGUAUCAGCAGCUAAAAAACCAUGGACAUUUGAGUCUUCAGUUGCAACAUUUGAGCCUUGAGCAGCCAUCCCAACAAGAGAUGUAGGUGGUGCACUGCCUUGAUAUGAGAAGUUAUUCCUAUGAAAGCAUUCCAAAGCCCGAUGACCUAUUUUCCCACAUAUCUGACAUACCAAGAUCCCUCCAGAUGAUUGAUUGUUAUCAGCUCUAAGGUAACAAUUUGGUGUUGUAUGGUCUCUUCUAGAACAAAUUUGACAUUCAGGAGAUAUAACAUUGCUGUAAUUUGUAUCACCAUUCCAAGUGUUUCCUUGUUUGCUUCCAUUACCAGAGAAAGAACUUUGAGAACCUCCAUUUGAACAUCUUUCCCAUUAUUCCCAAAAGUAGAAUAUGGCCUGUAAUUAUUAUUCCCACCAUUAUAACCACCAGAGAAUUUUCGAUUGUUCAAAUUAUUCCCAUUAUACCUCCUAUUAUUGUUACCACCAUUGUAAUUAUUCCUCCCUUGAGACCUCUAUGCAUUUGAACUCUCCCCUUGUUCAUAACUUUGAGUAUUGCCCUGAGAUUCCUGUGUAUUCGAGCCAUUGCCCUGAACAUACAUGGCAGCCAUAGAACUUGAUAAAGUUGUCAGUCUAGACUCAAUACUGCUUUCAGCCCUAAUUAGUUGAGCUCGAAAAUCUUUCAUUGAAAUCGGAGUGUCUCUUGCUAAGAUUACUGUCUUGAUCAUUUCAAAUUAUGGAGGUAAACUAGUUAAAGCAAUGACCAAAUCAUUCUCAGUGAUUUUCUCCCCUGCAGCAACCAGUUGAUCCUUGAUAAUCUUCAAUCGAAGCAAAUACUUGUCAACAUAAUCCGCACCUUUCUGUGUAGUAUGAAACUCAGUCUUGAGUUGAUUAACCCUGACAACAGAUACAGACGCAUAUCAUUCCUGUAAAGAUUUCCAAGCUUCUUGAGAAGUUUUACACCCAAUGACAUAGCCCAUAGCUUCAUCUGAAAGUGUAGCAAUCAGCAAACUCAAUAGAGAGACAUCUGUUUUAACCCAAUCUUUAUAUGCAGUAGUAAUUUCUUUAGUGACCCCAGUCUCAGUAUUGAUGACAAACUUUGGAGGACAUUGAGACUCCCCACUAAAGAAAUCAAAGAAAUCGUACCCCUUAAGCACCGACUGAAACUGAUAAUCCCAUUUGACAAAAUUAUCUUCUUUCAACUUAGCAGUGAUCAUGCCCAAAAGACUUUCAAUUUUCACAGAACUAAACACCAUAUUGUUGAUAGAAACUGAAUCAAGAAAUCAAGUACUCAAACAAUCUUCAAGAAUUAUAACAACUCCAAGAACACACACUACUGAUUAUCGGCCUUGUUCGUGUGAAAAACCCAACAAACACUCAAACAACAGCAAUGGCUAUCGGCCUUUAUGCUUUGACAGAAAACGUUUCAACAAUCAUUCAAUUAGAAAAAUGGCUAUCGGCCUUCAAUAUCAUACUCCAAACAUCAAGAAAUGGCUAUCGGCCUUCAAUAUCAUACUCCAAACAUCAAGAACUUGCUAUCGCCCUUCAACUUUCAGUCUUUCACAAAAGAUUCAUCAUUGCGACAAUUACACAAACACUUAGAGUGCAAAAAGAAAAAUAACACCUAAAAAACUCAAAGUCUAACUUCCCAAACGCCAAAAGCUCAUUAACCCACUAUACCACUUCACAGCAAUCAAGAUAAUCUUUUGGCACAGCACAGCGGAAAUACACACCACGAGAUCGAACACUUGGCGAAGAUACCAUGAUAACAUUCAUCUAAGAACUAACAGAUGAAUGUAUGCAAGCAAUAUCGAAGAAAUGCAGAGAGAAAGAUCGAAAGGAAUAGAGAGAGAAAUAGAGAAAGAAAUGAGUGAAAGUUUUGUUAUUUCAUAAGAACAAAAGAUCAUUACAAAAGAACCCUAAUUCCUUCUUAUAUAGUCUGCACAUUUAGCUUAUCAGCUAAGCCACCUGUGUAACUAAUUCUUAACAAACUAACUAACUUCAAUAGCUGAUAUGGCACUUAUGAUGAUGUGUCAAUCACUAUAUAUCUUCAACAGUUACAAGAUCGAACACAUUGAUGGGUUAUAUAUUUGGGGCUCACUACAAUUUUUUUCACUUAAUUUAGGUUUUGGCUUAAAUAUACCAUUCAAACUAAAUGUGUGGCUCAAUAAUUGGUAGAAACCUUUCCAAAUGCUUUAUAAAUGUUCUCUUAAUGAUAACGGAGAAUAUUUUGGGAAGACAACUUAUUUGAAUUUCUCACGAAAAUGUGGGUGCUCAUUAAUUUUAGUCGGCUUGGCAAUUUUGUAUAAAAAUCAUCAUUAAAUAUAGUAGUUUUCACCUUUGCCUCACCGCUAUAUUUCUAAAAGUAAUGUAAGACUUUCAGCCUUUGUUCAUUAGUGAGGAUCUUAUCAAGAUAGAGCAGCCAUAAGAAACUCUUAACUUUGGAGGAAUAUGAAGUUUCCAAAUGAGAUUCCAUCGCCAAUUAGGUAAAGCACUAGGCCUAAUGGCCCAAAAAUAUGCAGAUUUAACUGAAAAAUUACCAUCAUUUAUUCCACUUCAGAUACACUUGGCAGUCAAAGCAUCAAAACUAAUUUGAAUGCUAAGAAUUUGUUCAACCACCUCUUUAGUAAAACAAGUAAUAGUGGAUCAUGUAUUUGUCUUGGUUUGAUAAGACCUACAUCUAGAUGAGUUGCUUCUUAAGACUAAUGUAAAACUUUAUGUUGAUAUUUCUUGAGGGUGAAACAUCGUUUGAGAAACGAUUUGGGCCUCAUUACAAUUUUUUCAUUUAGUUUUUAACUUUUGGUUUAAAUAUUCUACUAUAAAUACAUUUGUGGCUUUAAUAACUAGUAAAACCACUUUCAAAUAUCUUAGUAUCGGCUUUCAGAACAAAGGGGUUUGGUAGUACAGGAGCCAUGUUGUAUAGUGUAGCUGGGAUUGGGAUGAUCUCUCUCUCUUUUUUGUUUUUUUGUUUUCCUUUAGUUUGCUUGCUUUGAAUGUGAUGCUCAGUUCAAACCUACCAUCCUAUUUCUAAGAAAUUAAGCACAAGCUAUCUCAAGUUAUGGUCUUUAAUUAAUAUUAAUUUCCUCAAUCAGUUUCCCAUAUCUUUCAUUGAUACGAACAUGGCUGAUCUCAUUGGUGUGACGCAAGAUUUGUUAAAAUAGCUGAUCGGAUUGAUUUUUUCUUUGUAUAACUCUUCUGCCAAUUCUGAACUUGUACAUAUAAUUCCCAUUAUAAGAUAAAUAAAUAAAAUCCAAAACUCAUAUAAAAAAAAUAGAGACUUUUUAUAGCAUAUAAAAUAAGACUUUGUAACUUGUACAUAGUUACAAGAUCGAACAAAUUGAUGGAUUAUAUAUUUGGGGCUCACUACAACUUUUUUUCACUUAAUUUUAGGUUGUGGCUUAAAUAUACCAUUCAAACUAAAUGUGUGGCUCAUUAAUUGGUAGAAACCUUUCCAAAUGCUUUAUAAAUGUUCUCUUAAUGCUAACGGAGAAUAUUUUGGGAAGACAAAAUAUUUGCAUUUCUUACGAAAAUGUGGGUGCUCAUUAAUUUUAAUUGGUUUUGCAAUUUUGUAUAAAAUCAUCAUUAAAUAUAGUAGUUUUCAUCUUUGCCUCACCGCUAUAUUUCUAAAAGUAGUGUAAGAUUUUCAGCCUUUGUUCAUUAGUGAGGAUCUUAUCAAGAUAGAGCAGCCAUAAGAAACUCUUAACUUUGGAGGAAUAUGAAGUUUCCAAAUGAGAUUCCAUCGCCAAUUAGGAAAAGCACAAGGCCUAAUGGCCCAAAAAUAAGCAGAUUUAACUGAAAAAUUACCUUAAUUUAUUCCACUUCAGAUACACUUGGCAGUCAAAGCAUCAAAACUAACUAAUUGGAAUGCUAAGAAUUUGUUCAACCACCUCUUUAGUAAAACAAGUAAUAGUGGAUCCAAACCAUUAUUGUAACAAUAAUUAGCUACAGUAGCCUUAUACGUAUUGUCCGUGUCACCACCCGAUCCCGAUACACGUCCAGGAUCGACAUGUGAUGUCAUCAAAUACCCAUAUCUCUAACUUACCCCGCCUCCGGGAUAUGGCAAAGUGAUGAGUCAAUAUUUUACCAUAUAUUUUACCCUAAUCUUAGUAUUAAUUUAUUGGUUAUUUUGGUAGAAUUUUGAUACUUUGUUAUAUAUUUCUAAUAUAGGACAUUCGACUUCAUCUGGACAAAAAAGUAACCAAACGGAUGAAUUUUGGAGUGAUUCCAAUUGGAGGAUGUUCGUGAGUCUUUUGAAAUGAUUAUAUCAAAAUUCCAGAUUUUUCUACCAAGCCGUUUGACCAUGGCGAUUAAGUUAAGGCCCAGCGCGCAGUUUUCUCAUAUUGACAUUUCUGGACGUUUUUUGUAUUUUGAAGAUCAAUAUGUCAUAUUUUGAGGAAGCUUUCUUCUGAGGAUUUGUAUGGGACAUCUCCAGCUUUCAAAAGAGACCUUUUGGGACCAAAUCGGAGUUGAUUUGGGUGGUCAGAAGUCUGAUUUUCUGAGAACUCCAAAUUCUUGUUCAAAUAGGAAACCUUUUAUUUUCUGUUUUAUUAUUUUAGUAUGUUUCAUAGUUUUAUUCUAAGACCUUUUAGGGUUUUAUUUUGUAUUAGUAUAAAUAAGAUAUUUAGCCAUUAGGGGAAAAGAGGAGAGAAUAGGAGGAGAACGCACACAGUACUUGGAGGAUUCAAGUUUAUUUUCAAGGUGUUUUAUAUCCAUGUUCUUAAUAAUAUUUUGUUUUAUGGUUGUUAGUAACUAGUUUCGUUUGCUAGGGCGAGGCCACGAUCCUUAGCAAGAAUAUGUAGUUUCUUUUCAAUCUGCUUAUGAUAUUAUGCAUGCAAGUUUUGAAUUAUUAAUCAUUGUGCUUUAAACUAUCUAAUUGUGUUGAUGAUUGGCCGCCAUUAGGAUAUUUAGAAAAGUAAUUUGAUGCAAUUUUGGCGGAGGGCUGUCCCUGGAAUUGGCGCUGGCUUCUUGUGGUUAAUAUGUGUAACUUCUUAGGAUGGACGACAUGUCUUAAGGGUUAUAUGGUUUUUCAAAAGGAUUUCACAAAACUUUAUGAGUUUUACAUGUUCACGUUUGAUCUGGACACCACAGAUGGGUUGCACGUUAAAUAUAGAUUCUAUGUUGGAGGUUCCAAGUAGGGCAUACUUUAGGAAAACCUAAUUAACCAUCAAAAUAUGCAUGUGUAUUUCAUAAGUAAUUGGAAGAACUAUAUAGGAUUGUUAAGGUGAUGGUGAAACCCUAGUGCUUAACUUUUUUCUUUGGUUUUCUUUACUUUCCCAAUUUAUAGUGGAUCCAAACCAUUAUUGUAACAAUACUUAGCUACAGUAGCCUUAAGUGUAUUAUCGGUGUCACGCACCGAUCCCGACAUACGUCUAGGAUCGACACGUGAUGUCACCAAAUACCCAUAUCUCCAACUUACUCUGCCUCUGGGAUAUGGCAAAGUGAUGAGUCAAUAUUUUACCAUAUAUUUUACCCUAAUCUCAGUUUGUUGGUUAUUUUGGAAGAAUUUUGAUGCUUUGUUAUAUAUUUCUAAUGUAGGAUAUUCGACAUCCUCGGGGGAAAAAAAGUAACCAAACAGAUGAAUUCUGGAGUGAUUCCAAUUGGAGAAUGUUCGUGAGUCUUUCAAGAUGAUUGUAUCAAAAUUCCAGAUUUUACUAUCAAGCUGUUUGAUCGUGGCGAUGAAAUUAAGGCCCACCGCGUAGCUUUCCCAGAUUGACGUUUCUGGACGUUUUUGGUAUUUUGAAGGUCAAGAUGUUAUAUUUAGAGGAAGAUUCCUUCUGAGGAUUUGUAUGGGACGUCUCCAGCUUUCAAAAGAGACCUUUUGGGACAAAAUCGGAGUUGAUUUGGUUGGUCAAAAGUCUGAUUGUCUGAUAACUCCGAAUUCUAGUUCAAAUAGGAAACCUUUUAUUUUCUGUUUUAUUAUUUUAUUAUGUUUCCUAGUUUUAUUCUAAGACCUUUUAGGGUUUUAUUUUGUAUUAGUAUAAAUAAGAUGUUUAGCCAUCAGGGUAAAAGAGGAGGAGAGAAAAAGAGGAGAACGCACAUAGUACUUUGGAGGAUUCAAGUUUAUUUUCAAGGUGUUUUCUUUCCAUGUUCUUAAUAAUAUUUUGUUUUAUGGUUGUUAGUAACUAGUUUCGUUUGCUAGGGCGAGGCCACGAGCCUUAGUGAGAAUAUGUAGUUUCUUUUCAAUUUGCUUAUGAUAUAUAUUAUGCAUGCAAGUUUUGAAUUAUUAAUCACUAUGCUUUAAACUAUCUAAUUGUCUUGAUGAUUGGCCACCAUUAGGAUAUUUAAAAAGGUAAUUUGAUGCAAUUUUGGUGGCGGGAUGUCCCUGGAAUUGGUGCUGGCUUCUUGUGGUUAAUAUGUGUAACUUCUUAGGAUGGACAACACGUCUUAAGGGUUAUAUGGUUUUUCAGAAGGAUUUCACAAAACUUAAUGAGUCUUGCAUGUUCACAUUCGAUCUGGACACCACAGACGGGCUGCAUGUUAGAUAUACGUUUUAUGUUGGAGGUUCCAAGUAAGGCAUACUUUAGGAAAACCAAACCUUCAAAAUAUGCAUGUGUAAUUCAUAAGUAAUUGGAAGAACUACGUAGGAUUGUUAAGGUGACGGCGAAACCCUAGUGCUUAAAUUUAUUUUCAAAAACUAUUUUCUUUGCUUUUCUUUACUUUCCCAAUUUAUUUAAUUGUUUUUAGUUCAAUUGGUUUUUAAUAUUUUAGGCCAUAAAACCAACCUCUUCUAGACUUUAUUUUCAAAUAAUUAAUUAAGAUUUGGUUUUAACAUAAAUUAUGGCUUUUUUUAUUAGCACCUCCUAAAAUGUUGAAUGCACCCCACAUUAAAAUUUAAUAUUAAAUGACUUAUUUACCCCACUAUGCAAUGACAAUUUUGACCUUAUUAGGUUUUAAAAAAAUAAAAUAAAAAUCUCUAAAUACACCCCAAAUCACUAAACCCUAUUAUUUAUCUUCUCAACUAUCAAAACCCUCUUACCCUCCAUUGUUGAACAAAACCCUAACCAAUGAAACUACAAACAUCUUGAUUGAGAAAAAUUGCUUUUGACGAAUGGAACACAAAAUCAAUGUUUCGGAGCCUUCACAUGAGGUAAGACUAUGUUUCAUCGGUGGUUUGGUUAAUUUCAUAUUCCUUUUUUUUUUCUUCCAUUGGUUAUUCAUUUUCUUCUUUGCAGGUUACAAAUCCAGCCAGUGAUCCUCUUAGAGUAGAUUUGGUUAUAUCCCUUGAAAUGAACAUUGGAGAGCGACAAAAUAUUUUGGAGGUUGGACCAGAAAAUGCAUCGCAGGUUUGUUGGCAUGUACCACUCUGCCUAUUGAUAUUGAGUUGUAUGGUUCUUAAAAUAAUUGAGGUGUAUGAUUCUUAGUAAAUAAAUGAGGAUUUGAUAAUAAUUUUUGGUGUAUUUAAAUACGAUAGCAUACAAGGCAAUACCUCUAUAGGGGACAAUGAGGUUGCAGCAACGAGCGUCGUUGAUCACACAAACGCAUUUAAAACAAACGAGGUAACUAUUUUUAGUAUAUUGAAUGUGCAUCUGUGAAUUUCAUGGAAAUUCUUGCAUUCUUUUAUUCAGCAUAGUGCAUUAGGUUCAUAAUAGGGAAUAACAUAUGGGUUGGAAUCUUAGCAUGUCUACAAACAUUUUGUUAGUGGCAAAUGGCAAUGAUCUUGUAUGUACAGGUGUUCAAAAGUAAAAAUGAUUUCCUUGAUUGGACUCGCGCACAAGGAAAAAAGAAUAAUAUGGUUAUUAUCAUUAAGAGGUAUGAUGCGGGAAAGGUUGACCGAAGGAGGAAGAGAGCUCGAAUAACAUUUGCUUGUGAGAGACAUGGCGAGUAUCGAUCCAUAUUGAGGAAGUCGGAUAUUAAUGACCAAAUUUCUGAUGCAAAUAAUAAGAAGAAUAAAGAACCCAGGAAUACUGGUACUAAAAAAUGCGGAUGUCCAUUUAUGUUGAAAAGAGUCAACGUUGGAGAAGGAGAUGAAUUGAAAUUGGAGGUUGAGUGUGGGGUGCAUAACCAUACUUAUUCACAGUAUCUUGAAGGGCAUUCUUUUGUCGGACGAUUAACUAAAGAGCAAAAUGAACUUUUAGUUGACAUGUCUACAAGUUUAGUGAGACCCAAAGUUAUUUUGAACACCAUAAAGAAAAAAGAUCCACUUAAUGUAACAACGAUGAGGACAAUAUACAAUGCAAGACACUAUCAUCGGACAAAAGAAAAAGCAGGGAGAUCAGAAAUGCAACAGUUGUUAUGUAAGUUGGUUGAGUACAACUAUAUUGAGCAUCAUCGAAGUAUUGGUGUUGAUAAUGCUGUUAGUGACUUGUUUUGGACUCACCCAAUUAAUGUCGAUACCUUACAUUGUUUCCCACAUGCACUUAUCAUGGAUUGCACGUACAAGACUAAUAGGCAUCGUUUUCCACUCCUGGAGAUUGUAGGGGUAACUUCAACUAGUAUUACAUUUUCGGUUACAUUUGCUUUCAUUGACCAUGAGAAGGAAGACAAUUACACAUGGGCAUUGACAAGAUUGAAGACUCUAAUGAAUGAUGAUUGUAUUUCUGGUGUGAUUGUCACUAAUCGAGAUCUUACAUUGUUUCCCACAUGUACUUAUCAUGGAUUGCAUGUACAAGACUAAUAGGCAUCGUAUUCCACUCCUGGAGAUUGUAGGGGUAACUUCAACUAAUAUUACAUUUUUGGUUGCAUUUGCUUUCAUUGACCAUGAGAAGGAAGACAAUUACACAUUGGCAUUGACAAGAUUGAAGACUCUAAUGAAAGAUGAUUGUAUUCCUAGUGUGAUUGUCACUGAUCGAGACUUUAGCAAACUGAACUCAAAUAUAUUGAUUGCAAGGCGAGAGUACAUUUGUAAAAACAAGGUUUACUUUUUAAUGGAGGUUGUGUAAGAAAAAUUACAUUCAAAUUCAUUGCGGAUCUCUUCUUUUUCUAAGACCAAAUCAAAGAAACAAAUAAUUGAAUCAAUGAAUUACUAUAGCAGCUCCAUUUCUGACAAUGGCAAGAGGUCUCUGUGCUAAUCAAACUACCCGAAAUUUAUCCUAAAACUAUACUCGAGCUCCACCUUAUCUUCAAUCUCAAAUGCCUUCUCAAUAUGAUUUCAUCAUAAACCUGCUAUCCUAUUUAUAAGAAAUUAAGCACAAGCUAGCUCAAGUUAUGGUCUUCAAUUAAUAUUAAUUUCGACAAAUCAGUUUCCCAUCUCUUUCAUUGAUAUGAACAUGGCUGAUCUCAUUGGUGUGGCGCAAUAUUUGUUAAAUUAGCCGUUCGGGUUGAUUUCUUUGUAUAACUCAUCUGCCAAUUCUACAACUUGUAGACUUAAUUCCCAUUACAAAAUUAAAAAUAAAAUAAAAUCCAAAACCAAUGUAAGAUAAAUAAAGACUUUUUAUAUCAUAAAAUAAGACUUUCUAACUUGUAUACAAGACUAUAGUGACAAGAUCAAACACAUUGAUGGGUGCGCAAUUUCCAUCAACAUAUGUUCUGUGCGUUUAAACUGAGCGUGGAGUCUUUUUUUAGCAAUUAAAAGUUUUGUAUCAUGUAAUUGUCUUGGUUUGACAAGACCUACAUCUAGAUGAGUUGCUUCUGAAGACUAAUGUAAAACUUUAUGUUGAUAUUUCUUGAGGGUGAAACAUCGUUUGAGAAACGUUUGGGGUCUCAUUACAAUUUUUUCAUUUAUUUUUUAACUUUUGGUUUAAAUAUUCUACUACAAAUACAUUUGUGGCUUCAAUAACUAGUAAAACCACUUUCAAAUAUCUUAGUAUUGGCUUUCAGAACAAAGGGUUUUGGUAGUACAGGUGGAGCCAUGUUGUAUAGUGUAGCUGGAAUUGGGAUGAUCUCUCUCUUUAUUUAUUUAUUUUUUUCCUUUAAUUUGCUUGCUUUGAAUGUGAUGCUCAGUUCCAACCUACUAUCCUAUUUCUAAGAAAUUAAGCACAAGCUAUCUCAAGUUAUGGUCUUUAAUUAAUAUUAAUUUCCUCAAUCUGUUUCCCAUAUCUUUCAUUGAUACUAACAUGGCUGAUCUCAUUGGUGUGACGCAAGAUUUGUUAAAAUAGCUGAUCGGAUUGAUUUUUUCUUUGUACCCGAGAAGAAAUGCAGGAAGGAGGAAUUUAUAAAGACAAUGGAUACCUGCUCUUCGCUGCAAAAAACGACACUUAAAGGACAAUUUUCCCGAGGUUUUCACCGCCGUUUUUACCGUUUGCUGCAAAAAACAAAUACUCUCCCCUUGCGAGCUCCGUCAUCAAUUCCCCUCGCGAACUUUGAGUCCCUCUGAAAAAAUGAUUAAGUGAAAUUUGAAUUUUUCAAACUUUGUGUUUGGUUAUAUCUAACGAUCCCUAAUUCCAAAUUUAUGGUUUAGAUAUAUAAAAAAGAUAUCUCGGGUACUUCAUUGCUAUCCUUUAAGCUCCCCACUUUCAAACAAAGCAAAAAAUUCUAAUUGAGUUGGGUUUUGAACAUGCAGAUUAGUUAGACAACUUAAUUACCAAUCCUUAUUAUUAUUGCAACAAACACACGGAUUACACUAAAAGCUAGUGAAUCAUACACUUGCAGAUGACUUAUCCAAACACAAAGAUAAGACAUGAGUUUAUUAUUAUUGCUAUAAACACACGGAUUACAGCGAAAUUCAAAAACUAAAAACACGGAAAAAAGUAGUGAUGAAAACCAAUGCCACUUUCGCGGGGAACACGAUUGCAUUCGCACAUGCAACAAGCCUUUUAAACCCAUAGGUGACCCAAAUGGGACGAGUGAAGUCUCGUGAGGGUUUCCAGAGACGUUACCCACAAACAUCAUGCAUACUGAUCAUCAACAUCUGACUUGGGAGACUGAGUAGAUAUCCACCCCUCCAGCAUCAGGUUGUUUUUGGUUGAGGCGUAAUUCGAAUCUGUUUUCAAUGAACGGCCUGGUUAUGAGAUCGCUUUGCAAGUGACGUAAUCGGCAGCGCGUGAUUAGGUUGUUGCUGUCAGGUGGUCCGACAGGCUCGACCUUGAACAAUGUGCAAGCCCAAUUGUCUUUGGUUUCAUUUCGGUCAGCAGCUGCGGCCAGGACCAAUAGCCUGUUUUGGUCCACCCUUCUCAAGUAGUUGCCAUUGUAGGAGCAUUUGAUAUGCACGUAAUUCUUGUCGGCGUAGUCCUCAUUGUUUGGCUUCUCUGUGGUGAACUUUAUGAACCUGCUGUUUUCAUUGUCCUCAGAAAACUGGACAAUCUCAUUAAG
rnacentral:lncRNA from 1 species